rnacentral:lncRNA from 1 species
UUAUUAAAUCUAUAAAAAUAAAUAACACAUUUAAAUUUUAAUAUUAAAGAAUCAUUAAGUGACUCAAAUGAAAUGAAUUAAAAGAUUAGAUAGCAAAAUUCAAACUUUCAAAGAUUAAAUAGCUAAAUCAAAAUAGGUGAUAUUUAACUUAAAUUUUAUAAUUUUAUUUAUUGUUAACAACUAGUAUUUUUAUUUAUUGUUAAAAGGCAUAAUCCUAUCCAUUACCUGGGCCCACGCCGAAAAAAGCCAUUUUUAAAUAGUCACAACAAUGAGAUUUAUCUCAAACCACGUAAAAUAAAAAAGUAUUCGACCAGAAAACUUCUUUUUUUUUUUGAGAAAUAGAUAAUACGCUAUCCACUUUAUUCAUUGAAAUGAUGAAUUAGGCUACAUGGAUGAGGCAACGUCGGCCUCGGGUUGGAGCGAAAAAAAAAAAAAGAAGAUUCGUCAACUAUUAACCAUUACUGUUAGCCUGACAAAAUUUGGUCCCAAAUCUUCAUCAAUUGUUUAAUCUUGUGGACUGCUUGGAUGGGGUCCGAUUGGGUCUUCCUAAAAUCACACCAUUCCUAAUCUCCCAAAUAAUCCAUCAGCAAACUAUCAAUCUGGAUAUUGUAGUACACGACCGCUGUGAUCCCUUCGUUGUCAUCCGUAUAAUUAUUUCUGCUGCACUUAUUAGUAGAAAUGUAUUUUUAUUUUUCUUUUAGAUAGGUGUGCAGUUGUUCAAAACACACCUUUAAAAUAUAUAUAUAUAUAUAUAUAUAUAUAUAUAUAUAUAUAUAUAUAUGUUGUUUGAAAUGCGGAAAGAGUUAGUUAUUGUGAAGGAUCCAAAAUAUCGAGAAUUCAAGUAACUCUCAACUUUUCGAAUUAAUAUAGAAAAGUAUUUUCUGAGAAAAUUUGUCCAAUAAAGAGGUCCACAAACACUCAAAAAAAAAAAAAAAAAAAAAAAAAAAAAAAAAAUAAGAAGCUCCGUCCCUCUCACUUUACAGCUAUUCUCUCUCUCAGGGGAAAAAAAAAAUUAAAAUUUUUUUUUUAAAAAAAAGUAAAAAAACCAAAGGAAAACUUUACAACUCAACACCCAUAUCCCCUUGGCACACGAGUAGAUCGAAAAGCUCUUUCUUUGUCAAAGUCCUAGCUUUAAAUUUACAGGAGGAAAAAUGCUUAAAAAAAAUUAUGGCCUUGAUAUUAUCUCCUGUUUUUCACUUCUUGAUAAUAUAUAAAAGCUAAAUUUAAAACUUUUAUUUUAUACUUAAGUAGUAAGCCGAAUUUUUGACUUGGGAUAAUUUUAUUUAAAUAUUAUUAUUAUUUGUAAUUAAAAAUUUAACUAUUCUCAAAAUUAAAAAUAGAAAAAAAAAUUGGUUAUGCAAUCAGUGUACUUAGACCUAAUAAGUUUAAUAUAUAAUAUUCUCCAAUCUUAAUUGAAAAAAAAAUACUAAAAAUAAUUAGAUUUUUUUUGAAUUUGUAUGAAUAAUAUUUCUCUUGAAAAUAUUUUAUUGUUAAAAAAUAAACUUUUAAAAACAUCCGUAUGCAAAUGCACCGAUUAAUGACUAGCUUCUCAAUAUAGAAAAUCACCCAACGUUAAAUCAUCAAACAUAAUAAUAAUAAUAAUAAUAAUAAUAAUAAAACGGUAUGGAAAGAUUUAUGUUAUUUAUCUUUGAUCAUAACAAAUACUAUUCUACCAAUAACAAUAUUUUUCUAAUAAAUUACAUUACCCAUCUAAUGAAAAUAUUUUACCUUGACAUAUCAGUAAUUAUUUUAUUUUAAAUUAAUGAGUAUCCGAAUUGGAUUGAGUCACGUUUGAAGCGGCGGAAGUUAUAAUUAAAACUCGAGGAUGCUGUUUGUCUAUACAUUUUAAGUAAAUUGAUUGUCUUUUUAUAAUAACUCGGACUUUUAAAAUUACUGAUUAGUGCCAAUAAUUCGACGGUAAUUAAACUGUCAAAAAAUUGAUAAAUAUUAGAUAAUUAAUAAUAAUAAUACUAAUAAUAAUGGUUGAAUAAUUGAUACUAAUCAUUAAUUCUAAAAAUUUGAGUUAUUAAAAAUAUACAAUCAAUUCAUUUAAGUGUACAAAUACAACGUUUACAGGUCUCGAUUGUGAUUCGACCUAAUUAGUAUUACGCCACUUCGAAUAUAAUUCGAUCCAAUUCAGUCUCAUGCAAUUUCAAAUGUGACUCAGUUCAAUCUGACCUUUCGUCAAAAAGAGCAGAAUGCUGAUCAAUUUAAGCUAAUAAUAAUAUAAAUCAUGAGUCAAUGGUUUUUUUUUUUCGCCCAGUUCGAGAUCUGUGUUGUCUCACUUUCGUAACUUAAUUCACUUUUUCAAUAAAUAAGAUGGUAGCAUGCUAUCUUUUUCUAAAAAAUAAUAAUAUAAAUGGAAGUACAUAAUUAGACAGCGCGAGAUUGUUGACAAAUUCGUGUGGUAGUCACGCAGAUAUCGUCGCUAUUCCUAUCUCGACGCUGUGAGAGGGGGAGGGAGAGUAUUAAUGCUUCUGUUUGUGAUAAGGAUGGUCCCCUCUCACUCUGCAGCAGCACACGUGUCCCAGAAUAUAUAUAUAUAUAUAUAUAUAUACACACGAAGUAGCAGCAGCAGCAGUAGCAGAAGUGGUCGUUAGUUUUGAUAAGAUGAAAAUGCCAACUCCAUCGCUUUCGCAUGAAACCUUUCUCCUCUUAUAUCCGUCGCGUCCCCAUCCCUGGGUGGGGACGCGAGCCUCGUUUGCCCCUAUCUGUUUGUUGUGUGCAUCUUAUCCCCAUGAGGAUCCCAAAGGAAGCACUUGGAUAAGGCCCCCUUUUUUUUUUUUUUUUGAUAAAAAUAAAUUGAAAAAUUUAAGGAAUUACAGAAAUUUUGAUUCCAUUGUCUGAUCUUUUUAAAUUUUUUUUUUUGAAAGAUAGUAACACGCUACCACUUCAUUAUUUUUAUUAGAAAUAAACUUACUGGAAAUGUGAAUCAACUAGGAUUCGAACUUGGGUCUGGUACCAACCACCAGCUUUUGCCACUUGCUCUAGGGACGGUCGUGAUCUUUAAAAAUGUUAAUCUAAUACUUAAUUAAUUUAAAUAAUUUGAUUGUCGGGAUGUGAGCGCAUACUAUUAAUUCUAUAGGCUGCGUUUGAUUCGGGUAUAAUAAGAAUGCUAGUCUAGGGAUAGGUACAAGUUCAGGUAUAAGGAAACUAGACCAAAUUUUGCGUUUGAUGAAAAUUAGGUUGUUCCUAGAAUAAAACAAAUAGUGUUUGGAUGGUUAGAUUGGAACAAGAGGAAUAAGAGUUAUAAUUUGAACUUAAAAUUAUAUUAUGUAAUUAAUAGUAAUAAAAAUAUUACUUAAAAAUAAUAAGAAAUUAAUUAUUAAUAAUUAAUUAUAAAUAAUAAUUAUUUUAAAUAAUUAAUUAUAAUAAUAAAUUAAUAAUAUGGAUGAUCUAAUUAAUUAUUAUUAUAUUAUUAUUAAUUAUUAAUAAAUAAUAAUAUUAUUAAUUAUUCUUAUUAAUUAAUUAUAAAUGAUAAAUAAUAAAUAUAUUGAUUAUCUAAUUAUUAAUAAUAAUUUAAUAUUAAUAUUUAUUAAUAAAUAAUAAUAAUAUUUAUAAUUAAUUAUAAAUAAUAAAAUAAUAAUAAUAAUAUCCAUUAUCUAAUUAUUAAGAAUAAGAAUUAAUAUUAAUUAUUAUAAAUAUUAUUAUUAUUAAUUAUAAAUUAAUAAAUUAAUAAGAAUACAAUUAUCUAAUUAUUAAAUAAAAAUUUUAUAAUUAUUUAAUAAAUAAUAAUUAUUAUUAAUUAUAAAUAAUAAAUUAAUAAUAAUAUCGAUUAUCUAAUUAUAAGAAUAAAAUUACUAUAAUUAAUAAUAAAUAAUAUAAUUAUUAAUUAUUAAGAAUUUAUAAUAAUAAAUUAAAAAUAAUAUCUAUUGUCAUUAAGAAUAAAUAAUAAUUAUUAAUAAAAAAAUAAUGAAUAUUAUUAAUUAUUUAUAAUUAAUUAUAAAUAAUAAAUUAAUAAUAAUAAUUAUCUAAUUAUUAAUAUUUAAUUAUAAAUAAUAAAUUAUUUAAAUUAUUUAAUUAUUAAAGUAAUAAAUAAUGAUUUAAAUAUAUUAAUUAGAUUAAUUAAUAAUUUAUUGCCAUUAAAAUUAAAUUUAGAUUUUAAUUAAUCUUGUUCUCAUCCAGGAGCAAGCUUGUUCCAGGAAACGGGUGGAACAGCAGUUCCAGCCUUAUACCAGCUAGUUCCAGAUUUCCGGGAACUACUGUUCUCGGGAACCAAACGUUGCGUUCGGGAAUAAAGGGGGGAACAAGGGCUUAUUCCCCCCCUUGUUCCCGAACCAAACACUACCUAAAAGUUUUAGCCGUUAGGAAUACACAAUCAACUAAUUUAAAACGUACAGAUAUAACGCACACGAAUCUCGGUUGUGAUUCCGCCCUUCGAACAUGAUUCGGUCCAACCUGACCUCCGGUCAUAGGGUAGGAUGUUGGUCCAUUUAAGCCAACAUUGGUGACUUUUUAAAUACAAAAUUUAAUUAAAUCUGUAAAGAUAAACGACGCAUUCAAAUUCUAAAGUUAGAAAUUACUAAUCAACUCAAAUCAAAUAAUUUAAAAAAUUAUACAGUAAAAUUAAAAUUUUUAAAAGAUAGAUAGCUAAAUAGAAAUGGGCGUUAGUUGAGAUAAGUUUUAUACUCCUUUACCCCUUUUUUUGAGCUAGAAUUUUAUUUGUAUUAGAUAUAGCGGUUGAUUGAAGCAUAAAGGGUCUCCUUAUAAAGCCUUUGGGCUACUUUAAUUUAGACACACGCCAGUGGAUUUUUAGACGCUUGCCAAGAAAAAGAUGUAUGCGAAAAUUUUUUGGGAUGUUUUUAAUUAAUGUUGUUGGAUAACGCACUAAAAUAAGACGUAUUAGCUAAGAUCUUUGUAUUGGAAUAUUGCAUCAGUACAUAUCCAUUCUCUUUUGUGCACUCCAUGUAUAAAUAAAACAAACAAAAUCAUAUUAAAAAUUUAUUUUAUUAUUCCUAAAUAAUAUUUACAACUUACGUAGGAUUGGAGGAUAAUUAUUAUUAAAUACAUUAAAAUAAUUAAUGCGGACGCACUCAUACAGCGCAUGCACGUACACGUAAAACUCCACUCUUGUGUUCACUACUGAAUAUUGGCGAUCUCAUUACCUCUGUAGUUGCUUUCUUUCUUUUUCUCACUGAUUCCCAAAUCCAUACGUAACAAUUUUCUAAUCAAACUCCACAUAAAUCGCACUCGUACAUUUCUUCAUUUCAUAAAUUAUCAACAAUGGUGGGGAGUAAACAGGCUCAAAAAUAUGAACAACGCAAAUUAGUCCUUUUAUUUGUUUUAAUAUAAUAUUAAUCAGGCAUAAUAAAGGAAACAAAAUAAAAAAUAAAGAAGAUUAAAAGAGGGAAACUUUCACACAAAAAUGAAGCUUUAAGAUUCGGACACGAAGUGGAUCUUAGGACUGGCUAAACUGACUCAGUGGAGAUCUCAUUUGAUGCCCUUAUAAAAUGAUUACGGAUUCGCAUGCGCAUUGUUGGUCAAGGAUAUAUGAAAUUUUUCGGACGAAACAUGGACCGACCCGGCCCGCUAUGUAGGCCUAAUUAGAGCCCAAAUCUAGGCCCGAUAUGGCCUGCAAUAUAAGCCCAUUUAGGGCUAGUCAAAGGAGGUUAGGACUUGGGCUUAAAUUUCAAUCCCAAGCCGAUAUCGGAUUUGAGCUCAAACGGGUCGAGUAAAUCCAAUAAAGAAGAUCACAAACGGGUCGAGUAAAUCCAAUAAAGAAGAUCACGUGCACGUAUUUAGGAUAUUGUGGUAGAUUGAACAUUCUAGUGUAGAAGUUCUACGAGAAUUUUCAAACCUACUAGACUCAUUAUAAUUCAGUUUCAAAUUUAUGACAAAAUAUAUUUAAACAUAAUUACUUAAUUUAUAAGGCGCAUGGUUAAUCACAUGAGUUCACAAAUUAAAGACCAAAUACGUGAUGGGGUAAAAUUUUUUAUUUAGUGUUCCCAUCUGAAGCUUCUUUCGGCAUUAAAAUUUAAAAACAAUAAGACUCACAACUCAAACUUCAAAAAAAAACACUGCAAUAAUGAUGUAAUUAGGAACUGUUGAAGUUGGACGUGCGCAUGUAAUUUCAAUUACAAAAGUUUAUAUAUUCAAAUAUAUCUAAAUAAAAUACUAAAUUUGAAUCCAAAUAGCUUCUAUUUUAUUUGUAGUACUUGACAUAAACCACGUGCGAGGAGUUCUCCACCUUCCUAAGCGUGCCAAGCACCGGCGCCAACCAACACCUCCCUUCCUCCUCCCAAUACGCGAACCCCUCGCACGUGCAACGCACGCGACACCUCCUCCUACACUCCUCCACGCCCACUCUCCCCUCCCCUCCCAUGUACGCACUCACAAAGCUCUCCACCCCCACCACCUCAUAGUAAUCCGCCGCCGCCGCGGCACCACUGUGGCACCGCCUCGGCGGCGGUGGUGGCGCGCAUUUCUUGCUCCACCCCAUUAGCCCUCCCGUGGAUGGGCACGCGACGCACAUCUCGUCCUCGCAAACGCCGAAUUCACCGCACUUUUGCGGCAAUGCACAUGUGCUCAGCAACCCUAUCGAAUACAAAAUAUUAAAAAUAUCGUUCUCUGCCAGUAAUUCAAGUAAUUAGUAAUUCCAUAUAAUAUUGAAAAAUAUAUAUUGAAAUAUUGUUUUCUAGUAGCUUAAACUUUUAUUAGAGUACUCCGUUGUUUCGAUACCUAUCUCAUCGGAGAACAAUGCGAACGUCUUCUCCCACGCCCGGUAAUCCACCGGGUCGUAGUACGUGUACGCCGCCAAGUUCCCGUCUAUCUCCAACCGCAAGAAGGAUAGUUUCGCAUCGUACUUUGGCCUCGCGAGGAUGAUCGUUCCUUGCCCCGUUGCUAGCCUUAGCUCGUACGCGAACGCGUCCUCCGUCUCGGGCCCGCACUCGAACGUGACCGAGUUCGAAGAGAAGCUCAGCAAGCCAUCCGAGUAGUUGUAAUACGUGAGGUUGUCGUUCAUGAACAACGUUAGGCCACCGGAGCUCAAAACGAGACUAUACGUUCCGAAGGAACCGUCGGCGGUCGAUCUCCGGCUAACGAGCUUCUUCGGCCCCGCGACGAGGUUGAGUGAUUGGCCGACGAGAAGCGUGUCGGUUGGGUGAUCGAAACUCUGCCAUACGAAUCGGUUUUUCGCGUCGUAGAGCACGACAUUGCCGCCGGGGACGAUUUUGAGCCCGACAACACCGCGGUGUGCGGUGUCUGUGGACCACACGAUGCGUCGGUCGGCGUCGGAGAGGACGAGGUUUCCAUCGGGAAGGAGAGAGAAGGUGGCGUUGUCGCGGACGGGGCGGCCGCGGUUGGCUUCCCAGACCCAGCGGAAGACGGACUCGGAUCGGACGGUGCCCAUGCGGAGGGCGAGGUAGAAUUCGCCCGGGGUGGUGUUGUAGAAGGCGAGCUGGAAGGGAGAGGCCGCCACGGGGAGGACGCGGUAGUCGGCGCCGUAUUCGGACACAUAGGGGCCGAAUUCGCCGUUGUUUACGUAGGUAAAGGUUUGGACUUUGGAUUGGGACGAGGCGAUAGAGGAGAGUCGGAUAGUUAAGAGAAGUGUCAAUAGCAGUGUAGUGGCCAUGGACGAAGAAAUUGGAGCAAACGAUCUAGAUCGCGAUGGAAUGGAUGGGAUAAGAAAUUUUGAUUUAUAUAAUAUGCAGUAUAUAUGAAUCCUCAAUUUUGGAACAGGUGGCGGCGAGCGCGGAGGCGCGGGCGGGGGUGAGCGCGAGCGCAGGGCGCUGGCAGGCGGGGGCGCUUGGCGGGGCGCCGCGUGGCGCGGGCGCGCGGGGCGUGGGCAGGCGGGCGCGCGGGGCGGGCAGCGGGGAGGCGCGGGUUGGCAGGCGGGCGCGCGUGACGCGACUCUCUCUCUCUCUCUCUCUCCGUCUACCUCUCCCCCCUCGAGGGGCCCCCCCCCUCUCUCUCUCUCUCUCUCUCGCGGCCCCUCUCUCUCCCCCCUCUCUCUCUCAGUGUAAAUUUAAAAUGAUAAAAUUUNUUAAAAUAUAAACUUUUGAAGUUUAAAAUUUAAAUCUUAAAAUUUGAAAUUGAAAUUUUAAUAUUUUAAAUUUAAUAUUUGAAUUUUUUAAUUCAAUUUAUAAUUUAAUAUUUAAAAAUAUUAAAAUUUGAAAUUUAAAAGUUAAAACUUAAAAUUUAAAAAUUUUAUAUUUUAUCUUAAUUACUAAAACUAAAAUUUAAAAUAUUCAAACUUUAAAGAUUUAAAAUUUUUAAAUUCAAUUUAUAAUUUAAUAUUUAAAUAUUACAAUUUGAAAUUUAAAAUUUAAAACUUACAAUUUAAAAAUUUUAUAUUUUCUCUUAAUUACUAAAACUAAAAUUUUCAAUUUUACAUAUUUUAACUUUAAAUUUCAAUUCCUAAAUUUUAAAUUUUACAUUCUAUAUUCAAAUUUUGAAUUUUAAAAUUUAAAAUACAAAAUCUAAUAUUUGAAACUUAAAAUUUUAAAUUUGAUAUUUGAUAUUUGAUAUUUAAAAGUUAAAAAUAAUAUUUAAAAUUUAUGUCCGAAAGAUGUUUAUUUGAAAUUUAUCAAUUUAGAAUUUUAAAUCUGAAUGAUAGUUUAAAAUUCUACUCUAAAAUUAAAAUUUAAAUUUAAAUUUUAAAUUAAAAAUUAAAAAUUAAACUGAGAUUUUAUGUUGUCGAUGUUGAUCCGCCGCGAAACGCGGGCCCUAACUAGUAAAGGAUAUUAUUUAUCAUAUAUGACAUAAUUUUUAUUUUAUUUUUUAUAUAUGAAUUUUGAUUCCAUGACUAGUUUUGUCAAACAUGGUGAGCAGGAGUCAAUAAUAAUUGUCGGCUGUGCGAAACUAAUUACCAGCACCCAGUGCGCCACGUCAUCAGUACACCGUAAACUUUGAGCCCUUCAUUUGUUUCCGUGAUCCCAUCCUCCACUUUGAUCUCCGUCCAUUUUAAAAGUCGAAGGUAUUUUACUGGUUCAUGGUUGGUGGACCAGGCUGUGGAUGAUGCCUUUGGGCGUUGGUCCAUUUUGACUGCUGACGGUCAAAGCCAUUCUAUGCUUUAAACUUUCUAUUUCUCGUAUCUGACAAUCCAAUCCAACGGUCAAGAUGGAAUCGUAUAAAAUAUUCAUUUUAUCACUAAAUGCCUUCUUAUCAUCAAUGAUGAUAUGCACGAAAAAGUACAAAAAAAGAAAAAAAAAAAGAAGGUAGGAACGAUUUUCGACGUGAGAUUAUCUUGUUCACUAUUUUAUUUUGAACUUACAUAAUAUCUAUUUUUAAUAUAAAACUACUUUAUUAAUUAUUUAUGCAGAUAUAAAAUCUAUAUUAUUUUUGUACCAAGAAAGUCUCAUUAACAAAAUUUAUUAAAAAAUAACUUUUCUUUAUUUAUGUACCAAGAAAGUCUCAUUAACAAAGUCUCAUUAACAAAAUUUAUAUUACUUUGUUGCUCUCUAUUAUAUCAAACAAAUUUAUUAAAAAAUAAAUUGCACCAAAAUUUUUAAUGUCCCAACGUGUUUCAUGAGCUCAUUGGCGCAUAAUAUAAAUUUUUUUAUACACAUAAUAACUUCUCUUUAUUUAUAGACGCUUUAUAGUGUUAUAAUAAGCGGCCAUGUAUACUAGGCGAACCUUUCACUAAACUUUUGUUUUUUUUUUUUUGAAAGAUAGUUAAAAUACUAUCUGCUUCAUUUAUUUUAUUUAAAAAUAAAUUUAGCUGAAAAUAUAAAUCAAUUAAGAUUCGAAUAUAAAAUCUCGGAUACCAAUCAUCAAGUGUUUUGCCAUUUGCGCUAGGAACGGUGGGUUCCACUAAACUUUUGUUGGAUACAACGCAUGACACUCAAACAUGUCAUGAGUUACUCUACUGCCCAAGUGUGGAUAAGGUUAACUCGUGAGACAUGUCGGUGUCUCAGCAAAAUUUCUCCACAAAAGCCAACACAAGCUACUGUUACAACACCAUCCACCCUUUCACACAGGAGCCACGUAACAUGUCUUUAAUUAUUAGAUAGACCUUUAAACUUCCACAACUAGCUAGGAUUUAUUAUUCAAUAACAUCAGAUGCAUCUCGAAAUGUCUAAUAUAAUUUUUUUGAGAGUUAAAAGCAUGCGCGUAUGUGAUAAAGCAAACUACAAUAUGUUUUUUAAUAUUAUUUUUUUAUAAUAUUUGGAAGAUUAUGUGCGUGAUUAAAUAUCUAAAAGUGAAAUAACAUAUUCCGCCUUUAAAUGUUUAUUCAAAAUCGGGCUUUAGUGCCAUGGGCUUGUUCACAAUGGACCGAACAGGCCCAUAAAAUGGAUGGGCCUGAGCCUAUAGUGGACUAAACUGUGUGGAAUAGCUUUUAUAUUAAUUUGAUUUUUUUUUGAAACCAAAUAUAUAUAUAUAUACACCUGUUUCUUAGUGCAGUAGUACAAGUGAGUGAAUGUAAAGUGGUGGUAGGAUUGGUGUAUUAAUUCGAAUUGGUUCCUGCGAUUGUACAUAAUAUGAUGUAUGAAGGAAUAUUAAUAAUAGCACAUUAAAUUAUAUUAUUAUUAGUGUACAAUUUUCUUAGGCAAUUUAUUAUUUUUUUUGAGAGAUAGGUAGCACGCUACUCUCUUCGUUUAUUUUAUUUAAAAAUAAACUUAGUUAGAAAUGUGAAUCAACUAGAAUUCGAACUUAGGUCUCGGGUACCAACCAUCAAAUCUUUUGCCACUUGUUUUAGGGACGGCCGGUUCUUGCGCAAUUUGUUAGGUGCAUAUCAUUGAUGGCAGUGUAAACAUUUAUCAUCGACCUUAACAGGAUUUCCAGCUGAAGUACACCACUGACAUAAAUCAUCAUGUGAUUGCAUGUGAUUCAUUAAUCUGACCAUGAUGUUCUUCUAGCCUUGCUAAUUAAUUAGCUGAGUAGUUGCCUACAUAUAAAUAUAUACGUAUAAGUGUAAAUAUAUUCUUCACAAAUAUGAAUACUCACACGCUCGCACGCACGCACGCACGCAUGUACUAAAUGCGAAAGAGUAACUUCCUCUCUUUGCUUAAACUUUUUUCGAUUGAUCUGGAUUUUUAAUUUAACACAAUCGAAAAAAAGAUUAUCAUAUAGCCAAUUCCAUAGUAGUAAUCAGUACUUCUAUACUUAUACAUUAUUUUUCUUAAAUUUGUUGCAUGGCAAUGUUUCUUUCAUUGUUGAGUGCGCACUCUAUCUCGAAUCGGUUCAAGUCCUUCAUGUAUAUAUAUAUAUAUAUAUAUAUUUUGCUUAAAUCAAAUUGAAUUGUUUUUUUUUAUUUGAACCGCACUGAUCAUUGUUGAGUGUGAGCUAGCACUCUCCCAAACUUGCUCAAGUUUUUUACAUGUUUCCUUAUUUUUUUGUUUAAACUGAAUCUAGUUUUCCUUUUUCUUUACUUGAACCGAACCGGAUUGAUCAACCUGUUGCAUUGAGCCGAACCAGCCAAACUACUCCACAUGUUUCCAUCUUUGAAACGAAAUUUUCUCUUUUUACCUUGAACCGAGCCAAUUAAUGUCUUGUGUGAACUACAACUUGAAUCGGCUCAAAUUUUUCUUCUUUUUACUUGAAUCGAACAAAUUUUUUUUUUUUUUUGCUUAAACCAAUCCAGGUCACUACUCCAUUAGGCAUAAUUGUUUCUCUUCCUCUUCCUUCUGCUGUUAUAUUUCUUCAUCGACAAGAUGAAUUCCACCCUUCAUUAUCGAUUCUUUUAUUGCUGUUUUCUCUUUCUUUGUCGUCGUUUUUUAUUUUUUUUAAAUUAUCGCAUCGCAUGGAUUACUACACUAAUAAAUAUGAAAUUAAGGAGUUGGGUUAGAAUACUAUUGAUAGCAAAAGGCUCUUUUUAUUAUCAAGUUUUUAGCUUUUGAAUUAAUUUCUUUCAUCAUUUCUAACCAUUAGAUUAAAUAUUAUAACCCAGUGGGAACCACUCAAUCCUAGAGGGACCACUCAACUUUAAGGACCUAAUAUCAUCAUAACUUUACAAUUUUAAUCUAAAGGUUAAAAAUUUGAUAGUAAAAAGAAUUUUUUACUAUCAAUAGUAUUGCAGCACAACUCGAAAUUAAGAAUCCUCACUUAACAAUAGUUCCGUACAAAUUUGGAAGGAAAAAAAAAAGGGAUUACCUUGCUAGCUAACUACGUACUUACAUCAUCUUCCUUGGCUUAUAUAGAAAAUGGUUAAUUAACAUCAAAAUUGUGGACCCUGAUGCAGGAAAAGAGAAAAUUGGCACACAACUUUUUAUUUAUUCAAGGCUCAUGAGUGUGACACAAUAGUUCAUGUUACGUAUAAUGUAGCUUGGCACAUAGUAGAGAUAGUUGCUCAACAACUUUGCCUAAAAAUAGACUUAGAAUCUACUCAACCUUAGUUAUAUAUGUAACGAAGAAAUAUUAAAUACAUGAGAUUUUACGUUGAAUAAGUGACUUCUAAGGCAAGGUUUGGUAAGCACUAGAAGAAGGUUUGGAGCAAUGAGGCUCCCCAAUUCCUGUCUCAUUUGUCGGUGUAGAGUGAACGCACUCGGUGCAUCCGUACAUUUUUAUUCUGAUGAUCUAAUCUUUGUAUAGAGAAAAAUAUCAUAACUUAUUGUACGAUAAAGAUUAAAAUAUAUGAAGGUGAAACAACAAUGUGUAGAUUAUUUGCACGGAUGUAAGGAUGCAACAGGUUUGCGCAAUGAUUCUUUUUUUAGUGACCUGAUGAGUUGAUAUUUCCCAUUAACUCGGAUCUGUUGCUUUCGAACCGAUCCGAAUAUGAACAUAUGCGAUCGAUUGGAUGGUUUGGAUCUCGCGAGAUUAUCUCAUGAUGAUACCCUGGACUCUUCGAAGAUCGCAAGGAUAUGCAUACUGGACGCAACUUGAAGUGGAAACAUAUAUCAAUCUGUGCAAUAGGAUUCGAACCAUAUGGCGAAACACUGUAGUACAAAUACACAGGUUGAUAUUUUUCUGAGUAUCAAAUAUGAGAUUAUUAUUUAUAACAAUUGGUGCAUUAAAUUUAGGUAAAUAUAUAGAAUAGAUUAAGUUGUCAUUGACUCUAGGGAAUCGCUAGCUAAGUAAUGGAAGGAUUUCUAGCGGACUGUCAUAAUUUACAUUAGCUAGUAAUUAUUUUUUUAUUUUUUUUAUUUUUUUUUAAUUGGAUCUUGUUUGGAAUGUUUAUGAUUCUCGGAGCUAGUUGUCCCACUUUUGUAGUUCAGUUUAUGUUCGCUAUGAAUGAAGCAGAUAGCAAGUCUAUCUUUCUCUCAAAAAAAUAUAUUUUUUUUAUUUUUUAUUACUCCACACUCAAAAGCAGUGAUGGAGUAUUUUGAACUCAUAGCAGCUUCCAGGAGAAGUUGAUCAUAAAAGAGUUUUUGCUCCAAAAAAAAAAAUUUAUUGUGCCACACUUGUAAUACAUCAUCAGUAAUAAAUAUAUUUUUUUUUUUGAAAGAAAAGUAUAAUAAAAAUAAUUUUCUAUUAAUUAUGAUAGAAUGGGUGAAUUCAAAUAAAACAAUUUUAUUAGUUAAGAACGUCAUGUCGGUAAUAUAACUUGUGCAUUCUAGACAAUUCCGUUCCAGGAAAUAGCACGUAAUUAAGUGCAAGGACAAAGAUAAGAGAUAAUCUAUCUAUACUUUGAAUUGAGAACCCGAAGACGGUACAGCAAGGGCUCUUCGCGAAACGCGCGAGCCGGCGCGAGCCGGGGCGGGCGAGCGGGCGCGGGAGCGAGCCGGCGCGCGUGCGGAGCGGGCGGGUGAGGGUAGCGGCGCGGACACUGCUAGCAGCGGCAAUCCGUUCGCUCCGCGCGCGAGCGCGGGCGAGCGGCGCGCGCGGGCGCGCGGGCACGAGGGAGCGCACGUGCGCCGGCGGGGGCGCGCGAGCGCGAGCCGGCACGGAGGCCGGCGCGAGGCGGGGGUUUUUUUUUUUGUUUUUUCCUGUAGAUCCACUCCUCUCUCUCUCUCUCUCUCUCUUCUCUCUCUCUCUCCUUCCUAACUUCCACUCCUCUCUCUCUCUCUCUCUCUUUUCUUUCUUUUUUUUCCUUUUCUAACUUCCACUCCUCUCUCUCUCUCUCUCUCUCUCUCCUCUCUUCUUUUUUUUUCUUUCUAACUUUUUUUUUCCUUAUUUUGUAGUAUUGUGACUCACAUACAAAAAAUAAAAAUUUAAAUUUAAAUUUUAAAUAUGAAUUAAAAUUAAAAUUUUAAAUUGAAUCGCUUAUUUUGAUGGAUUGCGGCGUGCGAGCGGGCACGAGCCGGCGCGGAGCGGGCUUUUUUUUUAUACUUUUUUCCUGUGGGACCCACAAAAUUUAAAAAAAUUUAAAUAUAAAUUUAAGUCACAUACAAAAAAUAAAAAUUAAAAUUAAAAUUUUAAAUGUAAAUUAAAAUUUAAAUUUAAAUUUUAAAUCGAAUCUCUUAUUUUGAUGGAUUGCGAGCGGGCGAGCGGGAGCUGGUGCGAGCCGGCACGGAGCGAGCUUUUUUUUUUUUGCUUUUUUCCUGUGAAACCCACAAAAUUUAAAAAAAUUUAAAUAUAAAUUUAAAUUUUAAACUGAAUCUCUUCUUAACAGAAAUUAAAAUUUUGUAGUUAAUUUAAAGUUUAAAUUUUAAAAAAAUUUUAAAUUUAAAUUUAAAAUAUAAAUUUAUUUCUAUAUAUCCUUUGAAUCGAAAAUCCUAAGCGGGUACGGCCGGGCUCUCCACGUUUCAAAUUUUAAACAACUCAGAUAAAGAAGACAACUCAAAAGAAUUAUCAUUUAAUUCUAUUAAUAUGAUAUAUAAUAAUUUACUGUUGUAUUGUCUUCCCGCCGCAUUGCGCGGGUCCGUACUUAGUAAUGAAUUAAAAUGUAACCCCUUCAAUUAAAUAAUAAUGUGUUUAAAAAAAGGUUUAGAUCCGCCAUUAAAGCUGAGCAAGUGCACAAAACGUUCCACCACUACGCUUUAGAGUCAACUAUCUUAGUUUGUUAACUAAAUUUUUAUUUAAAAAUUAAUAUAAUAUUAAUAUAAUUAAAUUAAUAAAUCAUACAGGGAUAUAUUCUAUAACGUAUGUAGCUUCGUAAAACGUUACAUGCAGGAAAUGACAAAAUAAACACAUGGGUACAUGUACCAACGGUGGCCAUUAAAUAGCUAGCACAUGUAAUCUACUCAUGCUGUGUUCUAUUGUGGGGAAAUAAUACUAGGAACUAUUUACCUAUCUAGCCUCUUUACAAAAAAAUAUUUCCUAUCUAGCCUUCUUUUGAAAAAUAUUCCCCAUCUAACCUUAUUUUCAAAGAUUAGAGAAAAAAAGAAAAAUUAAUACCUUUAAUAUAUAUUAAGGAGUUAAGUGGGGGAGAUUAUCUUUUUCUCUCUCCUCUCCUAUUUCCCGAGAUCCCUUCUCAUUCUCUAAUUUUUGCGUAUAAUUUAUCUCAUAUCGAUUUAUUUCAAAAUAGAAAAUUUUUAUAUAGCGCAUCAACCAAUUCCAAUUUUUUUAUAUUUUGAUGGAAAUAUUAUGCAUGGUUCGGAAGGAGUUGAUUAUAAUGGUCCUGAUUCAAAACUAUUUGGAUUUCUCGUACUUUAGGUUUUAAUACAUUAAAACAUAAAAUUUAUAGGCCGAAUGGGAUCAAGAUUAUUUUGAUAUAAAAAUUAAUGGGAGAGGAGAGAGAAAAAGAUAAUUUCCCCCACUUAACCCCUUAAUAUAUAUUAAAGGAAUUAAUUUCUCUUUUUUUCUCUAAUCUUUGAAGAUGAGGCUAGAUNGAAAUGAAGGGAAAAAAAGAAAAAAUAGGAAAAAAAAAGAAGAAGAGUCUCAAAAGUGCAUCGGAGAAAGAAGAGAAUAAAAGAAGAGAGAGAGAGAGAGAGAGAGAGAGAGAGAGAGAGAGAGAGAGAGAGAGAGAGAGGGGGUUCUCUUUUUGUAUGAGACAUCACAUUUGAGUUUAAUUUUAGUAAAAUUUGAAUGACUUAUAUGUUAAUACCAUAUGAAAUAAUUAUUUAUCUUUAAAAAUUAAAUUAUUAAUUAAAUAAAAGUAAUUUUAAAAUUUAUGUUCAACCCUGAAGCCUGAUUGCUUGAAUGGGCCCAACAUAUUCCUCAAAUGAUAAUGUGGGACUAAUUAACUAAUUACUAUGAAACAACCGUUAUACUCUAAUAAAAACUUAAGUCCUUCUCACGUUUAGGCUCGAGACUUUUUUUAAGCUCAUGACAUAUACUUGAAUUAAACGGGAGAAAAUUAAUAAUGCUAGGAGCUGGCGUAACUCGAACUCAGAACCUUCUGCUUUGAUACUAUGUGAAACAACUAUUAUACUCUAAAAGUUUAAACUAUUAAAAAAUAGUAUUUAUAUAUUUUUAUAUUUAAAGCAACAUCUCACCUCAUAACUACCGGUGUCAGGCAUCUUCCCUACUUACGUUUAUAUGCAGGUGGUGAUGGAAAAAAAUUUAAAAAUAUAAUUAAAACCAAUUAAGAAGGCUAAUCUAAAAAAAAAGAAAAAAGAAAAGAAAAAGAAAGUUUGAAAUAUUAUGUAUAUGGUUAUAUGUUUAUGUAUCAAGUAAAUAUCAUAUCCUGAAAAAUAUUAUGAUCUACCCAUAAUUCCUGAUAUGGUGGGUUAAUUAUUUUUUUUUUGAAAGAUAGGUAGCACGCUACCUGCUUCGUUUAUUUCAUUUAGAAAUAAACUUAGCUAGAAAUGUGAAUUAAUUAUGAUUCGAACUUGGGUCUCGGGUACCAACCACCAAACCCUUUGCCACUUGCUCUAGGGACGGUCGGUGUGUAUUAAUUAUUUUAAUGAAGCUUAAUUUUAGUUUGGAGUAAACUGUGUGAUUAGUUAACUAUUCCAAUAAUUGCAACGUAGCAAGAAUAGCCUCAUGAUGACCAUUAUAUGUUGCUAGCUAGCUAGCUAGUGCAAUUGACAAAAACAAAUUUGACACCUUAUGCAUGCAAUAGAUCGUGUUAGUCGAUCACCUUUAUUAAGUUAUAUAAUUCAAUCAUACUAAGAAAAUUUAAAAAUAUAUAUAACUAGUUCAUGUAAAUUUGAUUAUUUGCACUUUAGUGAUAAAGCGUUUAUAUGUAGGAGGAAGGAAAAAAAAGCAGUCAACAGAGAGCUGUGGUGAGCAGUCCUGAUCGAGGAGGCUGCCAAAAUAUUCACGAUCUCAUUCUCAUAGUCGUGGAUUCUUUGCGGGACGAAAGUCUGGUGGACUGCUGCAGCAACAGUUGGAGAGAUGUGUGAUAAAUGGAAGCCUCCAUCUCCUUCCCCAUAGUUCAUAUAUAUUUGAUAAUUUACAUUUUAGUCAAUUCAAUCAUGUUUAUAUAUCCUAUAUACAGUAUUUCAAAUCUUAGGAAUAUCAUAUUUCUUUUUCUUUUAAAUCCUAGCGUUUUAGUCAGGCUCAAGCAUACUUACAAAUAGCCGGAGAUGUGGGAAUUAUCUCAUUAGUUUUAGCAGACCUUAUGAAGAGUCGCGCUCUACCCAUAAUAAUUGUUAGUCAGGGAGUUGCGAUCUACUUGCUGUAUGAUUCUAACUCAACUGAGACUCAUAUCACACUUCCAGCUAAUUAUUGACUCUGAUACUAACUGUGACGCCACGCUUCUCAGAGCGAGGGUCAGCCAUCCUAUAGCUACUCUAGCCCAACACUUUUAACCCUUUUAACAUCUUGGAUCCAGCCAGUGUCCAAAAUACUGCAACCUAUGUAUAAAAUUAUUUCGAAAUCAAUAAUCAUCUAUACAUAGGAUAUACCAAAAUACUAUAGCCGGAUUAAGAACUAAGCCUAUAAGACUCGUCUGGUUAGUCUUAGCUGAUCUUUUGGAGUUUUCAAUUGUUGACACAACUCCUACUGUUAUGUACAUUAAUUUUGGUAAAAAAGUUGUAACAUACCAAUGAUCUCCUAGCAACGGACCAAAAAAGUUGAGAAAAAAAUCACACAUUUUACGCGAAAAAAAAAAAUCAUUUUGCUGCAAAGGAAGUAUCUACUGGUUGACUGUUUAAAUAUUUUGGCAAUACCAAAUAAUAAUUAACAAAUCAUUUUGCGUGAACAUAAUCGUAGACAUUUUAUAUGAACGUGGAUCAGCUUCAUUUAUUCUUCAAUAAAAUCGAAUGUCAAUGCCUAUUUAUUAUUCCUUUUGAUAAAUAAGCAACUAUUGCCUUCAAAAUUUCCAUUAUGUCACAAAUAUUGUGUUGUUAAUUUUGUAAUGUGGGCAUAUGCUUAAUCAUUAGAUUAAUGGUUGUUAUUUAAUGUCCUUCAUAUUCCCUAGUAUACACACAAUAUCAUAGGAAUUUCAUUAAUUAACAAGGCCCACAUUUUCAGACAAUAAAUGUUACACUUUUCUUAUUAGGUAAAAUAAUCCCAAAAACUUUAGAUAAAAAACUUUAUUGGAGCUACUACACAACUCCGAUAAUAAUUACAAAGUAUUUAAUCGUCACACAACCACAACUUAUUGUAAUUUUCUAUAAUGGAGGCAAAAAAAUAAUUUACCCCCACCCUCAUAAAUAAGGAGCUGUCACACCCGUAUCUAGUAACCAACAACAAAUGAAACAUUUAAUAAUUAUUAUUACCCUGUUUAUUGCAUUAAUAAAUGAAGCAUUUAAUAAUUACCCUAUUUAUCGAGCCAGUAAUUAAAGCUUAGAAUCUUUCAUUGUGGGGGGAAGGGCUCUGUGGUCAUUUCACUUUGGUUAAAUGUACGAAAACACCCUCGAGUAUGCGCAGAGGCGUUGUUUCAGAAUAACCUAUAGUUGAGGGGAUCAACUUAUAUUUUCCCUUUUAUUUUGUUAAAUUUAUCUAAAUUUGUACGGAUCACUCUAAAAUAGCUCCCUCACUUUAAUUAUUUUUAAUUGACACUCUUUUAACUUUCAAAACUUUUUAAUCUAAACUUUCCCACUAUGUUAAUUUUUAAAAUUUAAUAGUUUCACUAGUAAUUAGUUAUUAUCUCUUUAAUGUUAUUUACUAAAAAUAAUCAAAAUUUAAAAAUUGCCAAUAUAAUAAGCCACUCAUGAGUUUAAUAAAUUUUUUUAAUUAAAUCGAUAAAAAUAAUCAUAAAUAAAUUAAAAACUAAGAAAUAUGAAUUGAAAAAAAAAUGUUACUUGUAUGCUUUAUAAUAAAACCUGUAUAUAUCUUACCUUAUACUCCAUAAUUCUAGAAUUUUAAAAUUGUAUAUUAAAAAAAUAUUAAUAAGACACGCGAGUAAAUCCUAUGCUGAGAAGUUAAGAAUAUAAACUUUACACAUAUAAACUAGAUAUAUAUAGAAUGUUGCUCGUCUUAAAAAUAAAGUAAUAUAAAAAUGUAUGUAAAUUUUACACUCUUUUUAUCUAAAGAUUAAAAAUUGACUUUUGUCUUGUCAAUUUUUUUAUAAAUAUAAAAAAAAUUUAAAAAAUUUUAUGACUCGCUUGGAUGAAAAAUGGUGUUCGUGUAAAUCAUAAACUAGCUUUUCAGAUAUACAAGGAGCAAUUUACUAAAAAAAAAAACUUCAAAUAACACUCUCGUGGUUUUAUACUUUCGCACUUUAGUACCCUAUAGUUUAAAGUGUAUUAAGUUAGUAUCCUAUGGUUUCAUUUUUCUCGUUUUGUUAGCACUUUCGUUAAUAUUUUAUUAAAUUAUAUACAAAAAAUUUCAGAUACCCCAUCUAGGUUUAUAAAAUACUUACUUUAGAACUUUUUAGUUUUAACUUUGUCACUGGUUUAACGAAAAAAAUUAGUAGAACGGAUAAUAAAAAAAGAAAAAUGAAACCAAAGAGUACUAAAUUGAUACAAUUUAAACCACAGGGCACUAAAGUGAGAAAGUGCGAAGCGUGGUAUUUGAAGUUUUCCCAAAAAAAAAAAAAACAAUUAAAGUUGAAGGGGCCAUUUCAGAAUUCUAUAUAGUUGGGGGGCAUCUCCAAACAAUUUUUAUUUUUAUUUUAUUAUUAUUAUUUUUUAAUUUUUCGUCCUUUCUCCUGUAAUAAGCGAUGAUAGUGCUUUUGCAACCUUUCGUUGUUGUGGCUGCUGCUGCAGUUGUUGUUGUGGUUGUGGGAGCGUGUAGAAAGGAUGCAAGUGUGUGGUGUGGCGGUGCCUUGCGAACACGGCAACGCGUGACGCCCCAAAUCCCCGGCGCCUCCCUUCGACAACGAUACUCCCAGACUCUGGAGAGUGACCCAAAAGUGAGAAAAAACAAAAAAGCUCACAUAGUGCGGCGCUCUCGCGCUCGUGCGGAGGUUGCGCCAUCGCCGUCGCCAUCGCCGUCGACGUCGACGUCGUCGUCUUCGGCCGAGUCUUCUUCCUAUAACAGCGCGGGCCUCCGCCAUGAGAGCCCCGGCGCGAGCUCUCGGCCCAUCCGGAUCGCGAUCGGCGUCUCCUCGAGCUCCGCGGUGAGGGGGAGAGGGGAAGGGGGAAGAUGCCUCUGGUGCGGUUCGAGGUGCGGAACGAGUACGGGUUGGGAGAUCGGGAGCUCUACAGAGGGGCCGCGAAGCGGGAGGAGCCAAAAGCGCUUCUCGAUGGGGUCGCCGUCGCGGGGCUCGUCGGGAUCUUGCGCCAGCUCGGGGAUCUCGCCGAGUACGUGAUCCUCUUUUCGUUUUCUUUAUUUGCUCGGAGUGGAAUUGGGAUUAGCGGUUAAUUUUCUUCCUUUUUACGCUGGAUUUUUUGUUGAAUUUGAGUUUCGGAUUAGAUUUUUCAGCUGCGUGCUUCAGCAAUUCUCUUAAUUAACUGGAAUUUGUGUAAUAAUUGAGGGAUUUGGAAUUUUGGCUUCAACUGUGGAGCUAGAUGGGAUAGAAGAUCGGUGAUUAUGUGGAAAUUUCGGCUUUUAACAGUCGAGUUGGAUGGUGUAGCUUUUGUAUGUGUAGAUCCUCCUUGCUGUGGACUGAAAUUUAUGGAGGAUUUCUACAUAUGCGGUUUCCUUUCGAGAAUUUCUAGUAGUAGGAAUGCUUGAGAUGCAUUUAGAAAUGUGCUCAACCGGAGUGGCGGUAGUGACCAAGACAGAAGAUAUUUGUACUUGGUUAUGUAGGUGCAGCAGAUCUUCGGGAUUCAGUGACGUAAACGUUAGUGGCUUGAAUUUUAUCUGCAUGAAAGCAUUUAUUAUUGGGUGGAAAGAAACGGCUUAUGGCGUAGAAAUGGUGAUUUUAUUGAGGUAGCAUCGAGACAUCCCUACCAUUAUAGGGCCAAUUAUCUGACUAGAAAGACAGUCUGUUCGAUUGGCCAAUGAACUGGUCUGUAGAGAGUUUAGGCUUCUGGAAAGAUCGAGAAGAGAGGUCGAUCAGUUUGGCAUUACCAUCAACCGGCUCAAAGCAUUUCAUUUCCUAACUAAGAUGUUUUAAUUUGGUGUGGAGUCAUUUUUUAAAUAAGCAUUGGGGAGACUGAUUUUUUUGUCAAAAUGUCUUUCCUGGUAUGGCCUGCCGAAAAUGGUAAACUAAAAUAGGACGACAUUAACUAGAGGAGCAAAAGAUGGAGUUUUAGGACAUUGUUGUGGCGGUUGUGAAGAUAGGUUGGCACAUGGUAGAAAGUGGAGAUUGGACGUGCAAUGUUGAAGGAGGUAACGCCUUUUGUUCAGGGAAAAUACAGCUGAAGAACUGAAACGAAUGACAUAAAAGUGAAGUAUCAAAAGUUUCGUUCUGAACAAAUGUGAGAAGUUGUUGAUUACAACGAUAUUGGUGGAUAUUUGAAAUGUUGUGUCAUGUCUAUAAACUCGGAAGUUGUUAGCGGCACAGGUGUAUAAUAUUAUAAGCUUACUAUAGUCUUUUUUGAUCCAAUUUGACUUUCUAGAAAACCAUCUUAAGAUUUUAUUUUACAUUUGUCAGUUGCGUGACAUCCAUGUAAUUCUUCAUAUGAAGGAGCCAAUAUUUAGUUGUUGGAGAACCAGAAAGGAAGAUAAUUAUGCUGAUCAAAGUGUUUACCGUUGAACAAAUAAACUUCACGAUGAAAAAAAAAGAAAAAAAGAAAAAAAGGAAAUACAAGACUGGGAAUCUGACCAUUAGUAGUAAUCAAGCCUCUUCAUGGGCCAUUGACCUUGCACUGACGAUUUAUUUGUCUACAUGGUGCCCUUUAUCUAAAGUUAACUUCUAGAUUUUACUAGUUCUUUUUAAAUUUGAUUUCCUUGGUAGUGGACUUCAAAUCAUGAUUCAAUUGACCUCUUUUAUCUUGUGGGUAUGUAGCUGAUUAUGUCAGUAUUGAGACAAAAUUUUGGCAACUUACUAGGUUUGCUGCGGAUGUUUUCCAUGACCUUCAUGAGCAAAUGACAGCAACAGCUGCAAGGGGGCGCAAAGUGUUGCGUCGAGUGCAGAACAUCGAAGCAGCACUUCCAACUCUCGAGAAGGCCAUUCAGGGACAGAAGAGCCAUAUUCAUUUUGCAUAUGUUGCAGGUAUCUUUUUUCGAUAGGAUUUUUAUUUAUAAAUGCUGCCGAAGUAUGUAGCAACCAAGGUUAAAAGUAGGGUCAAGCAUUUCUUAUGGAUUUCCAGUUAGUCAACUUCCUUUAUUAAAUUUGAAAUUUCGUGGCUGGAUAUGAUCUUUUGAACUAUCGAUUCUCAAAGCGUAGAUAAGAAAAAGAAGUGGAGAUGUAAUUUACAUUUGGUAUGCUACAACAUGCAGUGAAGUAUGUAGUAUGAGAAUAAGUGCGAAAGUUUCUUUCAAGAUGACAUAAUGAAAUUUGCUAAUUGGAGAUGGAUUAAUUUUGAGUAUCAAGCCUUAAAAAAGGUUGCCUUUGUUUUGUUGGUUCUACUAAUGUCCUCCCUUUUUUUUGGUACAAAUCUGUGAGGAUACCUGUUAUCACUGUCAUCUUAUUUAUCCCAUAUAAUUCAUAUGAUGUACCGAAGAAGACAGUAUAUGUUAUCACUAUCAUCUUAUUUGUUCCAUACUUCCAUGUUAUAAUUCAUAUGAUGUACUGAAGAAGACAAUGCCUGGCCUAAUCGCUUUCUCCUGUAUGUUGAGAUUGUUUGGCUUCUUGAUGUAAUAUUUUAAACCAGGUUCUGAUUGGCACGCCCAUAUUCGGAACGAGCAAAGCCACCUAUUAUCCACUGAACUGCCACGCUUUAUGAUGGAUUCAUAUGAAGAAUGUCGUGAUCCACCACGUCUCUACUUGCUUGAUAAGUAAGAUUUGGAUAGUUGUAAGUUCGCUGUUCACUGGCUUUUUCCCUGGGUCUUAUUACUUUGGUUCUGCCUGUCAGAUUUGAUAGUGCUGGUGGUGGAGCUUGUCAGAAGAGAUAUUCAGAUCCAUCCUACUUUAGAAGGGCGUGGAGUAUGUCAAAAAUGGGAAAAGCUGAAAGCUUCCAAAAAGAGAAGAAAAUUCAUAAAACUAAGGUACAUGUUGCAUUUGUUCUCUUCAAUUUCUAAGUUAUGUAAAACAUUCCAAAAUUUCUACGUUCAUUGGCAAAACCCUGAAAAUUUUUGUGUAAUAUAUAAAUUGUACAGAGGAAGGUCUCACGGCUUAGGAGUGGUGAACUACUUCAACAUGUUCUGGGUGCUUCUGGAUACAAUAGCAGGUAUUGCCCCUAUAACCUACUGAUUCUAUUAAAAUCAAUCAAAUCUCUUAACUAGACCAUGUGCUAUUUUAGGCUUUAAUUAUAUAAAGAUUUAUAUAUUUAUUCAAGCAAAUUUGCUAGCAGACCGCGCUUUACAUCUCCAAGCACCGAUGGGCAAUUCUUUUCAGAACACAGGACUAAUGGAACUCAUUUUGCAUCUUCAAGCACAGAUGGACAAAGCUUUACAGAGAAUAGAUCUACACCUGAUAUGAGAUACAAUCUGGAAGUUGCUAGUAGGUCUACUUCUUUUAGUUCAAAACCAAGGUUGAGUUUUGUUGAGCAAGUAGUAGAUACUGAGAUUGAUUAUGAUAUUCUAUCGGAUGCUAAGCUUCAUGACAAACAUAGUGAUGCCUCUCCUUCAGUUCUUCAUGAUGAACUGAAUGGAGAUGGCUCGAAUGAUGAUUGUUACCAAAAUGGUUCUGGGAUAGGGCAAGAUGUUGCUACAUCAUCUUAUGUUACAUGGGAGGAAAAAACUGAAAUAAUUAAGCCUUCAAGUUCCUUAUCUUGUGAUGAUGUAAUUAUCGCUGAGGUUGAAAAUUUGGAGACCGCACAUAUGAACUUUGAACAGCCCGACAUUGACCAUUCUGACAAAGGAAUCCAAGACAUUGACCAUUCCGACAAAGGAAUCUUGGAUCAACAAGGGGUAUUACCUGAAAUUGCUAAAGCGCCAGUAUCAUCAUCUGCUCCUACCCACUUCGAAGAAAUUACAAGUGAGACAGACAACUAUAUGGAUGCGCUUAACACAUUGGAAUCUGAAACAGAAGCAGAAGCUGAAUGCCAAACGAAACGAGAGGUUAAUUUACUAUCUAAUCCCAGUUCUGAAGGAAUUCAAGUCGGGACUGAAAAGAUGCAAGUCCAGGAUUUGCAGCCUCCUGAUAUAUCUGGUAGUGAAGCUAUUAAUACAUCUCAUAGUAUGUUGAACGAGCAUGACUCCGGAAAUUCAUCAAAAACGGUCCCUUCAGAUAGUUUAGAACAGUUGUUGCCCCCUCAUAAUAUUCUAAAUGAAAUUUCUGGAAGUAACGAUCAUGAUGGUGCCACAAUGACUACUGAUGAAUGCGUUGGUGAUAAUCUGUCUUCUGUAACUGGUGUUUGUAGUAUAGUUGAAUCUCAAACUAUUCCUACUGUUAAUAUUUCUGGUUUAUCUUCGACCAAACUUUGGACUAAUGCUGGCCUUUUUGGACUUGAACCUUCAAAACCUCCAGACUUUGGUGCUCUGAAUGUUGUACAGGAUAACCCCAUACCUGAAUCUUCAGAUUCUGCACAUGACCUUUCAAGUGAUAGGGUAAAGCUUAAAUUAGAGGCGGUAGACAUACCCAAUGGAAAUAUGUCAACGGAAUCCAACUUUGUAGGGAGAAUGGAUGAGAAUAAACCUGGAAAGCAGAAUUUGGCAAGUGAGAUUGAUGAGCCUAUUGGUGAACCAGCAAAUAGCAUUCAUGCUUAUUCUAGUGGAACUGAUCUGGUAAGAAAGAAAGAUGUUUCUCCGAUAGCUGAUUUGCCAGUGGCUUGCAAUAUAACUCCAGAACACAAUGAUUCAGGCGGGGGAACAAAGAACAUUUCAUCCAGCUUUUCUGACCUUGCACAAAGAUUUCUUGCUAAUACUCUUCAAAGAAGAGCUUCUCUUACCUAUGCCUCUGUGCCAUCUGGAACAGUGAAUUCCGAUGUUGGAAACCACAAGGUAGAGUCAAAUGGAGUCAUAUCUCAAGGUUCUUUCCACCAAACUAAGGAAAAAGUUUCACAUAAGAUAUCGAAAAUGUCAAUUUCUCCUCGCUCUCAUUAUUCUGGGCAAUCAUCUCCACCUCUCGAGCAUAUGAAAUUCUCUUUUCUUCCCAUGAAUGGUUCGGAAACCUCAAAACUGAAAUUGGAGUUUCCUAAUGGAAAUCUUCAUGAAAGUGCUGAUGAUUUGAUGUUUCCGACGUUUCAGUUGCUACCAAGAUCUGAUUUUCGUUCAGCGGAAAAUGGUUGUGAAUCGGAUGAUGACACCUUUUGUAGAUCUUGCCCAUAUUCUUCAGAGGAUAUUGUGAGCCCUCGUUCGUAUUCGAGCUCUGAACUGUGGGAGCAAGAAGAGAAUUCCGAAUUUGAAGACCAUAAUAAAAAUGAGGCAAAUAAUGGGGCUUUACCCUUUGAUUCUUCUUCAGCAAUGGAUCUUCCAGGUAUUGACUCUGUUAUGCCCUUAAACAACCAACAGAAUGGAAACCAUGAUCCCAUGUAUAAUUCGGUAAGUAUGGCAACGCAAAACCAAGAUGAGAUGCCACCACCGCCCCCUCUCCCUCCAGUGCAAUGGAGGUUGAUGAAACCAUCAGUUGAUUCAGGAGAAGACAAGAAUGCUAAAACUGAGGAAAGGUUUAUCCAGUCAGAUUUUCCUCAAUCUCCAAGUCUUACUUCUGCACAGCAGGAAGGGCGACUUGCACCAAUAGCACCUUUUUUUCCCGAGCCCUUGCCGCCACAGCAAUUGAAGAAUAUGGUAUAGUACAAAUUUGUCAAGUUUGUUCUAAAGAAAUCAAUUAUGAAGUAGAUUAGAGUUGUUUUUGUCUAAUACAUGGUAAUUCUUUUUUUCGGUUUUUUUUUUUUUUUGUGGUAGCAUGAUGUGGAGAAGCUAAAUGGGCACUUAGAAAGAAAUCAUGCUGCAGGUAGCAAGGAAGUGAAAGUAAGGGAGGAGCUGCUUCACCAAAUAAGGAAUAAGGUGGGCAUUACUCCUCCAGUAUGAUUUGUUAGCUUUUCUGAUAUCUUCGCAUAACAUUUCCUAGAAGAAUGUCAUUCUUUGGACUGAGAAUAUGCAGAUUGCCUAUAGUAUGCACACUGAGAAGCAUCACCUGCAUAAUGGACAGCUUAGAGCUUCUGACUGUCAUUGUUAAGGGGAGGGGGAAGAAAAGCAAUUGACCAUUUCAUCUGUUCUCAGAAUAUUUAACUCUUUACACUGUGUAGUCGCUAUUAUCAUCACCAGGGUGAUGAUUGUGUAGGCGGUCAUGGAAUAACUUAGUCCUCAAUGGGUUUCUCGCUUUUAUGUUGUAACCAUGAUUUCAAACUGUGGAUCAUGUUAGUUCAUGAUUAUCUCUACUUUUAUUUUAUUCUGUUGAAUGUUCUGGGACAAUUGAAUUUGAAGGUUUUGGUAAUAUGUUAUUCGGAACCUGAUUUUUUUUUUUUAUUGUCAUAUUGCAGGACCAAUAUCUGCAACAUGAUCAGCAAAGGCUGAAUGGGCACGAAAUGCCAAGAAGUUAUAGCUUCAAUACCAAGAAUUUUGAUGAAAGGGAUGAGUUGCUUCAUCAGAUCAGGAAUAAGGUAUCUAAAGUAACUUACAGAAUAUCAGAGCCUUUUUUUGCGUAAAACUCUUGUUAGUCAGAUCUCCUUUGUUUACUCGAGUGCAUUUCGUAAUUUGUUCACAAGGUGGAUAAGAGGAUGUAUGCAAGAACAUAAAAUAUACAGCCUCUAUGUCAAAUUUUUUUUUUUCUUUUUCAGAAUAUAUGACUCUGAGAUUCAAAGAAAUUGUUGUUGGCAAGUCAAAGCUUGUUACUUAAACAUAAAAUGCUUAUGUGCUAUUCUGCAGGCAUUUAACCUGAGGCGCACCACCACAUCAAAACCGAGUAUCACAUCAGAGACUGCACCCAAUGCCAGUGUUUCUGCCAUCUUGGAGAAAGCAAAUGCUAUCCGCCAGGUUUCUUUUGUCUUUAUUAUUUGUUAUUUGUUUUUUUUUCUAUUUUCCUAUGAUCUCCGAAGUUUGCAUUAUUUAUAAUCGGUUUAAUUCUUAGCAGGCAUUUGUGGGUAGCGACGAGGGAGGUGAUGAUGAUAACUGGAGUGAUAUGUGACCCCUCGACCGAACUGGCCAAAAGACUGUGAAUAGCAUGCUGUUCCCUUUAAUGUAAUUAUAUUUUGCAGGUCUCUUCUCUCUUCCUAGUAUAUUUUCUUAUUUAAUUGCUUGUAAGAUUCAUAUUAUUGUAAAAACGUUGGUUCGUCUAUUCCUGUUGUAAAUCUGUUUCAGUUAUUUAUUAGUGAGAAAAGCUGAUAAAGUAGGCAUGCUAAGUUGCCCUUCUGCUGUAUUACAAAAGUUGGAUUAUCUCUUUGAAUGCUAAUCACUGUUGAUAAGGUAGCUAGUUUUUCAUUUGAGUUCUUCAAAAAGAAAAAUGAACUGAUGCUCUUAGGUUGGGGAUAGCAAUAUGGCAGCGUCUGAUGCCUGUUUUGCUUCGUAAUGUUUCAAUUUCGAGUAAUCUGCAUCGACAAAUGGAUAUUGUUAUAUUGUGGAAUAAAAAGACCAUGCAAAGUGUACUAGUCCCAAAUAAGUUGCUACUUUUCGCUUCUUGUUUUUGCGUAUGCAUUUGUGUUUGCGUUGUCCUACAGAUAGUUGGAUGGGACUACAGCAUUAACUGCCUAUUUUCAGCCUUCUUAAAGAACCAUUUUGUUUAUUUUCGGUGUACAUAUUUCAGAUUCAUCGCGCUGCGUAUUCACCGCAGAGUUGCUCUGUGCGCAGGUAUUUUUUGUAUUCAGGCCUGAAGAGAGUUUGAACUCGAUUGAUACAGCCUUUGAAAUAUUCUAUCUUCUCUAUCUCGAGAGUUGUGGGAGCCUCAUCUAUUUACCUUUCGUCUUUAAAUUUAAUUGCACGAUUUCUUUUGCAUGUCUUUUUUUUUUUUUGUUUUAAUCAAGUAUUUGUUGACUAUUUCGCUUCAUCAUACAUAGUGAGCUCUACAACUCUAGUAUAUUGUAUAAUCAAAUCAUAUCAUACAAUAACCUGAUCCUGUAUAGUAUAUGUUUUCGGCAAAGAAAAUCUGAAGGCCAGUUUUGUUAACCAGGUUUAUUGCAUUGAAAUAUGCUGAAGGAAUGUACAUUUUAUAUCGAAAGAUUAGAGAAUUGAAAUUUUUUUUGGAUUUUAUAAAAUAAAAAAAUAGACUAGUGGGUUAAUAAGGACUACAAAAAAUCGAUGGGUGUAACUCUUGUAAAUUUUACAUCUAUAAGCAGAGUGUGCCAAUAGUAUACUGCUCUAUUGCACCUUAGGUUCGUAAAUUAUGUGAAUCCCUACUAAACAAGGUUUUUCAAACCCCAGUUUAUUGCGCGAACAUUGUUUUUGCUUUCUUUUUUUUUCCUCCAAAUCCACAAAGAAAAAGAAAAUAUUGACUUUUUAAAAAAAAUUUAGAGAUGCUACUGAAAUUUAAUUGGUGAUAUAGUCUCUGCAGUCAGAUGGUCAAACUACUUGAAAACCAAGUCAAAUGAAUGCAUCUCAAAGUAAUACAAGUACUGAAUUUGCUGGUCUCCAACUGUUUUUCUUAAAUUUAAGUUUUAACCUUCACAGGAGCUGCAAUUCAACAUGAAGAAUGAUGGCUAAUUUAUCCACCAAACGAAAAAAGUAAAAAAAAAAAAAAAGAAGAAAAAGAAAAACAAUGAUGAUUCAUUUAAAAAAGCCAAUGAAAAAAAUUGCCAAUAAUUGUCACCUAGUCACGUUCAUGCGUCGCCACGAGGCACGCUUGAGUAAAUAUCUUAUCUAAAUUAAUGUCACUGGGACCCAAUUAUUGUCCCAUUAGACGACACGCGUGGACAUAAUUUUUUAACGUUUUAUAAAAUAGUUGUCUGAUAAUAAUAAUAAUAAUUGGUCGAAAGUUAUUACACGUAGACAAAUGCACAUGCAAUUGCGACUUGCGAGUUUGGUGCCAUACAUGCAUGUGGCGGACACUUUUUCUUUUUUGAUCUUCCUUUUUUUAAAAAUUUUCCAACUUCAAAUCCACUUGUCAUGUUAUAUUAAUUAUUUUAAUUAAUUAUUUUACCUUGCGAACAUAGAAAAAUAGAUCUGCAUUAAAAAUUUUGAUAAAAGAGAUUCAGUAGAAAAUUCGUUGAUCCGAAUGAUUUGAGGCUUAACCAUUUCAUAAUCUCCGAUUUCAGUGUCGCAUGUGACAAAAUAAUAAGUUAUGCAAGAGUACGUAAGUAAAUUAUGAUUAUUAUUUCGAGCUGAAAUUGCAUUGGCAUCGGUGUAUAUAUGCCAAAUAAAGAGGGAACUUCUCAAUGUAACUAAUAUCUAAGAUUUUAAUGAUUAAAAAAUAAAGAUUGGAGGGGUCAAAAAAUUUGCACAAAUUAAAUAAGAUGAUUGUUUUAAAUUGUUUUGCUAAAAUGUUAAUGGCUACGAAACAUAUUUUAUUUAGUGCUAUCUUAAUCUAUAGUGUUGUUUAAGAAAAUGCUAUCUUAUUAGUGCUAUUAGAAAAAAAUAUAUAUAUAUAAUGAAAUCCUUUACUAGCUUUUGUAGUAAAAUCAAAAUAUUAAAUUAGAGUUUCUGUUUCUAAGACUCUAAAUUUCAUAUUUGCCCAAAAGUUGCGGAGAUUUUUUUUUCUUAAUUAUUCUACUAAAUACUAUUACGAAUGUUGCUGAAAGCUAAAGCAAUAACGGUGCAUUUUUUAUAAGCUUAUGGACACAGAAUGUACUAUAUUUUAAUUUAGGGUUAUUUGCAUCCACGUUCCUGCAAACAUAGUGAAUUGCAGAAAUAUUCCUACAAAACGAAAAUUUCAUAAGUUGUCCCUACAAAAGUCCUAAGUUAUGCAGAUAUGUCCCUCUGGUUAAAAUCCGUUAGUGAACUGUUUAUUUUUUAACAGUUUUCUUGUGAAAUGAUUGUUUUGCCCUCACAAAUAUAUCCCUCCAAAAGUAUCCUCUUCCCCUUCUCUUUCUCUUCCUCUUCGGGCCGUCGAAGCGGACAACGGCGACGACGCAGGGUCGGAUUCGCCGGCGACGAAGAGGAGGGAAGAGAAAGAAGGAGAGGAAGAAGAAGUGGGAAGAGGAAGAAGGAGAGGAAGAAGGAGAGGAAAAAGGGAAGAGGAAGAUGGAGAGGGUUUGCUGCCGCCGCCGCCGCCGCCGCCGUAUCUCCUCCCUUGCCGGCGACGAGGAAGAGGGAAGAGAAAAAGGGAGAGGAAGAAGAAGGGCUAAGAGAAAGAGGGAGAGGAAAAGGGAGAGGGCUCGCCGCCGCCGUCGCAUCUUCUUCCUCGCCGGCGACGAAGAAGAGGGAGAGGAAGAAGCAAGGGGAAGAGGAAGAGGAAAGAGGAAGAGGGAGAGGAAGAAUAAGGGGGAAGAGGAAGAGGGAGAGGGUUCGCUGACGUCGUCGCCGCCGCUGCUGCAUCUCUUCGCAGGCGAUGAAGAAGAGGGAAAAGGAAGAGAAGGAUGAGGAAGAAGGGUAGAACCGUAAAUUCACACUAUUAACUAAUCGUGGUUAAGUAGUUUAACUGUGGUUAACUAAAUUUCUCUAACAGACUCUAACAGCAGGGACAUAUCUGCAUAACUUAUGACUUUUGCAGGGACAACUUAUGGAAUUUUCGUUUUGCAGGGAUAUUUCUCCAAUUUACUAUAUUUGCAGGGACGUGUAUGCAAAUAACCCUUUAAUUUAUUUAGUUACAUUUUUUUUUUACUUUAAUAUAUAUAUAUAUAUAUAUAUAUAUAUANAUUGAGCUUCAAUGCUUUUAAAAAUAUAAAGUCAUUGAUGCUUGUAGGUUUGCAGUUAUUGAAUUAAAAGGUGUGCGGUUAGGAUGAUAGUGAUUUCCUAAAGUUAAGUGGGUGAGUGGUUGAAUAGUAUGAUUUAAUCGGUGGGUGAGUGGUUGAAUAGUAUGGUCUAAUCGGUGAAAAUGAUCCAAGUGAUUGAGCUAACAGCGGAAAACGUACAAGCACCAAGUGUCAAUGCUCCCACCCACUCAGCCUUAGGAUACCAAUAUUAUCCCAACCGCACAUCUUUUAAUUUAAUGACCGAAAACCACAAGUAUCAAUCAAUUGAUACUUUCAAAAGUAUGGGAGUUUAAUUCUCUCUCUCUCUCUCUCUCUCUCUCUCUCUCUCUCUCUAAGCUAGAGUUAGUAUAUUUUGAUGAGUAGAAACUUUUUUUGUACUUAUAGGGUUGAGUGGGUGGUUGGUUGAGUUGUAUGAUCUAACAUGUAAAAAUUGUCAAAGAAGUAGAUCUAAUGGUCGAAAAUUUAUAAGUAUAAAUAAAAUCUAUACUCAUAAGAAUAUAGUAGCCGAACUCUCUCUCACUCUCUCUCUUUCUCUCUCCACACAAACACACACACACACACACACACACACACAUAUAGUUGAGGUGGAAUGCUGUCGAUAACAAACGUGCUCCGUUGCCACCAAUUUAUUUUCGAUAAUAGAGCAUUCAAAUCGAACCUUUGAACAUUAUCUAUACCAUUUGAAAUAUCUAAAAACCAAAUUUUAAAUCUUUUCGAUAUCAUUAACCUAAUAAUCAAAGGGUUUCAAAAUUUGUAAUUUUAAUUGUGGAUAGGAAGCGUUUUCUUGUUUAACGAUGUAGUGAUAUUCAAAUCAAUUGAAUUUUGGUUAGAAAAUUUUUUAAACUAUUUAGAACAAGAUCUAUACUCUCGACCUUGAUUAUAAAAUUCCUAUCAUCACUUUUUAGAGAUAAUCAUUUUUAGCUGUUUAUUUUUACGCCCACUUGAUGGACAAGAGAACAAUAUCGAAAAAGAAUGAAAUUUGAUUUCUAGAUAAUUCAAGUGGUAUAGAUCAUUUUCAACGGUGCCAAUCGUCGAUUUGGAGGCUUCAUCAUUGAAAACAAAUGGAUGACAACGAAACCUGUUUGCUACCGAUAGUAUUCCAGUUCAACUCUCUCUUUCUCUCUUUCUAUAUAUAUAAAUAUAUAGAACUAGGUUAGAAUACUAUCAAUAGCGCCAAGCUAUUGACGCUAUUAGUUUUUUAGCUAUUGGAUUGAAAAAUAUGUGGUUAGGAUGAUAUAGGCCUCUUAAGGUUGAGUGAGUGGUUGAUUUAAUAGUAUAAUCUAACGGAUAAAAAUAAUCAAAUAAUUAAAUCUAACAGUAAAAAACUCUAUAGCACAAAAUCCUUAGUCCUAUUAAUAGUAUCCCUUUUCGACUUUCUCUCUCUCUCUCUCUCUCUCUCUCUCUCUCUCUCUAAGCUAGAGUUAGUAUAUUUUGAUGAGUAGAAACUUUUUUUGUACUUAUAGGGUUGAGUGGGUGGUUGGUUGAGUUGUAUGAUCUAACAUGUAAAAAUUGUCAAAGAAGUAGAUCUAAUGGUCGAAAAUUUAUAAGUAUAAAUAAAAUCUAUACUCAUAAGAAUAUAGUAGCCGAACUCUCUCUCACUCUCUCUCUUUCUCUCUCCACACAAACACACACACACACACACACACACACACAUAUAGUUGAGGUGGAAUGCUGUCGAUAACAAACGUGCUCCGUUGCCACCAAUUUAUUUUCGAUAAUAGAGCAUUCAAAUCGAACCUUUGAACAUUAUCUAUACCAUUUGAAAUAUCUAAAAACCAAAUUUUAAAUCUUUUCGAUAUCAUUAACCUAAUAAUCAAAGGGUUUCAAAAUUUGUAAUUUUAAUUGUGGAUAGGAAGCGUUUUCUUGUUUAACGAUGUAGUGAUAUUCAAAUCAAUUGAAUUUUGGUUAGAAAAUUUUUUAAACUAUUUAGAACAAGAUCUAUACUCUCGACCUUGAUUAUAAAAUUCCUAUCAUCACUUUUUAGAGAUAANUAAUAAUAUGACAUUAAAAUUUUAAAUCAAAGAUAUUGAUCUUGUUUUAUAUAGUAUAAAGAAUUUUCUAUCAAAAUUUCACGUGAUUUGGAUAUUUCUACACCGUUAAACUUGCAAACGGCUCACUACGACCAUUGAAAUUUGUUGAUUUUGAGCCCAUUCGAUCACUAGGCAAAUAAUAUCGAAAAAUAAUAAAAUUUAUUUUCUAGAAACUUCAAAUACUCUAGAUCAUGUUUAACGGAGCCGAUCGACGAUUCGAAAGUCACAACAUCGAAAACGAGAUGGAAACACGGAAGGCUCCGUACUUUCGAUAGCAUAGUAACCUCACUUUAUAUAUAUAUAUAUAUAUAUAUAUAUAUAUAUAUAUAUGAUUCUUGCCAAUACCUUCACAGGCCAUAAAGAAGGAAAGGAAUAUUCCCUAUCGGAUCAUCAGAUGCUUAAAAUAUGCUUGUGUGACGAGUUGAGGUGACAUUUUGGAUAUAUUUUUAAUCAAAUUGGGCAACAUUUUGUAUCAUGCUAUGGGCAAAAGAAGAGCACAUCGAAUUUGAAAUCUCAAUAUGUUUGACGCCGUCGUGAAUGCCAGGUAUAUAUGUCUUUUUUUUUUUUUUUCCCCAUUUUUUUUUGCUACGCUUUUAAGGAAAUACCCAUGCGGCUAAUUAAUUAGUGGAAAUUAUUAUAAGGUCUCUCCGUUAAUUAAUAAAUGGAGGACCUUUUUCUCGUAUUAAAAAAUGGAAAGAUUGGUCUCUUACGACUCACAUCAAAUGUCACCCAUUGGAACAAGAAAUCGACCCGAGUGUUUGAUUCUUUUCUUUUCCAUGCUUUAUCAUUGAAAACCCACUAAUUCGGGGGCUAAUUACAACAUUGUUUGUAGGUCCCUAAACAGUUAUUAGUUGUUUCUGCAGUGUUUUCAUAUGAUUUACUAUUCUUAAAACUCUGAAAAUUCAUUUUAACUUUUGCUACUACCAAAACUUUACUUUUGAUUCACAAGUGUUUUAUUUUUAAUGGGUGCAUUAGGGAUGUCAAUGGGUAUGGAACUAUAGAUAUCCGAAAUUUUAUCUGAACCCGAACCCGAACCCAAAUGAAACGGAUAUAUCCGAUGCUAAAUGGAUAUGGAUUCGGAUAUGGAUAUCAAAAAUAGAAACCCGACGGAUAUGAAUUCGAAUAUAGAUUUUGACUGCACCCGACCCGAACUCGAACCCGAUCCGAACCCGAAUUUAUUUUGUAUUAUAUAAUAUAUAUACCCGACCCGAACCCGAACCCGACCCGAACCCGAAUUUAUUUUGUAUUAUAUAUAUAUAUGAUGUUAUAUUUGAAUUUGUAUUUUAAAAAUUUAGAUUUAAUAUAAUGUAUUUUGAAAUACUAAAAAGAAAAAUAAUUGUUUCGGGUUCUAAUUUUCGGGUUCGGGUUCGGGUUCGGGUUUCGGAUUUUUGGUCGGAUUCGGGUUUGGAUAUGAAUUUUUAAAAUCUGUCGGGUUCGGGUUCGGGUCUCAAGUUUGGAGUCGGAUUCGGGUUCGGAUUUUAAAAAAUCGGCCCCGAAUCCGACCUGUUGACAUCUCUAGUGCACAUGCGUGUGUGCGCGCACGCGCGAGCGCAUCUGUGUGUGUGUGUGUCUCUGUGUGUGUGUGUGUGUGUGUGUGUGAGUGAUUCAUUUGAUCAUGUUGAUCAAUUAUUAAUUUUCUCGUUUAACAUUUAUGGAGACCCCUGAGUGAUUCAUUUGAUCAUGUUGAUCAAUUAUUAAUUUUCUCGUUUAACAUUUAUGGAGACCCCUCAACUAUACGCCGUUCUAAAUAAAUGGCGCCCUUUAACUUUCUUCUGUUUAAUUCAUCUUUUCUUAAAUUCCACACUCUUUAGAUUUUUUUUUUUUUUCUCACAGAAAAAAAGACAAGAAAAUCAACAUGGACCACAUCAUUAGUUGAUUCCAGGUUAUGAGGCAAAAUUGCGUUUGUUGUCAACAUCCCAUGGACCCACACUUAUUAGAUUUAUUUGCAAAAUUAAUUAAAUCCUAUAUUCUCAUUUAUUGUCCAAAAUCAAUGCUUAAAAUGUUCUCUUUAAAAUUAAUAUUUCUAAUUUCUCUGUUAAAAAGUUAACUGAACACUUACUAAUUUUCGAAAACCCUUCAAUGAAGUUAAAAAAAAAAAAAGGAAAAAGAAUGAGGCAUAUCAUAUGCUUCUUUAUUAGAAUUUUGCUGAAUACGCAGCUUUGAGAUUCGUAUAGAAAACUUUUAGGUUAAAAUAAAUUUUUUAAAUUUAGAUACUGUCUCAACCAGAAUUCGUUAAAAUUAAAAUAUAUAAUUUUAAAUUCUAAAUUUUAAUUUUUAAAAUUUAAAUUAUAAAUUUUAAAUUGAUAUAUAUUUAAUUUUUAAAAUUUAAAAUUUAAAAUUUUAUAUUUUUAAAUUUAGAUUUGAUCUUAAAUUUAAAAUUUAAAAUUUAAAAUUUAGAACUUUGAAUUUUCGAAGCUGAGAUUUUUAAAUUCAAAUUUUAAUUUUAAAUAUUUGAAAUUUAAGAGUUAUAUAUUUAAAUUUAAAAUAUAAAAUAUAAAAUAUAAAAUUUUAAUUCAAAUAUAAUAAAGAGAGUAAUAUUAUUAUUUUUUAUUUAUAACCACCCACUGUCCUUCUUAUUCCAUUUAUUUCAACCAAAUACUAUUUUGCUUAUACCUGAACUAAAUCCAAUACUCAACCAAACACUAUUUUACUUAUACAUGAACUAGUAGACUCAAUACUCAACCAAACACAAAAUUACUUUAUAUUCAUCUUAUAUUUUAUCUUAUAUCUAUUUUGGAACAAUUAAUUCUUACUUAUAUCCCAUCUAAACGUUUCAGGCAAAGUUUAGAUAUUUUAUGAGAGAUUGUCCGGUCGAUGAAGUAACUAGCCGUGGGCCCGUUGGGCUGACACGCGGACCACAGAUGAAAAAAGUGGGCCCCACAGAUGAGCCCCAAAACAAUGAUGAGAAAACGGCGUCUUCGUUGGCCUAUACAUGAAAGAGCGACCGGUCCGUUCAUUCUCCCCGCAUAUCAUCUCCACCUCCACAUUGAAUCUCACAACUGUACUACAUUACCAAUAACAAAUCAAUCAUUAUUUUUUUUUAUGUAACCCCAUAUAGUUUUGUACUUUCUUAUUUUAGUAUUCUAUGAUUUAAAGUGUAUCAACUUAGUAUUUUGUGAUUUCGCAUUUUCUCAUUUUAGUACUCUGUAAUUUAAAAUGUAUCAAGUUAGUACUCUGUGGUUUUUAUUUUAUAUUAAGUUAGUAUUCUGUAGUUUCUUUUUUUUUUAUUAUCUAUUUCGGAAUAUUUUUUUGCUAAAUUAGUGACAAAGUUAAAACUAAAAGGUAUUAAAAUGAAUAUUUGAUAAACUUAUAUAGAAUAUCUAAAAUUUUUUUUUGUAUAUAAUUUAACUAAAUAUUAAACCACGCGCUAUUAACUUGAUAUAAUUUAAAUUACGGGAUAUUAAAGUUAGAAAAUGUAGUGUAUUUAGAGGUAUUUGAGGUUUUUCCCAUUUGUUAUAAUUAUGAUGUGACCGAUAAUUCUAAUAACGCUAUUUGAUUGGUGAAGUACGCCACGUUGCUAAUAUAAUCACUGCAUUCUAAAAUUUUUCCCACCUCCACCUCUCUCUCUCUCUCUCUCUCUCUCUCUCUCUCUCUCCGUAUUUCUCUACUUCUUCUUCUUCAUCUUCCCCAACUCAUCACUCUCUUUAGCGAAAGCGAAAUCGGCAUCGUCCUCUUCCUCGUCAGCUCCUCCCUCCACCCCCCUUCCCUUUUCUGUGGCUGCGGUUGGCGCCGCGUGCGGGGGACGAACCUUUGUUUUGCCCUUCGCCCGCGCCAGAGGGUGCGCUCCUUCUCUCUCUCUAUAUAUAGACUCGGUGAAAGUUUAGAGAGAGCAGAGAGAGAGAGAGAGAGAGAGAGAGAGAGAGGGUGAGAGGGUGAGGGGUUUAGGAGCAAGGAUUAGGGUUUAGAGAGGACAUGGCGAAGAGUUCGGUGGAGAGGCACCAGUCGAUCGACGCGCAACUGAGGCUCCUCGCGCCGGCGAAGGUGUCGGAGGACGACAAGCUCAUCGAGUACGACGCGCUCCUCGUCGACCGAUUCCUCGACAUCCUCCAGGACCUGCACGGCGAGGCUCUCCGAGAAUUCGUAACCCUCCUAACUCAGAUUUGCUUAAUCGCUCCCUUUUUCUUUUUUUUUAAAAAAAAAAAAAAUGCUAUUGUAGCUUAUUUCUUAAAAUUGUGACGAGAAAUGGGGUUUAGUUGACUAAAGGUCUCAUUUUGGAGGGAAAAAAAGGAAUGCUCUUUUAUUAUAGUGUCAAAACUGUGUAUUUGAACUUUGCACUGUAAUAAGAUUUGGUUUGAAUUCGAAUUUGUGCAUUGUAGGUGCAAGAAUGCUAUGAGUUAUCGGCAACUUAUGAGAGCGCAAGCGAUUUUGCGAAGCUGGACGAGCUAGGGAAAAUGUUGACUAGUUUGAGUCCUGGCGAUUCGAUUGUCGUCGCGGGCUCAUUCUCGCACAUGCUUAAUCUGGCCAAUUUGGCCGAGGAGGUCCAGAUCGCAUUUAGGAGGAGGAACAAGCAGAAGAAGGGUGAUUUGGGCGAUGAGGCCUUAGCUAUUACGGAGUCCGAUAUCGAAGAGACCCUUAAACGGCUUGUUCAAGAUUACAACAAAUCGCCGGAGGAGGUAUUUGAUGCCCUUAAGAACCAGACGGUCGACCUGGUUUUCACUGCUCAUCCAACUCAGUCGGUCAGGAGAUCAGUGCUUCAAAAGCAUGCGAGGUUCGUUGAUUGAUUCUUAAACCCAAACAAACCAAAAAAAAAGGUAUCUUGUCUAGUAAAUUUGAGUUGCAGUAUUUAUUCUUAUGGGGUUGGAGUGAAAAGUCAAGAGGGAGUUUUUUCUAUGGAUAUGGGCUGAUGGAAGUUUAACUUCUAAGAAAGUAAUUUACAAGCUUCUCGUAAUUUGAUAUUGGAAAAGUGACAGUUUGACUACUGGAUGUUGUUUGAUUGCAUGAUCUAGUGGCUUGCACAUGCUAUAAAAGAUUAACGUAAUAAAUUUUUCUUCUUUCCUCUUGGUUUUUUAUUUAUUUUGUCAUUGGGAUAUUGAUCUUGGCUGUAGCAGUUCUUGCCCCUGCUUCUCUGUGCCAUUCCGUUGCUGCAAAUAUACUUCAAACAGCUUUCAAAUGCUGUGCUGCAAAUAAUUUAUAUUUUAUAGAUGAUGGUAUGACAUCUUAUUAUCACAAAUUCUUGGAAUAUUUUCAGGAUAAGGAAUUGUUUGACUCAACUGUGUGCUAAGGACAUCACUGCUGAUGAAAAAUAUGAGCUUGAUGAAGCUCUUCAGAGAGAGGUAAAUUAAUUUUUUUUUUUUCUUCUCUUAAUAUCAUGCAAAUUUGUAAAAUUGCUGGUAUCGUAACUUUUUCCAUUCUCAUUUUUGAGUGACAUUGUAUUAUUGUUCUCCUCCCUGUUCUUCCUUCGCAGAUUCAAGCUGCUUUCAGAACUGAUGAGAUCCGAAGAAUACAACCUGCUCCACAGGAUGAAAUGCGGGCUGGGAUGAGUUACUUUCAUGAAACUAUAUGGAAGGGUGUGCCAAAGUUCUUGCGUCGUGUCGAUACGGCUCUGAAGAACAUUGGGAUUAAUGAACGUCUCCCUUAUAAUGUGCCUCUUAUUCAAUUUUCUUCUUGGAUGGGUGGUGAUCGCGAUGGUACUUGGUUCUUCUCGUUAUAUCAAUUAUAUAUUCUGUUCCAAUGGUUUAGUUGUUCAAAUUUCUCUUUAGCAACAGGACAAGAAAUGUUCCCAUACUUGGUUUCAGCAGUUCACAUCUUGUUAGUUAUGUACAGCUUCCUGAUUAUAUUUGUUAAAUUUGUACAUGACUAAACCUCUUUAGUCUGAUUUAUGGAGCAGCUUUUGUAAUAAUAAUAAAAAAAGAAAACCGCGCCUUUGACAAACGAAAGUUUGAAAAUGAUAUUUUAAACCUCAGUAGCGGAAACUUGAAACUUCUACUUUUGUGGCCAUGGAAAGGCUAUUUAGGAGAAUUUAGUAGAAAGCUAUUGACGAUCCUUUGAAUAGUUAUACUCAAACAACACUUCUAUAGAAGCUUCAGUUUGGGUCAACAUCCCUCAAGUUGGCCUAUUUAAAUCUUGGAGUUAAUAUAUUUGCCUAAAUGUGUUAUUCAGGAAACCCCCGAGUUACUCCUGAGGUUACAAGGGAUGUAUGCUUGCUGGCCAGGAUGAUGGCUGCAAAUUUGUACUAUUCUCAGAUAGAAGAUCUAAUGUUUGAGGUACUGCAACAACCCACCCAUCACCAUCUAAUUUUUUGCUGUUCAUGGAUAAUAAUUUUGAAUGAUUGAAGGUUUUCCGCUUAUGUCUUCAUCCGAAAGUCUACUAACAACAUCUUAUGUUUCUAGCUGUCUAUGUGGCGCUGUAGUGAUGAACUCCAUGUUCGUGCUGAUGAGUUACUCCGAUCCUCAAGGAAAGAUGCUAAACAUUAUAUAGGUAUGCAGGAAUUGUUCUGCCACUGUAACCUCAUGGUCAUCAGUUGUAAUCAUCGUUAUCAUCAUCAUCGCAAUCCAAUUAUUUUCCUGUUAAGGCCAUGACACUCUCAGUAUUGAAUCCUAUAAUUGGAAAAUAUGACGAUGAUUGCUGUGACUUAUGCCACCUCUAUUACCAUUUUACAGACAUGCUUACAAAAUUCAACUGUCACAAAUUCAAUACCUAUCUAUUAUGCUUGUGUUUGAAGUAUAAAAAAUGAAUUUUGCUAACUUAUAUUAAGUAAUCUUUUUGACCCCCAAAAGUUGCUGUUUAUUGUGUUGGUAAUUAUGCUGAUGCUGUAGUAUUGAGGAUGUUAUGCACGCAGAGUUCUGGAAACAAGUCCCAGCAAAUGAACCUUAUCGUGUCAUACUUGAUGAUGUGAGGAGUAAGCUAUAUAACACUCGUGAACGUUCCCGCAAUAUUCUGUCAAACGGAUCUUCUGACAUUCCUUUGGAGGCAACUUUCACCAAUGUUGAGCAGGUUCUUCUUCAUUAAUUUUAUUACCGUCCGCAUAGCCAUAAACAAAAAUUAUAAUGCUGUCAACAGUAUGUCAUACAUUAGUGCAUAGUUUGCUUUUUUUUGCUGCAGACUACUGUUGUAAAUUUCUUCAAAAUUCCCAAUUUCAAUCUAUUUCUAUUCUCAAUUUCAAUGAACUGAUUUCUGCUGAAACUGCACCUUUUGCAAUGAGAUUGCAUCUGAUUUCUGAAGAACUUGUUGUAUUUCUUGUUGCAAAUAGUUUAUCCUCACAUUUAAUAUUUGUUCUUUUCUUAUCCAUUUCGUUAAAAGAUAAAUGUCUAGGUGCUAGAUUGACUGCACACAUGUACUCAAACAUAUGUUUAUGAAAAGGGUUUCUCUCCUUUAUGAUUUUUAAUGCCACUUGCAUUAUUUGCAGUUUCUGGAACCCCUUGAGCUCUGUUACAGAUCACUUUGCUCUUGUGGUGAUCGCGUCAUAGCUGAUGGGAGCCUUCUUGACUUCAUGCGGCAAGUAUCGACCUUCGGCCUCUCUCUUGUGAAGCUGGACAUCAGGCAAGAAUCUGACCGCCACACCGACGUCUUGGAUGCCAUUACCACGCACCUAGGGAUUGGCUCAUACCGUGACUGGUCCGAAGAGAAACGCCAAGAAUGGCUAUUAUCUGAACUUCGAGGCAAGCGCCCCCUUUUCGGACCCGACCUUCCUAAAACUGAGGAGAUUGCCGAUGUUUUAGAUACGUUCCAUGUCAUUGCGGAGCUCCCUGCAGACAAUUUCGGGGCCUAUAUAAUCUCAAUGGCAACUGCAACAUCUGAUGUUCUUGCGGUCGAGCUUCUACAACGUGAGUGCAACGUGAAGCAGCCGUUGAGGGUUGUACCGCUGUUCGAGAAGCUUGCGGAUCUUGAGGCAGGACCUGCAGCCAUGGCCCGGCUUUUCUCAAUCGACUGGUACUUAAAUAGGAUUAACCGAAAGCAGGAGGUCAUGAUUGGAUAUUCUGAUUCUGGCAAGGAUGCCGGCCGGCUUUCUGCAGCGUGGCAGUUGUAUAAAGCUCAAGAGGAGCUCGUACAGGUGGCGAAGCAAUAUGGUGUGAAGUUGACGAUGUUCCAUGGGAAAGGUGGGACUGUGGGGAGAGGUGGCGGGCCGACUCAUCUUGCUAUAUUAUCUCAGCCACCGGAAACUAUAAAUGGGUCUCUUCGUGUGACAGUUCAAGGAGAGGUCAUUGAGCAGUCUUUUGGGGAAGAACGUCUUUGCUUUAAAACACUUCAGAGGUACACUGCUGCCACUCUUGAGCAUGGUAUGCGCCCUCCUACUUCCCCGAAGCCAGAAUGGAGGGCAAUCUUGGAUGAGAUCGCUGUUGUGGCCACUGAGGAAUACCGGUCAGUUGUGUUCAAAGAGCCUCGUUUCGUUGAGUACUUCCGUCUGGUAUGUUGCCAGUUCUAAUGGUCUAGAUUUUGAGUAGUUGUGUUAAUACUGGUACUAUAAACGCCUUUUUUUCGUUUUUUCUUGGAACACUUUGAACUGUUCUUUUCAUAUAUACUUAUCAUAAUUUUCAUUUAAAACUACAUAAAUAUUCACCAAUAGAAAAUUCGGAAAUCUCAGUCAGCCCAAAGUUAUACUUCUGUAAUUUGACUCUUUGAAAAUAGUAGUAUGAGUAUCCACUUGAUUUCAGAACGAUGAGCUUCGUCUUCUAUGUUUGUAGGCUACACCUGAACUAGAAUAUGGCAGGAUGAACAUUGGCAGCCGACCAUCAAAAAGGAAGCCCAGCGGAGGCAUAGAAUCCCUCCGUGCAAUCCCAUGGAUAUUUGCGUGGACACAGACAAGGUUUCACCUUCCCGUGUGGCUUGGCUUCGGUGCAGCAUUCAAACAUAUAUUGCGAAAGGACAGAAGGAAUCUUCGCAUAUUAAAGGAGAUGUACAAUGAGUGGCCAUUUUUCAGAGUCACAUUGGACCUACUUGAGAUGGUUUUCGCCAAGGGAGAUCCAGGAAUAGCUGCUUUAUAUGACAAACUGCUAGUCUCUGAUGAAUUGAAGCCGUUUGGGGAGCAACUGAGAGCCAACUAUGAGGAGACGAAACAGCUUCUUCUUAAGGUGAUCUCUGCACCUUUAUUUAUGUACAUAGGGCUUAUUGCAAUUUCAUUCCGGAAAUUUGUCCUUGAUUUCAAUUUCAUCCUAACACUAUUAAUUGCAAUAAUUUAGUCUCCAAAGUUUUUUUUUUGCGUAGUUAUUAAAAAUUGUCAGCCUAUUGUCUGAGAAGGUUCAUGUCCACACCAUAAUUACACCUUUUCUUUGUUAAUAUGGAAAAUUUUCAUGUACGAAUCAUAAAACCAAAAUUAAGUAAAAAUCUUUAGGGACAAUUUUCUUUUUUGAAUAAAGUUUUUCAGUGGUUUAAACUCUGGGACGAAAUUGAAAUUAAGGCCAAAUUUCAAGGAGUUAUUUUGAAAUUGUCUCUAUACACACAUAUUUAAGGUGAAUGCUAAAUUCCUUUCCGUAUACAGCUCUAAUCUCAUUUCUUUUAUCUUGUUCAUACAGGUUGCAGGCCACACGGAUCUUCUCGAAGGGGACCCUUACUUGAAACAGAGGAUACGCCUGCGUGAGGCCUAUAUAACAACUUUGAACGUCUGCCAAGCUUACACACUGAAGCGGAUUAGAGACCCGAACUUCAAAGUAGAUGUGCGCCCCCCCUUGUCGAAGGAGAUCUUGGAUUCGAACAAGCAGGCCGAACUGGUGAAGCUGAACCCCGCAAGUGAGUACGCCCCCGGACUGGAGGACACCCUCAUCUUGACCAUGAAGGGUAUCGCUGCAGGAUUGAGGAACACUGGUUAGAUCAUUAAAUGUUGGGGUUUUUUUUUUUGUAUAUUACCAGUGAAUGUGUAAUUUCAAUAAGAAAAUGCUGUCUCUGCGAUCGUCCCAGAGAGUGUAUUAUGCAACUUUGCGACUUUCCACUACUUUUAAUUUGUUCUCUAAAGUUGAUGUGUAAUUUUGGCUGGCAGAGUGCUUCUGCAUUGUAAUCUUCUUGAACUAUAAAAUAAUGGGAACUAAUAAUAAACACCAUUCCACAGGUUGGAAUUUGUAUAUUGGUGUCGUUUCCUUCCUAACGAACAAUUUUAUUCACAUCUUUUGUGGAAUUUGUGCUCUUCGGAUUUCAUCUGUUCUUUUCGGUGCGCGGUAAUAUGCAAUGCAAGGUUACUACCUUAACAAAAUCUUUACCUCUUUAAGCCAAUUUUAUUGAUGUUCCUUCAAAAGGUGAUGCAGGAAUGUAGCUACAUGGUAUUUUUGUCUCUCUGUGCCUUUUCUUUUGCUUUCAUUGUAGUGUACAACCUUUUAUUAUUUGUUAUUAUUUCACUACAUGCUCUGAUUCUAUAUAAAAACAUAAAAUUGAUCUAAUACGAAGAGAAAGAAGAAUAAUCUUAAUUAAAGAAAGAGAGGAAAAGUAAUAUUACGAUCCAAGGUUAAUAGAAACAGCGGGUGAGUUAGGCAGCGUGACAUCACGUAUAUCGAUCUUUAACAAUGAGCCAUUCAUAAUUCAGCUGAGCCAAUCCCUGAAAGUUUCAAAUAAAUCUUGUUUAAGACUUAAAAUAUAGACCUGUUCAAAUGGAAGAUAUUUAAUUACUCCCAACAACUAUGCAAUGAAUAUAGUAACUAAGUAAUAUUGUAAAGGGUACUUCCAACUACCCUCCGGAGAGGUUCAGCAUAUACUUAGCAAUGCUUAGAUUCAUAAGUUCUUUUCUUUUCUUUUUUUUUGCCCUUUUUUUUGACACAAUUGAUGCAUAAACAUAUAUUAUUCAAUGUAUCUCCUUGACAAGGACUAUCAAUAAGCCGAACACGAGCGAGUUAGAGUUAGUUCGUGCUUGGCUUGUUUAAUAAACGAGCUAAAUAUGAGCCGUCUCGUAAAAAUAUCAAGCUGAAAAAUUCAGCUCAUGUUUGACUUAUUUAUUAACGAGCCGAACACGACUUGACUUGCGAACAAUAAGUUGAUUGUCAACCAUACUAUUAGAUUAAAAAAAAUUUUAAAAAUAAAAAUUAGAAUCCUAAUCUAAUAAUUGAAAUUCACAAAAUAUAGAUUUUUUUAUAUUUGAGUUAGUCUAAAAUCCAAAUAGUAAAAAUUUAUAAUAUAUACAUAUAUGUGUGUGUGUUUGAGUUAUAUUGAGCCGAACACGAGCUAGCUGACUCUAAUUCGUAUUCGGCUGGUUAAGAUUUCAGGCCAAAAAAUUCAGCUCGUAUUCGACUCGUUUAUUUGAUGAGCGAUCAGUCUCGAAUUCACUUCGAACCGAACACAAAUUGGCUCACAAAGAACGCAUUGGAUUGCCAGUACUAUCAUUGACUAAUUUACCGGGCAUGUAGUAACUAAUAAGUUAAUAAAGAGCAUGAAAAAAUGUUUACAAAUGCAUUAUAAUAUACUAUGUUCGGUAUAAGUUAUCAUUAAAUAGUUUAAAUCUAAUUAUAUACAUGCUCGUGUGUAUGCAUAAGGCAUUACUUAUAUCCUACUUCGUCGUCCAAAAAGAUUGCUAAUGCAAGAGGAGGGCAUAUGGCGUAUUCCGAUUAGAUCGUAUGCAUGUUUUGUGGCACCAUUAUCAGAAUAUCAGCGGCAUGAAAUUUUGGAACAUGGUGCUACUUGUACAUACGCUUGUCUCUCACACUUUGCAUGCCAAUGUGACAGCCGAACGGCUCCCUGGGUCCAGGGUCUCGGCUAACCCACAAAGGACACAAACGUGGAGAUUCCGACGGCUGUCCAAUCACACAAUGCCAUAUCAGAUCAGCAACGCCACGUCGCUUUUCUCCACUUUCCUAACCAGCGUCUAUGUUAUUAUUUUUAUGUUGUUUGUUUUGACAUAACUAGUAUAAUUUGAAAGUUUUUUUUUUUUUUUUUAGAAAUAGGUAGCACGCUAUCUGUUUCGUUUAUCUUAUUUAGAAAUAAAUUUAGCUAGAAAUGUGAAUCAAUUAGGAUUUGAACUUAGGUCUCGGGUACCAACCACCAAGCCCUUUGCCACUUACUCUAAGGACGGUCGGUAGUACAAUCUGAAAGUUAAAUUCAAUUACUUCUUCUGUUUAUUUUGAUAUAACUUAGUGCUGAUAAAAUUAGUUUUCUGAGUUCCAAUAUUUAUUUUGAUAUAAAUAAGUGGAUCUCGUUAUCUCCUAAAUAUAGUAGUAAAUUUAUCGUGAUAAAAUUUGACUUAUUAUAUAAGUAAUUUUUUUAUUAUUAUUUAAAAGUAAUCCUAAUUUAUUAUAAAUAAAAUAAUUCUAUCCUAUUAUAAAGGAAGUAGAAUUUGAUUUUUACUAUGUAAUAAAUUUUUUAUAGGAGAUUGAGUGUGGCAGAAGCCGAGUUCGACACUUUAGAAGAGAAAAUCGAGAGUAGGUGAAGUGGAUCUCUAACGUAACUUAAGUUACAUUAUUAUUUUGACUUAUACCAAAACAAAUAACGAAAAUGAUGAAACUUGAGUUCCAUUAUUCUACUUAUACCAAAAUAAACGGACCCUUAGUUGCUUGGAAGUGAGACAAACAUGGAUUAGUUCUCCAAGAAUAUAUGCUCAUAUUUUUGGGAACAAAAGUCGUUCACCGUUAAUUUAUGGGUACAUUGCCCACGAGUCUCGCAGGAUGCUGAUUCAUUUAAGCGCAUAGUACUCCUCUACCACCUGCUUAAAUAUACAAUAUGAGAGAAUCGAAUUCGUGAUAUAUUCUGACACUAUUUGCAGAUUGUCGACACUAAUCACUAAUUUUAAAAGUUUGAGUUCUUAUAAAAGGAUAAUCAAUGUAUCUAAAGUGCCUAGUCUCCGGUAGAAUUCAACCUCUCACGUUGCCCGCAAGUCAAUAAUGACUCGCCCCGACUUGAUCUCUGCCAUGUAAACAGACUUCUGAUCUAUUUAAACCAUCAUUCUACUUUGUUUAGAGAUUCAUAUCUAUUUCCACAAUAGAGGACUUCAUUGGAUUUGGGAGAACUUUUCGUCUACACCUAUCGCAGAAUUCAUAUCUCUCAUGGACAACACUUACUCGAAAUAAAUAACAUCUUAAAAUUUAGAAACUAAUUGGAUAAAUUCGAGUUUUGGAAUGUGGUUUCGUGUAACUUGAAGAGCUAAACUCGAGUUCGGGUGAAGUGACCACGUAUAGAUGUUUGUUAUAAUGUAUAUGAAAGGAUGACUAAAUCGAACUUACUUUAAUCAAGUCCAAUGUAUCAAACUUAAAUUCGAAUCAAAACUGCGCCGAAUUUAUUUUCCAUUUUCCGUUUUCCAUUUUCUUCGAACUCCUCAGAGCAGAUCCUUCAUGAGCGAUCCUCUGUCCAGUUCUCUCUCUUUUUCUCUCUAAAUUUCUCGAUCUCUUAAUUUUAAGUGUAAAUUUUUAGAUGCUAGGAGUUUAUUGUUUUUUUUUAGAAUUUGAUUUUUAUCAAAUCAAACAAUUGAAGUAUAAGAAUUCAAUUUUCGGUGAAAUCACUUACAUCAUUACAAACAAAGCAUAAAAAUUUAGUGAAAAUUAAUUUCAUCAAAUAUAACUUACAGUUUAAUUAAUUAUAGUUAACUCCCUUUCCUCGCACUUGUCAAGGAGGAAAAGAUCACAAGUCAAGGAAAUAAUAAUAAUAAAAAUAAGCUGAUGUGGAAUCAUUUCAUUGGUUGAAGGUCGCUCUUUUUACGCAAAAGUGGGCGUAAGCUACACCGAAAAUGCCGGUCCAUGCAACUACUACAUUUUUUUUUUUUAAUUGACCGACUACUACUUAGGAACAAAACAAAGUAUCUUCUCAAUUUUAUAUUCACAAAAUAUUUAUUUAAUGAGACCCUUGUAGAUAUAUAUAUGUAUACAUAUGUGGAAAUGCAAUGUUAGCACAGAUUUAUGCAUAGACUAAAAAAAAAAAAUCAAAAAAUCAAAAGUAUUUCUAGUUUUACUCUCUCUAUCUUUCGCUAAGAAGGAGAAUCCAAUAUGACGGUUCGUCUCUUCACUUUCUUUAUAUUCCCUUUUAUUUUUGGAGAUUUUCAUGAAAACUUUUGUUUGUAAAUAGAUUGUAGAGAUGCACGUAAACAUCGACUGUCCUGGAUGCGAGAACAAAGUGAGGAAGGCGCUUGAAAAGCUUGAAGGUACAAAUAUGAUUGUAAAUUACAAUACAUGAUUCUUUGGUUUGGAAUUUGUUUCUUAAAAGAUCAAUCCUAACAUUUUCUUAUUGUACUGCAUGCGCACGUACAUAAGUUGCGCAUCAAUUAUUAUAUAUAUCCCACACGGCCAAUUUGAUUGGCUUGGUUUUUACCUCUAAUAAGUGUUGUUGAGUAAUGUUAUUCGAGAAAACAUUAAUAAUUUCCAUAAAUUACCAUAAAUUGCUUGCUUUUUAUUACUUACUCAAGCUUAUGCUUACGCUCUUGGAUACUAGCCAAAUGCUUAUCUUCAAUUACUCUAUAACCAGAAACUCUAGACUACUUUUCUCCGAAUGAAACAUCUUAUUAUGCUUCUCAAUUAGAAAAAUCAUGUUAUUUUUAAAAAAAACUUAGUUGUUGGAUUGUUGUUAAUCACAUGAGCAUGCAUAUGCGCAGGGGUGCAAAACGUAGACAUAGAUCGCAACAUUCAAAAGGUAACGGUGGUCGGGUGGGCCGACCAGAAGAAGGUGCUGGAUGCGGCGAGGAGCACGGGCCGCAGGGCGGUACUGUGGCCGUACCCUUUCAACCCGGAGUAUCACUUCUACACCCAACGGUACUACCACCACCACCUACCGACUCAGGCUUACCGUAUCGCCUUCAACACCAACUCGAGCUCCUACAACUACCACGUACACGGCUACGACGAUUCCAACCUCUACGGUUACUACCAGGAGCCGGCCUACACCCACGUCGUCAGCGACGAGGCCCGGACCAUGUUCAGCGAUGAUAAUCCUGGUUCUUGUGCAAUUAUGUGAUGAUACCGAACAAACAAAUCUAGAGAUCGAUCAGCUUCCCUACGGAUGGUUAAGAUUUAGUCUAACCAUAUUGAUCAUACAUAUAUAGCGUUAGAAUCUUAAAGCAGUAUGAAUGGUGAAUUAGACGGUUUCACUGUAGUAAAGCUCCCUACAUAAUCUCAGUUCAACGGUGACACAACCUUUGUGUCUGAAUGGUUGUGUUGCAUGCUUAGCUAGGAGAAUUUGUCUUUUUGCUCUUUGGUCAAUGUGAGAACAUAAAAGGGGUGGUGUUUUAGGGACUAUGUUUAAAUGUUCUCAGGUAUAAUUGGACAAGAAGUGUGAAUGCAGAGGAAUCAUAAUAUAUAUAUUUGGCUAGUUGCUGCUCCAAAACCAUUUAAGAUGUAAGUUUUUCCUUCUGUGCGCGUGUGGAUAUGUAAAAACAGUUGCAGCAUAUGUAUAUCCUACACUUGCAGUGUAAAUGCAAGACAACAAUUUGGUGCACUUUUAUUUAUAUGUAAUUCUUGAUAGUACAAUGCUUUAGCGUCUGUUUAUUGUACAGAAACUAGAUUUGGGGUUGAGGUCGAGUUCGGUAAAGCCUAUUUCUCUUCUGUUGUUUGUUGCGUAGUUAUGGAAGUAAAUUUUUUUUUUUUUUAAUUUUGCUGUUUAUUUUGCAGAAAGUGAAUGAUAUGAAAAUUAUAAUUUAUGUAUAACUAAUAAAUAAUUUAAUAAAUAAUAAAUUAUAAUUGUGAGACCCCAGAUAGUCCUAUAUAUAAGAUGUAAUAGGGCUAAACUCUUAACCCGGCUUAAGCAUUUUGGGUGGUGGCUAGACCCAAAAGGUUAAGAGAGUUAAGCGUGCUAGGACGGGAGUAGUCCUAGGAUGGGUGACCCCCUGGGAAGUUGGGGCGUCACAGAUGGUAUCAGAGCCAAUUACCAGCCGGAAGUGUGAGAUGAGUCUCGGCUGAGCCAGGGUCUGGAUGACGGUUCUCACAUCGCCUGGUACUUGUGAGUCUGAGCCUGACGUGGACGUCAGGGCUUAAAGGAGGGGAGAUUGUGAGACCCCAGAUAGUCCUAUAUAUAAGAUAUAAUAGGGCUAAACUCUUAACCCGGCUUAAGCAUUUUAGGUGGUGGCUAGACCCAAGAGGUUAAGAGAGUUAAGCGUGCUAGGACGGGAGUAGUCCUAGGAUGGGUGACCCCCUGGGAAGUUGGGGCGUCACAAUAAUAUUAUAAAUAAAAAUAAUAUAAUUCUAUUUCUAUAUAAUUAAAAAAAUAAUAUAAAACAACUAAAUUAUUUUUAAAAUUAUAAUAAUACAAUAAUUAAAUUGUAAAAUAAAAAUAUAUAAAUAUUUAAUUAAACUAAUCAAAUUUUAUUAUAUUUUAAACAUGCAAACUAAAUAAAAGAGUAAUUAGUGUCAUAAAUAAAUAUAUUUAAUUAUAAAUAGCUAGCAUUAUUUAUUAUACUAUUUAAUUAUUUUUUUUCAUCUUUUUUUUUUAAUCGUAAUUGACUUUUGUACAGGAUGCUGUUUUAGAUAACUCGAAUUUCUACUGUUUCUUUAUUAUGGCGAAACAAAUAACAACAUUGAUUAUUUAACGCUACUUUCAAACCAAACAACCAUCACAAAAUUUCAACAAAGUGAAAUUGUCAUAUCUAUAUAUCUAUAUAUACCAAUUAAUAGCAAUAUAUCCCAUUAAUAACCGAUUGUUCCUAAGAUAAGUGGCAAAGGGCUUGGUGGUUAAUACUCGAGAUCCAAAAUUUGAAUCCUAGUUGAUUCACAUUUCUAGCCAAAUUUAUUUUUAAAUAAAAUAAAUGAAACGGAUAGCAUACUACCUAUCGCUCAAAAAAAAAAUCCCAUUAAUAGUCUCUAUGUUGGAUAAAAAUACAAAAAUAUUUUUAAAAAAUUGUAUCUUAAUAUAAACUUAAUUAAUUGUGGUGCUAUUUGAAUAGAAACUAUGCUACUAUAUUUAUUAUUUAUCAUAUAUUUAUAUGAUUAUAUGAUUUCUUUGCGGUCAGACGCUGUAGAGGAUCUCGACCGUGCAAAUUAAGCAUGAUCGCCGUGACCCACGCAAGUCGCACCGCAGCGAAUGGGUUCGGGUCCCACCUCACUGCUCGCACCUAAAUUUUCCAUCUCGGCUUCAGAGCGCACGACUUAUCCAACCCCCAUCCCCCGCGGAUCCAACGGCUCACACACUCCCCCCGCGGGGUCCAGCUCAAAUCCCGCCGCACUGUCACAUCCUAUAAAUAGUAGUCGCCGCCUCUGCGCCCCUGUUUUGAUUUCGCCCUCUUUUUACGAUUUUACGGUUUUACCCUUUCCUCCUCCUCCUCCUCCUCCUCCUCGCCAAACCCCCCCCCACCCACUCCAACCCCAUCCCCAUCCCCAUCUCUCUCUCUCUCUCUCUCUCUCUCUCACGCGCGCGCGCACACGCACACACUUCCGCUUCGCCUCUCUUGAUCUUGCGAAGCGGGAUCUCGGAUCGGAUCUCUGAUGGCGACGCGGGAGAGCUUCGUCUACAUCGCCAAGCUCGCGGAGCAAGCCGAGCGCUAUGAGGGUGAGGGUUUCCGCGUCUCGGAUCUCCAGAUCUCGUUGCCUUAGGGUUUUGUUCUUUGUGCUUGAUCGGCUUGGUUUUUGAUGGUGCAGAGAUGGUGGACGCGAUGAAGAGCGUGGCGAAGCUCGACGUGGAGCUCACGGUGGAGGAGAGGAACCUGCUCUCGGUCGGGUACAAGAACGUGGUCGGGGCGCGGAGGGCGUCGUGGAGGAUCCUCUCCUUGACCGAGCAAACAGAGGAGGCGAAGGGGAACGAGCAGCACGUGAGGAAGAUCAAGGAGUACCGGCAGAAGGUGGAGUCGGAGCUCUCCAACAUCUGUGACGACAUCAUGACGGUGAUCGACGAGCACCUCAUCCCCUCGUCGACGGCAGUGGAGUCCUCCGUGUUCUACUACAAGAUGUGAGCUAGAUCUAAUGGCUUUGGGGUCGGAUUUCACGAAGGAUUUGGGUGUUGUAUUUUUUUUUGGGGGUGGUGUUUGAUAGUUUUCUAUUUCACUUUCUUCUGUCGUAGGAAGGGCGAUUACUAUCGCUACAUGGCGGAGUUUAAGACUGGGACUGAGAGGAAAGAGGCUGCAGAGCAAUCUCUUAAAGCAUAUGAGGUAUAAGCCAUAAUAUUUGUAGUUCCUGAUCUGCUCUUUCCUUCAUUUUAGCCAGUCUUAGAUGUUUUCAUCUCACAUUUGCAAUUUGCGGCUUGUCUGUUGUUGUUGUUGUUGCUGUUGCGGAUGCAUUACCUUGUGGCGAUGCAACGGAGAUCUUUAGUUUUACUUGCUCAAGUUCUAUUUCUCUGUGUUAUUUGAUUGAUUUUCUUUUGAUAUAUGCUCAGUUUGUAUUAGUGUAAUCUCUUCAAUGUGUUGAUAAUUUUAGUGCUUGUAGACCACUUGAUCUUUCUGAAUCAACUUAAUCACCUUGACAACUUAUUCUGCAGGGAAAGUGCAGUUCAAUCUUUAGCAACUGCCAUACUCUUUUCUUGCUAUUCAAGCGGAUCAAAGAAGUGAUUGUAAAGUAGUGCAUAAUAUACAAUACAUAAUACGUUGGUUAUUAUUUUUGUCUCCCUGUUGGUCUUCUGUAUUGUAUGACGAAAUAGUAACAUAUUUGAGAAGAAAAACAAACUCAGUUUCAAUCUGUGAUGGUCAAUCAAUAGAUAGAUGACAUGCAAAUGCCGAAAAAAUGUUUCAUAGGUGCUAUGGUAGAUGCAACCAGACUUUCAACUUAAAUCAUUAGUAUGCUGAGUUGAAAUAUUUCUUUUCUAUAUGUUUAACCGUCUGAUUUGUUACUUGCAUUCCAGCAUGUAGCUUAUCUAUGGAAAAAACAAUGUUGCUGUUGAAUGGAAAUCACAUUCUAUUUCAGUUAGAGGGCUAUGAAUUGAAUGAUCACCUACAGCUAUUGAAAUACUGAAUUUUCACAGUCUGCUUGCAGGCAAUGUUGCUAUUGAAUGCUCUUGAAAAGUGUUUUGAUUAAGUUCUCUGUUUUUAACUGCCCACAGACUGCUUCCAGCAUGGCAGAGGCAGAUCUCUCUCCCACACACCCAAUCAGAUUGGGUUUGGCUUUGAAUUUCUCUGUCUUCUACUAUGAGAUUAUGAACUCACCUGAAAGGUACAUGGAAUCAACCUCAACUCCAGUCAUAUGUUGUCUACCAGCGUAUUACUGGAGAACGUUGCUAACUUUGUUUAAAUCUCAGGGCUUGCCACCUAGCAAAGCAAGCUUUUGAUGAAGCCAUAUCCGAGCUUGAUACACUGAGUGAAGAAUCUUACAAAGAUAGCACAUUGAUCAUGCAACUUUUGAGGGAUAACCUCACCUUGUGGACCUCUGACAUCCCUGAGGAUGGAGGUAAUAGCAUUUUUCAACAUUGAUUAAUGGUUCAUGCUAGUAUCAAUACAUUGGUUGGUGGUUGUUGCCAGUUGUCGCCGGUUAUAGCGUUUGGACAUACACUGUGACACCUCUAGUAUUUGGAAUACUCUUAUAUAUGAAGUAUGAUAGGACUAAACAUCUUACUCUGGCUAUAGUAUUUUGUGCUAUGGCUAGACCCAAGAGGUUAAGAGGGUUGAGCAUACUAGGGUUAGAGUAGUUAUAGGAUGGGCGACCUCCCUGAAAAGUGGGGCACCACAUACCCAUAGCUCACAUCCAUGUUCAUGAUUAGGCCUUCUAAUUAUCUAUGUGCAGUGUGCACAUAUAAAAGCUAAAGCUAAAUUUACCUUUUUGCACUUUUUUUUUCCUUCAAUGAGAAAUUGUUGUUGCAACAUUUGAUAGUUUAUUCAACCUAUAAUAGGGAGCUCUCAACUUUAUUCAGCAACUAUCCUGAAUAUCCGUAUUAUUGUUUUCAAUUUGGAUUAUCGUUGUAGGACUCUUGUAAAUCAUGAUAUACACAACAAUUCCCUGUCUCUUAUAGUCUACGAUAAGUAUCUAUAAGUUCCAGAGUUCUAUCUAUAUUUGUAGUUUUGUUGUAGAAUAUCUGACAGUUAUAUAGUGGCACAUAAUUGUGAAUUACUUGGAGUACAAUAUUUAAUAGUGUCUGAUACGGUACUUGAUAUGAACACACUUAAGACUUUUUGGUUGGGAGUUUUUGGGGUUGGAAUCGGAAUUGGAAUGAUCGGCACCUAGUGGAACUGUUUGGUUGGAGGGAAUCCCACUUUGAUUGCCAUUCCAAAGUGGAGAGGGACUUGACUAAAUGCACUAUUUUGAACCGGCCUAGAAGGCACUGGUGCAAUCUUGUUCUGAGGUUGAACUGAAAUCAUUCAUUCCAAUUCCUACUUAAGCUGCAAACUAAGGAGGCUUACAAAAUUGGUCAUUUGGGUUGUUUGUGACCCAUUUCAGUUUUGUAUCUUGCACCGAAUUCCAAUCGUGAACAGACUCAUCGUUGAUCUUUUAAUUAAGUUAUAUUUGCUCCAAUGUCAAUUUUUAGUUGCUAGUGAAAAAGAUUGUGGAGUCCGUGCUGUCAUUACUAGCUUGUGAAAGCAUUAAAAGAGUAACCUCAAUUUGUUCCCUAUUGCAUACUUUCAUCGAUGCAGGUGUUUAUUGUGGAUCUUCAAACUUAAAAAAUCAAUUUCAGUUAAUUUCAUAACGAAAGUGAUUUCAAUUAAAGCUGCUUAACUGUUUGUAUUUGAUGUGUAAUAUUCUUUUACCUGAUUGGUACUCUCUCUGGACCCUUAUAGAAGAGGCUCGGGAGAGCACGGGAAAGACUGGUGGAGCUGAAGAUGCUGAGGUGAUUUUCUUUUGAGCUUGCGCAUUUAUUUUUGUUACAGCAAAGAUUAAAUUCCCUCUCUCACAUUUACUUUUUCUUUCGAUAGUAAAUUUGCAGUGAUAUAAAGCAGCUAUGGGGUCUACAGUUAGAAGGAUAAGAUGCUGCAAAUGUUCAUCUUUGCCUUAUCUUGCGGGUUGCUUUGAUUAUUUAGCUUUAUUCACAUGCCUGUUGUAGUGUUCAGUUUAAUGUUGGAGUUGGAUCUCUCAUGGGUUGCAUUUGCAAUCGAUCCUUUUCAUGUGUCUUCGGUCAGAGAGAAAAUGUUGUUAUCAGAGUUAGGGAUUUAUCAUGCGUCCGGGAUGUUGUCUUGAACAAGUGAACUGCUCCAAUGUUAUUUUUCUUUUCAGUUUUUUGGCUUGCAUAGUAUAUUUUUAUUGUGCGAAAGAAGUCAUUGGAGAUUUUGUUAGAUGAAUAUGUAUGUUAUAUGCAAGUUUUACUCUUCCGGCCUUCGCUAAUUACCAUUAUUUGCUGUUGGUUUGUAAUGAGAAAACCUAAAGGUUUGUGAUCCGUUGUCCUUUACCGUGUAAGCAACUUUUGAAGAGUUACGCCCAUGUCUAGGUGAUCUCUGCGACGAGCGCUAUGGUCGACAAGAGGACUAAUCUCACUAAAUUUGGUUAGGCUGAAUGGCAAUUAUACCAUCCAAUGACCCCCACAGUGGAAAUGAUCUCUUACUUAAUUUUUUUUUAAUUUAAUAUUCUUAUCUUUUCUUUUUUCUUUUCCUCUCUUAUUGAAAAAUGUGCAUGCUGCUUUUCUCACUCCCUUAGUUUAAUUUUUAAUUUAAUGCUCUCUUUUUUUCUUUCUUCAAGCAAAAGAUAUGAAUAUUUAAAAUAAUUUUAAACUUAAAUUUCAUAAUUAUAUAUUUUUAAAAAUUUUUAAUUUUUAUUUUUUUACAUUACGAGUAAAAUAUACUAUAUUUGAAAAUUUAAAAGUGCUAUCUUUCUGACUUUAAUUUUAAUUUAAUAUUCUCUUCUCUCUCUCCAAAUAAGUGAUAUAUAUAAAAUUUAACAUUUUAUUCUACUCUGUCAAGUAACUUUAUAUAACGUAUAAUAUAAUAAUUAUGAACUUAAAAAUCACACUCGCUGCAAAGUGUGGAUACAUUGCUAAUAAUAUACUAACUUCCACAAUCUUUCAAUUAACAUAUCUUUCUCAGCGCCGUGUGCUAAAAGACGAAUCAAAUAUUUGGUAUUCACCAUAUAUUAGCAAACAAAAAGAAAAAGGAGAAACAGGCACAACAUUCCAAUGCCCCUAUCCUUAAACCACUCGUUUCCUCUGCUAGGGUGAACAAUAUAGAAAGUACAAUAGAGAUUUAAAAUUUUAAUUUUUGAAAUUAAAAUUUUGGGAAUAAAUAUUAAAAAUUUUAAAAUUAUAUAAUUUUAAAUUUAGAAUUUGAAAUUUGAAAUUUAAAAUUUUAAUAUCCAAAAUUUAAAAUUUUAUAAUAUAAAAUUUUAAAAUCCUAUAUAUAUAUAUAGAGAGAGAGAGAGAGAGAGAGAGAGAGAGAGGCUGGUAUGCUUCUGAAAGCACAGAGCCUUCCGUGCUUCGAAGUUGUUUUCGAUGUAAGGACUUUUAAAUUGACGAUCGACUCCAUUAGACAUAUCUGGAGUAUUUGAAGUACUUAGAAAAUAAAUUUCAUGAUUUUUCGAUAUUAUUUGCCUAGUGAUCGAAAUGGCUCAAAAUCGAAAGCUGAAAAUAAAAAUCUUAUAAAAUGUGAUGAUAUGAUAUUAAAAUUUUAGAUCAAAAAUAUUGACCUUGUUAUAUAUAGUAUAAAAAAAUUUUCAUCAAAAUUUCACGUGAUUUGAAUAUUUUUCCACCGUUAAACUUGUAAACGGCUCAUCAUGGCCAUUAAAAUUAUUAAUUUGAGCCCCUUCGAUCACUAGGCAAAUGAUAUCGAAAAAUCAUGAAAUUUAUUUUUUAGGUAAUUCAAAUACUCUAGAUCUGGUCUAACGGAGCCGAUCGUUAAUUUGAAAGUCCCAACAUCCACUUGAAAACACAGAGGACUUCGUACUGUCAGACGCAUACCAGCCUCUCUCUCUCUCUCUCUCUCUCUCUCUCUCUCUCUCUCUCUAUAUAUAUAUAUAUAUAUAUAAAGAAAGAGAGAGGAGGAGAGGGUGGUUUAUGGUGCACCAGGUGCACUGAAGACAACCACAGAGCAUGUAGCAGCAUAGUAAUAUUAGUCCACGGACAAAACCACCAACUUUAAUAUACAGUAAUAGUAAUAGAUGUGCUUGGUACGUACAAUGUGUUCCAGGCAAAAAGAAUGGGAGGGAGUAGUGCCGUACUGGUGCUUAUUAACGCGUUUGUAGGACGAUUGUCCUCUUUUUGGUCAGAACGUACGUAGGUGGUCAGUUUCACCGUGAAUCCCAUUUAACUUUUGUAUUAUAUAGAAAUUGCUCUGCAUAUAGUAAUCGCACUCAUCACGGUGGAGAAGGGCUUUUGCUCAUGCUGUACCAUUUUAUCAUGGGGGAAGCAGUGGUCUAUAUAUACGUUUUCAAAGUCCGAUUACAUGGAGUCUGAAACUUCGCUAGCUAAAGUUUGUACUUAGCGAUAACUUAAAUUCUACAAAGACACAGCGAAAUUAGCUUCAUUUCGAUGAAUUUAUGAACUCCAAAAUUACCAUCAUGAGCAAUCAAAUAUAGAUUAAUAUCUUCUAAGAUAUAUCUCGUACAUAUAUGUUGAUAGAUUGGCACAAAAAAUAGAUCAAAUAUCAAAUGCCAAACUGAGAACAAAACAUACAUCAAUCGCAAGAAAUCUUCGCCUCUCCCGCCUAUCUGCGAGUCACGGUUGGCUCCAAAUUCACCUCACUUUGCCUUGUCUCACCCUGCGGCGCCAUCGCGAACGACGAGAGCUCUGUAAUUUUCUCACCAGGAGGUAAGAAGUAAGCACUCGCGGCGGGCUCUCUUGCUUUUAUGGGUAUCCCUUGCAUGGGGACUCUCUCUACUAUCUGCUUCCUCAGUAUGUCAUGAAGCCUCCCGAACAGCUUCUGCUUCACCGUCUCGAAUGCUCGGUCGAGAUUUUCAAUCUGCAGUAGUGAUUCAGUGUAGUUAGAUCUUCUGUACGAUGACUUUGAAUUUGUUUACGUAAAAGAUAUCUAAAUACGCUAUCAAUUCAGGAAAAGCAUGCAUCUAUUAAUAGAUUAGGAGCCCAAAGAUUCGCUAAUAACAGACACUCUGAAUUCAGAGGAUAUGUUAUUUCUUUGUCAACAUGGAAAUUAAGCACGAAUUAAUGAAUCAAGACAAGUGAGACAUGUUACCCACAACUGCUAUUAGUUUACAGAACUAAAUUGUACUGGAGAUUUCACAUUUGCUCUGGCAUGUGAAGAGAUUUUAUUUUUUUGUUCUUUUUUAAAGUUGGCAUUUAGGUUGAAUAUAUUGUAGCAUACUGUAUUUCCACAAUAAUUAUUAAGUAAUAUAUUUCGUAAACCUUAAUCAUGGCUACAUCCUCUAUAUUCGAGAAUAUGAUGAUCUGUGUUAUACAAACAGUACAUAUCAGCAUGUCAACAUAUCAAUAGUAUUGUAAGUGAAUUCUUAGAAAUAAGCAAUUGUGAACUUUCAGAUGUUCACUCGCCUGUUCGGUGGCAUUCACAUUGUACAUGAAGAGGCCAUAGUAGAGAUCAAAACUAUCACUUACUGUAUUCUCAGUCUGCAAAAAGGAAAAUAAAUGAAAAGGAGAAAAUGAAUGCAUUCAGUUAGCACUAAUAGAAAAUCAAAGCGAGCUUCAUAUAUUAUGUUAAAUUGUCGAAAACAAAUUAAUCACCAAUUGAAGGAGCGUCUCAUAUCCUUUGGUGUUAAUUGGAGUCGACUCCAAGUUCAAAUGCGAGAGAAUCCUGCGGAAAUGAAUAAACACCAAAUAACACUUUAGACCAUUAGAACAUGCUUAUCUAGUUUUUUAAAAAAAUUUAAUUUUUUUUAUACAAUUAUUUCAAUUUAUUUGAUUUUGGUUCUGAAAAUUUAUUAUCGUUAUCUUUGCGCUACACUUCCAUCUAUUCUUGAUACAUUUUUUUUCUGAAUUCAACUUAACUAAUCAAUUUUUGCGUAAAUGAAAUGAAGAGCCUACAACAAUAUAUAUUAUGCACAAAAAAAAUUUGUUGCAUUGUUCUCGUGCAAUAAUUAAUUUUUUUAUUACCCCUUACAGUACUCAAAUCAAACAAAUUAUAAUUUUCACACAAAAUUACAAAUUAUAUUAUAAAAUUAAUAUUUUUAAAUAUUAAAUACUAUUUCAAAACAUAUUCUAAUAAAAGUGCAAGCUAGUUCCUUCCAAUCGUGUGAGUGAUAAAUUGACUGCCCGCGGCGUGCCGGUCAUGUUCCUCACAGCUCAUCUCCACCAUCCUACAGCCCUGAUGAGAGANUAUUUGUACCUUCCAAUCGUGUGAGUGAUAAAUUGACUGCCCGCGGCGUGCCGGUCAUGUUCCUCACAGCUCAUCUCCACCAUCCUACAGCCCUGAUGAGAGAAUCAAAAAAUAUUUAAAAUAAAAAGAAAAAAAAUCAAGACGUGUGAUUUUGCUAUCACGUUUACAAUUUUUUUUUCAAAAAAAAAGAAUGUUCCCUUUUAAAAUUUCUAAUUUUGAUUUAGUUGUUACAUCAUGGUUCUGAGAAGAAAUAUAUAUAUAUAUAUAUAUAUAUAUUUUUAUUUAUUUAUAUAUAUGUGUGUGUGUGAAUAUACACCAACCUCUUGUUCAAAAAUGUUUAAGAAUUGUGCACAUUUCUCAGCUUGGGGUCCAUUUUGGGAGACUCGAACUUUGUCGUAAACAAAGGGCAAACCUUUCCACCCAUGCUUCCCACUCUCCGGCCCAAACAUUGGGUGAGUGCAAACCACCCCAAACCCAGCUGGUAGAACCUAAACAUUCAUUUACAUGCAAAACACCCAAGAAAAAAAAAAAGAAAUUAAAACAAUCGUUAUUCUUAAAGUACGUAAUAAAAUACUAUUAUCAGAUAGUUUAAAGUUUCGUAGAAAAUAAUCGUUUAUGGAAGUUAUUGUCGAACUCUACAAGCUUUGAUUUGCAGGCUGAUACAAUUCUAAGGCAGCGUUUGGAUGGGGGAUAAGGGGAGGGAUAAUCCCUUAUCCCCUUUAUAUCCAAACGCAAAUUUUAAUCCGAAAAUAGUAGUUCUCGGUUAUCUGAAAUAAGCUGGUAUAACUAUUCUCAUCAACACUUUUAUUUUCUAUAUAUAACUAUCCGCUAUUUUUUUUUAUUCAAUAUUAUUUAUCCAAACGCUAUUUUUCUUAUCCUCGGGAACAACCCAAUUUUCAUUCGAACGCUAUUUUUCUUAUCCCCAUAGCUUGUAUCUAUUUCUGUAAUAGCUAGUUCUUACUUAUACCUGAACCAAACGCUACCUUAAAGGUUUCAAGUUGGUAACCGGAGAGCAUGUUACAUGUUUGCAUGAGCUUACCUCAAGAAACAGGUUCCUGGGAAACUGCUUCACCGACAACACGUCGGCGAAGAUUGUGUCAGGCUUCAGCUUGUGGAGCGGGACGGCGCGGAGGACGCUCUCCGUCGACAAAAUGGAGCUGCAAACGAAGACGAUAUCCGGUUGCUCCUCGCACAUUGCAUCCAUGCUCCUAUGUAUACGUAUACAGUUCGUCAAAGCAACGUUCGUUUGUUGUUAGUCUCCUCAAAAGAUAUACUACAUGCUUAUUAAUUCGGCCAUGUACACGUAUGUUUGAUCUGAAUUCUGAAAUAGCCUUUUUUUUGUUUUAAAUAAAAACGUUACAUAUAUAUUGUAGCACCAAAAGAAGCGGAUUUUAGAGUGUAGGUAUUGAGUGUCUAACUGGAAAAACUGGAUCCCGUGGCGUUCGCAAUACUCGGAAUAGUCCGACCGAGACGUCGCCAACACAAUGUGGCCCUGCCUCUCGAUCCCGUUGGCGAUGAACUGCCCAAAGUUGCCGAAUCCGAUGAUCGCGAUCUUCAACACUGGAGUUUGUUCUUCGUGCCCGGUCUGGGCCGUGUCGUUGCCCAUGACAUUGCAGUGAUUUGCUUUCGCGACGAUACAAUUACUCACGGGCGCGGGCGAAUGCGGGGCCAGUUUAAGCGGUCCGGCGGUGGCGGUGGCGGAAGGGAAUGGGGUUUUCGCGGAGGCGGCGGUGGCGCAUUUUGUGGGGAGAGUUUUACUUGGUGUGGCAGCUAUUCUAGGGAUGGUGUUGUUGAAGUGAACAACAUUGCGGAAAGAAGAAAAGGAGGCCAUUGUUACAGUUCUUUGGCUUUGCUCUUUGCUUGCACCAGUACUUGGAACUUGCUAAGAGCUAUAGCUUUUGCUGUGCACACAAUGGACUCAGCUUUGUGGUAUCCAAUCGGUGGCAUGAUUUAUAUACAUAUAGAGCCACGUGAUUCUUACCUAAUGAGCUUCGUAUUUACCAACAACAACAAUAAUAAUAAUAAUGACAAUAAAUGUAACAGCGAGGGGGGACGUGUCCAAUUUUGGGGAGGGUCGUGUUUCACUCUCGAUUAGUUUAGAACUCUGCGAUACAACGAAUAAAUAAUAUAAAAAAAAAUAAAAAUAAAAAUAAUAUAUAUUUUUAUAAAUUCUUAAGUUAAGACAUAAGAAUAAUAAAAAUUUCAUAUUUUAUUGUUUAUAAAUUAUUCAAAUGUAUAGAUAAUUUUUAUAUUUAAGCUUGACAGUUCAAAAAUAAAUAAAUACAUUACAUACUCACUAAAUAGAUUUUGUGAUCACACUAUAUUAUACAAAUACAUAUAAGUGAGGCAUAAAAAAUUAAUACAAAUAAAAUAAAAGGCAGUUCACAUCAAGAUUGAUAAUAGAUUAAUACAAAUAUCAAUAGCAUUUUCUUAAUGUGAAUACAUUAAUUAAAAAGUGGGUGGGUAGGAAGAUAAAGUAUCAGGCAGAGAUAGGGGUGGAAAAGCGAAAUAUCAAAGAGUGGAGUGAAGAAGAAAUUGCCACGUGCCAAACUCCAUGAGAAAUAAUGUAUAGGUAUAGAUGUACCAACAACGGAGGUUUAGGUUAGUUUCUUCUUUCUAUCUUUUUUUUUUUUUUUGAGAAUAAGGUAGUAUAUAUAUGCUCUCGUUCCAUUCAUUAGGAGGAUGAACUAGGCUACAAAUUGAGAUAGUUGGGCCUCGAUAGUAAAAAAAAAAAAAAAAAAAAAAAAAAAAAAAAAAAAAAACCUAGCAAAGUAAAUUCGGUUGGCUUAAAUAAGCUAGCAUCCUGCCUUGUGGUGGGAGGCCAUGUUGAGCAGAGUAAUAUUCGAAAUGGCGUGAGGCUGAGUGAGUCGAGUUAUAUUCGAAGUGGCGUGAGGUUGGUUGGGCCGAGUCACAAUCGAGACAUGAAGGAGCUGUAUCUGUACGCUUUAAGUGAAUUGAUUGCUUAUUUUUAACAGUUCAAAUUUUUGAGAUUGCUGCUUAGCGCCAACAAUCUGACAAAUCCCAAGUGUGCCUAAGCGAGAAUAUCUCCGUGCCUAAGACACAUGCUGGUGUUUAGGUUAGUUUCAAAAGGGAAAGAAGGACUUUUGGGGUUUCUUGAGAAAAUAGUUGCACAGUCCUAAUUGCUAGUAAUAUUUAAAAGGAUAAAUAUAUAAUAAAAAUAUUAUCAUUUUAUUAACUAACUGCUAAAAACACAUAGAAAAUUAAUGGUAAUGAAUUAGAGAGACAAAUAUAUAUGAUCACAUAAAGUAUGCAGCAAUACAUUUAUAUUUUGAUACAAGACCAUGUAUAAAAUUAACCCUAAUUUAAAACCGGUUAUUAAUCUAGUUUUUUUCCAAACUAUGUGCCUGAACACAACCCGAAUUUUAAUUCCGACAAAAAAAACGAAAAUGCUUGUCCAGAGCAGAUUUUUUGGACAAAGUUUUUUGUUUGAAUUCAUUUAUUUAACAAACUAGGCCGAAUUGGAAAAUUGAGUCACGCUAUAUAUUUUGCCACUCCUUCGUAGGGUGCAUAUAAUUCUAAAUUUCUACAUUAUUCGAAAAUAAUUUGAUCGUGGGACAUUCCCAUGCUGGGAAGCUCCAUCGACAUGUAUAUUAUUUAUUUAUUUAUGGCCUCCAUAGUGUGCUCAUGUGCUCCAUGCAUGUGCCUUUUCUCUUAUAAAAAUUGGUCACGUACGUUGGUCUUGUUUUAAACUUAAAUAACAAGCUCUAUUGUUGCAUCAUAACAGCUUAAUUUUUUAGUUUCAUUAUUGAGAAAAAUACUAUUCUAAUUACUGAUUUGAUUAGGAUAAUUAUAUACUUCAUAGUUAGUUACAGUAAAACCUUUGUUACGUUCAAUCUUAUUUUAUUAAUUAUAAAUAAGUGAUCGAUAUAAGGUGAUUGAGUAUUAGGCAUAGUCAUGUUGAUAAAUUAAUUCACACCUUAACAACAAUUGAUCAAUACUUAACCAUUAAUUAAAUUAAAUAACUUUUUCUUUUCUUAAUGAAAUAUUUAAUUUAGAAUUAGAGGAUGUACAGUGAAAAUUAAUUUAUAAAACUGAAUAACCAACGUAUAUUCACGAGUCGAAAUCCAUGUACAUGGCAACAAAAUACAUUAGUGAACUUUUUUAAACUGCAAUUAAGUUUGAUCAGAGCUUACUUUUAUUUAACAGGGAUUAGGACCUUUAUAUAAUACAUGCAAAAUAACUAUUUACUAAAUAUUAAACAAGGUGGAAAAGGAAGAAAAUAAUGAGCUAAUAUUGCAACGUGCCUCAGCACAAACUACGAAAAGUUGACAUAAAUUUGUCGUUCAUAACCCAUAUGGACUUUUAUUUACUUCUUUUAUUUAUUAACUUGUCCAUCUCUGUCGCGUUUGAUUUGAUAUAAUAAUAAAUCAAAAAAUAUUCUUAAUUUUAAAAAUAAUUAUUAUUUAUUAUCUGUAAAACAAUUUCAUAUAAACUUUUUUUUUUUUACAAAUUUAAUAAAAAAAAGAGUUGUAUUUUAGUUUUUUUUGCUUUUGUGCAUCGAAUAAUGAGAACUUGAUGAAAUAAAAAAAGCGGCGCACGAAGCGGCACACGCAGUCCGCAAGAUGACCCGCGGAUCUCGUGAACCGCGUGAGGUUGGCCACUCGAUUUUGUUGUGAACAUUGAGCGGCUUCUAAUACAAAUAUUAUAAAGUAAUUUUAUUUUUAUUAUAAAUAUAUAUGUACAGUAUAUUUUAUUAUAUAGGAUAAUUUUAUAUUAAGCUAUUGUAUAAUAUUAAAAUAAAUAAAUGUGUGUGCAUAUAUAUAUAUAUAUAUAACAAUAUUAUAAGUAGUGUGAUAAAUAUUUAAUUUAUGUAAAUAACAUUUAAUAUUUAAUAUAAAAUUUAAUAAAUAAUAGAUAAUUCAAGAGGAAUAAUAUAAGAUAAUUGUUUCUUUUCUUUUUCAUUUCCAUUUUUUUUUUUGAGAGAGAUAGGUAGGAAGCACGUUACCCGCUUCGUUUAUUUCAUUUAGAAAUAAAUUUAGCUAGAAAUUUGAAUCAACUAGGAUUCGAACUUGGGUCCUCGAGUACCAACCACCAAGUCUUUUGCCACUUGUUCUAGAGACGGUCGGUUUUUCAUUUCCAUUUUCUCCCGUACAAUUAAACAAGCAUUAUGAAAAAAUUGUUAUUUUUUCUUACAAAUGAAGCACCGGAUAUCAUAAAAUUAUUUUUUUUACUAAAAAUUAUUUUUUAUAAUUUUUCGUGGCACCAAGCAGUUUCUAACCCUUACUCGAAUUUGCUUAAACAUAAAGAUUGGUCUACUAAAUUAUUAGUCAUAAGCCAUUGAAAUGAGGAUUUUAAUAAUAUUAAAGUGUGAUUAUACGAUUUUAAAUAUGGGACAGGGCAUCAUUCCUUUCUAAAAUAAUUUUGUAGCAGGUUAGUAGUAAUACAAUUAAUUAAAUGGAAAGUUGAGUCAUGAUUGGGUCCCCAGAUUCAAUCACAUGGGGGGUUUCAGGGAUAUGCAUAGCGUCUUGAUUGUAAAGUCAAUCACUGUUAAUAUAUUGAUUCUGCAUUUGGUGCAAAGAUACAAAAAUGUGCAAUGGAAAAUGCAAUUAUUUUUCUUUCCUUUUUUUUUAAACCGAAACUUAAGUAUUUAUAAACUCAGGAAAACUUUGUUGCACUGAUGGAUCAUAUCAAUGAAUAUAAUGAUUUAAACAUACAUUUUAGCUAUCAAAGUAGACAAGGAUAUUAGCAGCUGAGGAGCUUCGGCUAUUCGCUAACGAAUGGUUAAAUUUGCAUUCCAGUUCUAAUCUUUCUAAAAUUUUUAAAUUUUGCACAUAGGCUUUAUUCCGAACAAUUUUAAAAAUUAUUAUAUGUACUAAUGCAUUUGCAUAUAUGCAUUACAAGAAAAGCUCAAUAUAAGGACGCUCUUUAGACAACGCUUGAGAGAAACGUUCCCCGGCGCCCCUACAAUAUAAUAAAUACCGGUGCUUCAAAAAACGUUAUCAUAUAAACCCUCCAUCUUAUCAAAGCAAUUUAUAAAAUAAUAAACUUUACUAUUAGUUUUUUUCAAUGCUUUAAGGCGUCAAGAUUUCAAAAAAUUUUGAUAUUUUAAAGCAUUGUAAUUGGCGUAAGUGUCGAUAUAUGAAUGACAACUCUUAAUUUAUCGACGCUUUAAUGGAUGCUUUUAAAUAUGACACUAGACUAUAUUGAGGUGUUUCUAAGCAUCUUAAAAAAAAAUUCUUAAAUGUUAUUUUUCUUUUAGUGAUGUAUGAACCAUGAUAUCUUCGGUGUUUCAUCUUGUCUUGUACUUUCAAUCAAAUCAUUUAAUAUUUAGAAAGAAACAAAUUGUCAUGAAAUAAGUGAUGGAGAAAAAUCAUUUGACUAGAAUUUGCAUUUUGUUGUGAAAUUUGUAUAUGGUUUGAAUUUAAGUGAUCAGAUAACUCUUAAUUUGUGAAAUUUGUAUAUGGUUUUUAAGUUUUAAAAUUUGAUCUCUAAAAAUUUUGAUCUUUUUGCAGAGUAUUUAACGUAUCAGGAUCACGUGUUAGCAUCCAUUUUAAUUAAGUACGUCAAUUGUCUCCAAUAAUGCAAUUUUAUUAUCAAACAUGAUUCAGUGCUGCACAGCAACGAGUUCCACGCGCGUUUUCGAUUUUCCCCUUCACUAGAUCAACCUGCCUUUUCAGCAAAAAUAAUUAAAAAAAAAUAAAUUUAGUGGAAAAUAUAAAUUAACUAAAUUUUGAGUUUGAAAUCUCGGAUACUAAUUAACUAUCAAACUUUUCGUCAUUUGUGCUAGGAAUAGUCAGUGUCACGUUCAGUUAUUGUUUGUGCAAAAUGCAGGCAUAGUCUUUGUAAUAUUUUGAUAUAUGUAUAUGUAAGGACUUUCAGUCCUUUUAAAAAAUAUAUAUAUAUAUAUAGUCCCUGUAAUAUUUAUAUAUAGCAGUUUAGCCCUUUUGUCCAAAAAAAAUGAAAAGAAAAAUAAUCUCAAUACCAGCAAUUUGGAGGUUUUUGAAUCCUAUAUUUUUGAACAUGAAUAUAUUAAUUAGUUCCUGAAAUUUUAUACAUGCAAAUAGGGCUAAUUUAUUCCACUUUUAUUGCUAGUUAUCAAAAUGUUCUAGUUUUUAUAUGCCACUCUAUCUUUUGAUUUCGAAAUGAUUUGUUUAUUUUACAUUAUUCCACACAAAUUUAAAAUACUAUUUUGGGCAAUGAUUGAAUUAAUUUAAGACUAAAGACAAACUUUUAUGCAAUAUAUUUAAUAGAAAUGUGACCCUUGAGGAACCAAAUAAUUAAAUUAAUUUUAUAAACCAAAUUGUUAAAAUGAGAAUAAGGUGACCAAACAUACCUACUUUUGAUGCUUCGAAGAAUUUGAAAAGUUUAAAAGCACUUUGAAACUUAUUUUCCGUAGUAAUAUUAAAUAAUAAUAGACCUCCAUGCUUUUUUAUUAAGAGAAAGUUUAUUCACAAAAACGGUCGGUCAUGCACCCAAGAUUAAUUGUAAUAUAGCUUUACUAAUAUGCAACUAAACUCUAGUGUUUCCGAUCCACAAAAAAUAGAUUCGUCAAUUCUGAUAAAAUUAGUUAUCCAAUUAGAUGUCAUAGGCUAACGUUACGAUCGACACGAGCGAUGCUAUUUGUAUAUUUCUAGACUUGAUGUAAGAUUUACAUCUCAUUCAUUCAAAAACUCAUAUAAUCUCUUUGAUUUUAUAAAUUUAAUUAUUUUUAACUAAAAUAUAAAUAAAGUUUUAUAAAACUCUGAAAUAUUAUUAUUGUAAAAUAUAUACUUGUGUAUAGACCUGGCAAACGAACAGAUUGGGUAACCCGCGGGCGGGUUAUUGUAUCCACGGGUUACUUGGGCAUGGAUAAAAUUUAUCCACAAAUUUUUGGGUAGCCAACAUCAUUACCCAUACCCACCCGCGGGUGGACGGGUGGGUAUGCGGGUUACCUGUAAUUUUUUUUCUUUUUUUCUCUUAUAUUUUUUAAAUGCAAUAUAUAUAUAUAUAUAAGUUUUAAAAUAUAGCAUAACUUAUUAUUUAAAAUAUCAUAACAUACAAUAAAAAUAUUUAAAGUCUCAUAGCUUAAAAAUUUCGUAAUAUAAAAGACGUGAUAAAAAAUUAGAGUUAGAAUUUGUAGGAUGAGUAAAUAAAAAUAUAUAUAUUUUAAUUAAAAAAUAUAUUUUGUAAUUAAAAAAUAUAUGUACGGGUACCCGUGGGUACCCGCGGGUUAUCCAAAAUGCCCACAGCUUAAUGGGUAUCCACCCGUUUUACCCGUAACUUUUUGGGUUGAAAAAGUUGGUAUCCAUACCCGUAAAUUUACGGAUAAUUCGCGGGCACCAGCGGAUAUAGGUCGAGAUUGCCAGGUUUAUUUGUGUAUGAGUGUGCUGAUAGGAUUUUUUUUUAUUUAUAAAUUUUUCAUGCAUCAAUUUUAAGAAUUAAAAGGGACAAUAAUUUGAUGGGCUACAGCAUUUUGAAAAUGUGCAAUUAUUUUUGCCAUGUGCGCAUUGGCGACUGACAACUGUGACAAUAAUUAUAUGUCAGGUGUGAACGGUUCUCUCAACAUAACAUUUGUCAAAAUCGUACGUGAGGAAUCGACGACACGAAGCAUUAUUCAACAAUACAACAACAACAACAACAAUAAUAAAGUUCAACUGUUAUAUACUCUGGGCCAAUUUGCAUAAAAAAUUUAUUUAUUUUAGACUUUUGCAAAAUCGGACCAUCAUUUUUAUUUUUGCAGAUUCGGUCCGCUUUUUCAGCAAACUGACUAAAAUGCCCUUAUACCUUUUUCUCUUUCCUCUUUCUCUCUCCUCUUCGUUCUCUCGUUCUUUUUUUUUUUUUUCGCCGAAAAAAAAAAAGCGAAGGCCGGAGCACUGUCAGACGGGCUCUCUUCUUCUUCUUUUUCCUGCAGAAGCAAUUUUUUUUUUUUUCUUUUUCUUCUUCUUCUUCCUCCUGCUGGAGCUUUUUUUUUUUUUUUUCCCUCUUCUUCUUCUUCUUCUUCUUUUUCUUCCUAUAAGAGCACGGAGCGCGCCGGCCUCGCCACGGAGCCCGACCGCUCGACCCCGACGCCCCGCUCAAGUCGGGGAAGCUCUACUUCCUCGUCGACCUCCGCCGCGCCGACCUCAAGCCCGACCACCGCCGCGAGGGCGCAACCGGCGCCGGCGCCGGCGCCGCGCGUUCCUACUAGUUGCCCGAGGAAGGCCGCGCGUCGAACUACGAGCCCGACCGCUCGACCCCGACGCCCCGCUCAAGCCGGGGAAGCUCUACUUUCUCCCCCACGCCGUCCCCGAGCCCGACCACGGCCGCGUGAUUUCACCAUUACACCAUUAAUGGUGUAAUGGUGUAAUUAUACCAUUAAUGGUGUAACCAUUACACCAUUAAUGAUGUAAUUUCACCAUUAAUGGUGUAAUGGCGCACCAUUACACCAUUACGAAGAAACCGGCCAGCCGGGACAGCGAGCGCCCGUGCGAGGCCGCCGGGUCGACAUGCGCCUCCUCCACGGCGACUGCGACGGAGAGGGAGGCGUUGGCGUGCACCGGCCGACCUCGAGCUCGGCUGACCCCGACCUCCCCCGCGCCUCCGCUCGACCCCGAUGCCCGCAGGCCGCCGCGUGCACGCCAACGCCUCCGUGCACGCCAACAUGACCUCUUACCCACUUUAACACCUAUCAGCAGAUUAAUUAACAAUUGGUACCACAGAAAAUUCACAAAAAACCCAUUGAAUAACAAAAAGAAAAAGAUGGAAAAACAAAAUGGGGAGAAUAAAGCGUGCUGCUCCAGACACAGGAGGUGAACGUCGCGCUCCUCGGCUUCCGCCGCCGCUUCCGCAGCUUCGCCGACUGCGUCGCCCGCACCAUGUGCGACGAGGGCGCCUUCUCCCUCUAGCCCGGCUCUUCGCUGUCGCGCCCAUUACACCAUUAAUGGUGUAACCAUUAAUGGUGUAAUGGUGCACCAUUACACCAUUAAUGGUGUAACCAUUGCACCAUUAAUGAUGUAAUUACACCAUUAUACCAUUAAUGGUGUAAUGGUGCACCAUUACACCAUUACGACGAAGAAGAAGCAGCCGCAGCGCGUCCGCGUCGUCGUCGUCGUCGUCGUCGACAAUGUCUGUGGUGGGUGGGUUGGAGUGCGUGGUGUGCGUGGGGUGCUCGCGCUGGGCGUGGAAGCGCCUCAACUACGUCGGCGCCUACGACAGCGAGUCGUGGCCCCUGUCUCGCCGCGCGCGGCCGCCCUGCCUCGCCCGCGCGCCGAGUGUCCCGCCACGCCGAACAGCGUGCGCGCGCCGAAAGCGUCCGCGCACCGAAGCGUGGCCCUCGCCGCGCCGCAGCGUGCGCUCGCGUGUGCCCCGCGUGCCCUCGCGCGCAGCGUGCGCCAGCGCGCCAGCUCCUCGCCGCCUGCGCGCUCUCCGCCGUUCGAUGUUUGUCUCUCGCCGCCACGACAGACGGGCGAGUUCUCAUCGAGAGAAGGAGCUUCUCCCGCAGAGUAAGCUGUUGAAUUAGUCGAUAAUGAGUGAGUGGUAAGCACCGAGCCAUGCCUAAUCUUUUUUUAUUUUUCAUCGGUUUUACUUAAAACCGGUUUUUUUUUUCAUUCGGUAGAUGGCAUGAAUAAUAUAGAUGAUUAUUUUUUUAUUUUCUAUUGCCUGGGUCUUUGUUUCGUGCUUGUUUCGUGCAUUUGAUGUAGGGCAGUCGGAAUUAAAGGAAUGGUGUUUUGUGAAUUUUCUGUGGGUACCAAUUGUUAAUUAAUCUGCUUGAUAGGUUUAAAGUUGGAGAGGUCAUGGCGUGGCGUUGCCACGGAGGCGUGGCGGUGCACGCGGGCGACUUGGCGGCAUCGUCACGGUCCAGCGGAGGCGCGGGGGAGGUCUGCGGGAUCUGGCCGUGGCUAUUCAACGCCUCCCUCUCCGUGGUAAGUGGGCGAGUGCCGGCCGCGUGUACAGAAUAAAAGGAAGAGAUGAAGAAGAAGAAGAAGAAAGAGUUGGUUUGUGGCCGAGAAAAAAGUGGGCGAACGAGGAAAAAAAAAAAAGGUCCGCAGGGAGGAGAGAAGAAGAAGAAAAAGAAAAAAGAGAAAAAAAAAAUACUCGCCUGCAGGAAAGAAGAGAGGGAAAGCCGUCGCCUGGCGGUGUCCGGCCUUCGCUUUUUUUCGGCGAAAAAAAAAAAAAAGAACGAGAGAACGAAGAGGAGAGAGAAAGAGGAAAGAGAAAAAGGUACAAGGGCAUUUUGGUCAGUUUGCUGAAAAAGCGGACCGAAUCUGCAAAAACGAAAAAGGUGGCCCGAUUUUGCAAAAACCUAAAAUAAGUGGAUUUUUUAUGCAAAUUGGCCUAUACUCUUUUUUUUUAAUACUCUUUUAACUUUUCAAGAUAUUUUAAAUAUAUUUAUAAAAUUAAAUUCUAUUAGUUAAUUUUUAACGACAAACGUUAUUUUUAUAAAAUUAUUAUUUUAUUCUUUUAAAUAUAUCUUUUUAUUAUCACCCGCUUUUAUUAUUUAUUUUUAAGUUAGGGGCAAAAAAAAGUGUUUUAAUUUUUUACCUUUUCAAAUAUAUUUUUUACUAUUGCUAAUUUUUCUUAUUUGCUCUUCAGUUAAGGUCACAAGAGUUAUUUUAAUUUUUUAAAUUUUGGUGGAAAUUUAAUCCCGAUUUAACUCAAGAUAACAUAAUGGGUACUAAUAGCGGAGAUAUUUUUGAUGAACGAAAAAAUAUACAAGAGGUAUAUUUAAAAUAAAAAAAAAGUAUAUUAGAUAUUUUAGAAGUUUUUAAAAAUAUACUAAAUAUUCUCCAUAAUAAUAAUAAUAAUAUAAUAAUAAUAAUAAUGGAGAGAUACUAGUUCAUGUCACAUUCACCUAUCGGUUAGUAGAACAAAGAAAAAAAAUCUAGAAUUAAUGCACCUGGAUUUGUCCCUUUGAAUUAAUACUUCACGUCAUGAUUAAUAAAAAAUUAUUUUUAUUAUAUUUAUUUUUAAAUAGAGAGAUAUGAUUGAAUUGUUAUUGAUGAUAUGAUGCAAAUAUCAUACGGUAAACUUGUAGAGCAAGAGAGUACACGCCUGUCACGGAACUCUCACUACAAUGGAGCAACUAGUUCAUGUGCCUUGUGUAUAUUUUUUAUGGAAUCAAUUUCAUAUGGUUUUUAUAUAAAAGUACAGGAGUAAUAAAUAAAUUUUUAUAAAUUUUAUAUGAUCAUAUUUAUUUUUUAAAAAAUAUAUAGUUUAUAAAUAUAUUUUUAUAAUUAUUCUGGAAUAUCUUUUGUACAAUAACUAUAUUUUUUUUCUUACAAAUACGUCUUUCUAAAGAAAAAUUCUAGAAUACAAUGGGUAUAUUGGUGACGUGGCGUCACAAACCAAUCAAAUAACUCAUUUUAAAGAUAUAUGUUCCAUCAUGAUUGUAAAAAAAUAUUUUUAUUAUAUUUUUGUUUAAAAAAAAAAUGAUUAGUUUGUUAUUAAUGACGUGGUGCAAGCGUGACAGUGUAGAACUUCUCCUUUCUAAGAGCUUUUAUUCCUCCAAAAAUUUAUUUUGUUUCUUUCUAUUACGACGCCUUUGCCGCCGACCGGCGACGACGCAGCAUACGAGGCCAAGAUCGCCACAAUCAUUUUCUACGGUAGGUCUCGUCACAAUCAUAAAUAAAAAAUAAAAAAAAUGACAAUGCUCAACAGUAUAAUAAAAAUUAUAAUAUAUAUAUAUAUAUAGUGAGGCUACUAUCUCUAUCGGAAGCACGGAGCCUUCCGUGCUUCCAGCUCGUUUUCGAUUUGCGACUUCGAAUCGCUCGAUCGGCUCCGUUAAACUUGAUCUAGAGUAUUUGGAGUACCUAGAAAAUAAAUUUUAUUAUUUUUCGUAUCAUUUGCUGUGAUCGAAUGGGCUCGAAAUCAAAUUUUAAUGGCCGUAUGUAACUGUUUGACAAGUUUAACGGUGUAGAAAUAUCCAAAUCACGUGAAAUUUUGAUAGAAAAUUCUUUAUACUAUAUAAAACAAGAUCAAUAUCUUUGAUUUAAAAUUUUAAUGUCAUAUUAUUACAUUUUGUAAGAUUUUUAUUUUCAGCCGUUGAUUUUGAGCCCCUUUGUUCACUAGGCAAAUGAUAUCGUAAAAUUAUAAAAUUUAUUUUCUAGGUACUUCAAAUACUCUAGAUCAAGUUUAACGGAGCCGAUCGAUGAUUCGAAAGUCGCAACAUCGAAAACGAGCUGGAAGCACGGAAGGUUCCAUACUUCCGAUAGUAUAGUAUCUAUAAUAUAUAAGUACGAGUGCUCCAAUACUCAUAAUAGUAUAGUAAUCACGGCCUAUAUAUAUAUAUAUAUAUUGUAUUAUCUUUUAUCAAACUGUGAUUAAUUUUUUUUGUACUCAUAUUUAUUCAUAUUUUUGUAACACAAAAAUAUAUUGAAAACGAACGAAUUUCUUUAGAAACAAAUUUGAUAAGUUAAGUUUUGUAUAAAGUUACUUGUUAUUUUGUUCCUUUGCAGGAAGUCCUAUGCAAUUAUUUCUUUCAUAUAUCACAAUAAAUUUUAAUGGUCAACCCUUUAGAAAUUAGACUUUUAUAUAAUCUAACGAAUGAGAAUCUACAAGUUUUUGUAAAUUUAUUAGUAAUAUAUCAAUAAGUAACCGUAGGGUAGGUGCAGCAUAUAAAAUGUAUUUGUACAUUCGGCAGCGUCGUGCGUUUUGGAUUUGUUGGUUUUAUAAUAACAUAGAGAAAAUCUUUUGUUUGAUUUAGUAGGUAAACCAUACAUAUUAAAUUUGGCCUAUUUGAUCGAUAUUAUUACUAAUAUUCAAUGAAUCUUAAUGUCACGAGAUGAUUUCACUCAUUUUCAUACUGAGCAAAUAACAACAUAUGUACCUAUUAUCUCGAGCCCAAGUGCAAAGUAUUUAGUGGUUGGUAUUCAAAGUCUGAAGUUUGAAUCCUAGUUGAUUCACAUCUUCAGCUAAAUUUAUUUCUAAAACAGAUAAAGCGGAUAAUAUACUAUCUUUCUCUCUCUAAAAAAAAGUGUUAUUAACUUAUUUACUAGUGUCGAAUCAAUUCAAUUGAAUUUGGUCGAAUUUAAUUAAUAUGUUAAUUUCAUACAGGUCCUUGGAAAUAUAGUGAAUUACAAAUAUAUCUCUAUAAACUUUAAUUUUUAGGAAAAACUUCAAAAAACCCCAUGUGGUUUCGCACUUUUUCGUUUUAGUGCCAUGUGGUUUAAAAUGUAUCAAGUUAGUACCCUGUGAUUUCGCACUUUCUCACUUUAGUACCUUGUGGUUUGAAGUGUAUCAAGUUAGUACUUUGUGGUUUUAUUUUUAUAUCAAGUUAGUACCCUGUGGUUUUAUUUUUGUAUCAAAUUAAUACUCCGUGGUUUUAUUUUUCUUUUAAUGAAAUCUUAAACCACAGGGUACUAAAGUGAGAAAGUGCGAAACCACAGAGUACUAACUUGAUACACUUUAAACCACAGGGUACUAAAGUGAGAAAGUGCAAAACCACAGGGUACUACUACUAACUUGAUACACUUAAACCAUAGGAUACUAAAGUGAGAAAAAGUGAAACCACAAGAGGGUAUUUGAAGUUUUCCCUAAUUUUUAUAUGUUGUUCUUAUAAAAGUCCUAAUAUUUUUAAAUAUAUCUCUCUGAUUUGUUACUAUUAAAAACUGUUUAUUUUAUAAGUGAAAUAAUCUUUUUGCCAUCACAAAUAUAUCCCUUCAAAAGUCCCAACUGUUAAUUGAAAAAAGGUGAAAAUGUCAAUCCACCUCAUUAACUAACUAAGGUUAAAUAUUUUAUCUAUGAUUAACUAUUUUUUUCUAAUGGAUCCUAACGGCAGAGAUAUAUUUAAAAACAUCAAGACUUUUGCAGAGACAAUAUGUGAAAAUUGAACUUUGUAGGGAUAUAUUUGCAAUUUAUGAUGUUUGCAAGGAUUUGUAUGAAAUUAACCUUUAAUUAAUCAACAAUAAAAAAAUCAGCAAAUUUUAUUAUCAACUCCAAUUAAACUUUGCCACCUGGCAUAAAAAAUAAAUAAAUGAUUUUUGUUCUCUCAUAUCUUUAUAAUUUAAAAUUACUAUAUUAUUUUUUAUUUGAUAUUUGUAAACUCUCAACCUAGCUCAUGUUCGGGUCAUUUAAUAAACUAGCAAACAUUAGCCUGCUCCAUGUUGCUCGUGUUCAGCUCUUUUAUAGCCCUAAGCCAUGUAUGGAAAGAAUGCAUGCAGCUAUGAAGCCACAAAUUGAAAUAAUCCCAUAUUUGGAUAUUAACAUUUCAAAGAGUUCGCGGUACCAUAUUCGACACCUUUCUUAACUUUUGAAUUCCAAAUAUUUUGAUAGAAUAAAAAAAAAUCGUGUCUGGACUCGAAAUAUUUUGAUGGAUAUAUUGAAUAAUUAACUGAAAAAAAAACAAAAUAAAAAUAAAGGGUCUGCUAGAACUUUGAUUUCUGAACCUCAUGCUCAUAUGCUUCAUAAAAUUAUGUAAUACAAUCAUUUUGUUUCAAAAGUUUUUUUUUUUUUUUUUUUUUUUUUUUGAAAAAUAGGUAGCAAGCUACCUGCUUCAUUCAUUAAGCAAAAUGAAUUAGGCGUACAAGAUGGAAGCAGCUACGGCCUCCGAAACGAGUGGGCAAAAAAAUAUAAAAAAAAAAACAAAAACAAAAGAAAAAUAGAAAAAUAAACGAAAAAUAAAAAUAAGAAAACUAAACAACAUGUCUGGACUCGAAAUAUUUUGAUGGAUAUAUUGAAUAAUUAACUGAAAAAAAAAAACAAAAUAAAAAUAAAGAGUCUACUAGAACUUUGAUUUCUGAACCUCAUGCUCAUAUGCUUCAUAAAAUUAUGUAAUACAAUCAUUUUGUUUCAAAAGUUUUAAUUAUCUAAUACGUGACAUGUGUUGCACGGUGAGCCCAAUUAUAAAGAUAACUACGCCCAAAUUGUGGCCCAGUGUCCCACAGGCCCAAAAACCAGAAAUAUUCUGGGUCCAUCGCACGGCCCAGUUUCUUUUACCUGGAAAUCAGAGGGAUAGAAAAGGGAGAUGGGCUCCCGAGGCUUUGGGCCUGGCAAGGCCCAUCUCAGGGCACGACGGCACGGGUCUCUAUUUGCGAAAGCACAAGCGGCUCAAAGACCGUGAGUCAGUUCCCCAGAUAACAGCCACUGAGCUAGGCCAACAGUUUUAUUCAGCUGUAUUAAUUUUAUAUCGGAAAGGUGAUAGAAAAGCAAUUUUUGAUAACUACGUGCGAAAGUAAUCGACAGAAACAUUGAGGCUAAAAAAUUCCAAGUACUGAUUGCAAGCUCUAAUCGUAAUUUCAUAGAUCCAAUGUCGUUCUGAUCUAAUAAUAAUAAUAAUCACUACAAUAGAAUUAGGUUUUAGGGACACAUGUUUGGGACACUUUUGAGUAAGUGUCCCAUUUAUGCUAAAAUUAAAAAAAACAUCUAUUAAUGCCAAAUAUAAAGUCCAAUCCAAUCAAAAAUAAAAGAUUACUCUGCUCAACCCACCAUACCCAGUCUAUUUGGCCCGAUUACAAACAGAAAAGAAAAAAAAAAAAAGAAAAAUCAAUUACCAUCUUUUCUUUUCUCUUCACUCAAUCCAUUGAAAUUCUAGACGAAGAGCCUUUCCUGUUGUCCUCUUCCGCUACCGUAGCCAACGAGAUAGAAUUUCGACGGUUGCUAAAUGCUUAAAUAAGUUUUGGUAAAUUAGCAGCACUCUUUUAAGUUAUAACGACACUCUUUAACUGUCACUAUAUACCUAGCGAUCUCACAUAUAGCAACACUUUUUAAAAGUGUCGGUAAUUUUGACUAGCAGCACUUUUUGAUAUGUACCUAGAUUUAAAAGUGUCGCUAUAGACCGUUUUUAUUGUAGUGAAUACACUUAUGUAAGUUCGCCGUCGGUUUUAAAUUAUAUAUAUAUGCUUGAUAAAACUGGAUCACAUGCAUGAUCAUAUAACUCUGUACAAGAAGAUUUACCAAAAUUUGUGUAUGUACAUAAAUUUCGACAGCAGGAGCACCAAGCACAUACGCAAAAUACACAGAAGUUGAGAUACAUGCAUGGAAAUGUCAUUGUACUAUUUGUUAUGACUACUCUGUGAUUAUUGGUUACUAGAUUGACUUUGUUCAGUAACAUCGCAUCAUCGGAGCCAGGCUCGAGCCUCCUUCGGACCUGGGUUGAUUUUUGAUAUCCAUCACUCGACAACGCAUGUUAUUUCAUUUACUUUUGUUCUACUGUCUUUUUCAGUGCUUUUACUAUCAUCAUGCGUAGGAUGGUUCAUCUGAUCUCUAUUAUAUAUUUAUAAAAAAAUUUUGGUAUGGUAAAAAGAAAAUAAUAUAAAAAAUCCCUCUCCACAAUUACAGCCUUAAUCAUAGCUUAUGGUACGUAUAUUAACAGCUGUGUUGUACCUUACAUGCAUCAGAAACAUGCUCAAGCUUGAGGCCCUCAACAGAGCACAUAUCCUCUCAUAAGAUUCCUCUGCAAGCAUAUGAAACUAAUGCCUUAUAUUAAAGAUUACGGGCAUAAAAUCUGUAAGUGUGGGCACUAACAAAUGCCAUAGAAUUUAUUCCAUGUACCUAACUGGGGACCUGUAAGGGGUGAUGGCCCAGAGGAAGCAAAGCAAUCUCUAGCCUACACACUUGGUCCUUUCUUAAUGUCCUCAGCUGUUCUUAUGGCCACAGCUGGAACCAUGCUUUGGGUGCACAAAAAGCUCCCCCAUCAUUUCCCCAACCUUUGCUUUUGCUUUCGCGAAAACUUCAAAAUGCACAUUUUUAUACUGUAGUAUAGUAUAACAUAUUUGCAGCUUACUAUCCUUGCGGUUCUUUUAGCGUAUCAUUUUACUUUAUAUUGUUUUAAUUUUUGUUUCGUGUAAGGAGUGAUACUGUUCGUGCGUCAAAACUAUUAGUUCUGUAUUGGGUGUCAGUAGGAUUGCAGUUAAAAUCUCGCUCGGUACAUGAUGCCAAGGGAAUUUUUUUAUUUUUUAUUUUAAUGGGUAUGGAUAGGGAUUGAACAUUUGAACACAUGUAUCUUAAGGUGCCGAGGAGGCAUAUCAACAAAUCUCCCCUUUUUUAUUUGCCUUUAUUGUGAUCUUCAUGGGAGGAUGCACUAGAACUUUGAAUAGAUCAUGUCUAAAAAGGGAGCCUUUAUUGUGUACCAUGCUCUUUGUUCUCUUUACUCUUCCGUGGUCUAUUGGAACCAUGGUGCCUGUUUUUUUUUUUUUUUUUUUUUUUUUUUUUUUUUUUUUUUUUUUUUUCUUGGAUAAGGAUAGACCUGGCAAACAGGCGGGUUUCUUGGACAUGUUUAAAAUUUACUUACAAAUUUUUGGAUGGUCAACAUUUUUAUCCAUAUCCGCCCGCAGGUGGGCGGGUGGGUAUGCGGGUUACCCGUAAUUUUUCUUUUUUUGCUCUUAUAUUUUUUAAAUUUAAAACACAUAUAUAAAUUUUAAAAUCAUAAUAUAACUCAUUGUUUAAAAUAUCAUAGCAUACAAUAAAAAUAUUUAAAGUUUUAAAAUAAAAAUAUUUCAUAAUAUAAAAGACACGCAAUAAAAAAUUAGGAUUAGAAUUUUUAGGAUGGAUAAAUAAAAAAUAUAUUAAUUAAAAAAUAUAUUUUGUAAUUAAAAAAUAUAUGUGCGAGUACCAGUGCGUACAUAUAGGUUACCCAAAAUGCCCACUGCUUAAUAGGUACACAUCCGUUUUAUCUGUAAUUUUUUAAAUUGAAAAAAUCGGUACUCAUACCCGCAAAUUUAUGGGUAACCCGUGUGUAUCCGCAGAUUUGGGUCAAGAUUGCCAGGUCUUGAUAAGGACCAGGUUUUGAUAAGGACAAUGACACGGGACCAUGGCCUAGGCCUAGUAAUAGUUCUUAGACCUCACAUGAAUCCUAGAAUUUUGUUUGAGCUUUUUGUGUUAUAUUUUUCUUUUUUAAUAUACGAAAAACAAAAAUUACAGACAUUUAUAUCGAGAUAAAAUUCUAAAGGGCCCUGAUCAAAACCACAUAAAAAAGUCCUAAAUUAUGCAUCAUGUGUUCGCGAAUGCUAAAUCAUGCACUUAUAGUUGCUUACAAUUUGUGACAGUUUCUAAAAUAGUUGUCCUUAAAGUAUGCAUUUUAUAUAGUGUUGUGUUUUUUUAAAAAAAAAUACUCGUUCAAUAUUUCCAGACCAUUUUGGAAUGACGAUGUUUAAAUACACUGCCUUCGUAUUUUGGAGGGUUUAAAAAGUGGAAAGAGUAUUACAACUUCAUUCCACUAAUGAUAUAAAAUGAAAACAGAAGCUAUCACGUAAGAGGCAAAUUAUUAGAUGUGCCUCCAAAUUUAAUUAUCGAGUUUAAUUUUGUGCUCCUAAUUUGCUGACAGUUUUGUUGUACAAUAAAUUUUGAAUAAAUAUUUGUGAAAAAAAUAUAGAUGUCCGUAGUGGGUGGCAAAGACUCAAGCCCGUCGGCUCGAGCCUGUAACCUCGCGGUACGGAUCAGAUUCGAUAAUAAAGAAACCUGUUAAAAAAUGCCUUUCUUUUUUUGCUUUUGAGGCGAUACAGUGGAUUGUAACUCCACAAUAUUGUAUUGACUUUUUCAUAGUGAAUUUCUCUCCUUUUUUACCCUUGAUUUUUUUUUUCCUGAAUGUAAAUAUUUUUUUUGAGAGAAGAUUUUCUACGUAAAAUUUUGUGUUCUAUUUUAUUUACUGUUUUGUAAUUUGUUUACUGUAUGAUCACCGUCCUCUGUUUCUAUUUUGUACACUUGUCGUAAUAAAAGUGCUGCUCGCUACUCCCUCCGAUAGUUUCAUAACAUUGGGAUAGAGGGAGAUAGCAAAGCAUUUAUACAAUGUUUUAAUUUUGUAUUGUAGGCGAGUUUGUAAACACAAUUUCCACACCCUAAAGAUGUGUAUAGCGAAUUUUGCAGGUGAUCUCAACUCGAAAUGUGCUCGUUUUGCGCUUCCACAAUUUAAUGCCAAUUCCCAGGAAGAAACAGAUAUUUGUCAAUAUAUUAACUGUUUCAAAUUAAAUUCCUUGUUUAGAGAGAUAACCUCAUGUGCUAUAAUUAAUGAUAUAUAUUUUUUCUUUUUAUCUUCUUAAGCCCCACAAUAUAUCAGUGUAAUAUUAUUACACAAUUUCUGCUCAAAAAUAGUGUAAUGUCACAACCAGCUCAUACUAGCUAUCAUAUGACACUACAUAGAUUUUGUACAGUGAAAUAGGUCACUCAUGGAGCCCCACAUUUUCGUAAGUUCAAUUCUCCGCUUAUUAUGCACAAUUUGUUUAUAUCUGUUAAUUCUGAAUUUUACAUCACAAGUUACUUGAAGAGGACUAUAAAUUUACAUAUUCAUUCUUUAAAAAAGUUGAAUUAAUUCAAUGUGAGCACCAUUUUCAGAAGCAAACUAAGCUAUUCAUGUUAUAUUCAAAAGAAACUUCCAUUGCAUGAAAGGAACCAGUGUAAUUAGACACAAGAAAGGAAGAGAGAAAGAGAGGGGGCAAAAAAAGGAAGCAAAAAAACCAAUAAAAGAGAGAGAGAGAGAGAGUAAAUUAAAAGAACCUCUAUGUUUCCAUCUUUGGCAACUGCACUUAGCAACUAAACUUUGGAGACCUCCUCUUUUCAAAACCUACUUACUUUGCUUUCUUUUUUCUGAAAUUUAACUACAUGAACUUUUUCCCUCACAUUUCAAAUUGCCCAAGCCUAUUAUCAGACAACCUUGUUUUGUAUGCAGAUCUCUUGUACUCGCACCAUGUGAACUCCCUGUAGAGGCUCUGCUUCCCUUCUUCUAUCAACAGCGGCAAUGGCGCCAGCCUCUCUCUCGGCGACGGUCCCCCGAAGUAUAUCAUCGACACCCGCGAUUGCGCACUGUUUGCCAGAACCCGGUGUUUUACGCUCCUGAAUCUUCCAUUUGUCAGAACCUGUAGCCCAUAGAAUUAAAAAGCCAUUGGAUUAGUAUUAUUAUUCACACACCCACAGAAAAAGAGUAAACCUGUGUGCAGUUACUGCAUGUUACUGUGUGAUACUAACAUGCAUAUGCUUACUAGUAGUUGGAGGGUUUUGAACCACAUUCAUUUUCUAGUCCUCAGUGGACUAUGACUUAAAAGGAGACUUAUUUAGCAGCCACCAAAGUGUUGGUGUCUAAAUUGAUUCCAAUUCCCAAAUAUGAAUCCACGACUUGGCUUCAUAGACAAAGAUGUAUUCCAAGGUUCUAGAAGGAAAGGAAGGGUCAAAAGGAGUAAAUAAUACCUACAACAAGGUCUUAUCAUAAGAACAAAUAUUUAGAAAUAAUGGUUUUGAUACCUUUUACUUCUUCUAAUAGCAACCAUGGUGAAAUUAUUGUGAGAAGGGGCUCAAAAUCAGCUGCUUUUUUUACCUGCAAUGAAUCGCCAACAUUGAUGAAGAAAGAGCUUUGAUCAGGAGGAACAGAGACCCAACUCCCAUCCCUCAGUGAAAUCUCCAAUCCUGAGGUGUUGUUGGACCUCAGCAAAGAUAUAAUCUGGGGGUCAGUGUGUUCUCCAAACCCAGUCAAGCCACAAUCCAGGCCUUGAAGGUGUGGGCAUGGCGGGUAGUGGUUGAGCCGCAACAUCGAGUCGCUCUCCGAAUCCGUGACCAAUUUGCUGAACACAUUCUUUGGUUGAAUUUUCAGGCUCUCCGCCAUUAAUUCUAACACCUCACAAGCUAGUUUUCUCACAGCAGUGAUGUACUCAUUCAAGACCGAGCUGCGGCAAAAAGUUUAAAGUUAAAGUUUAAUCGUAAGAAACUAAUGGAAAUAGUUGGCUAGUGAUCUUCAUACUUUGUUUGAGCAAAAUUAACUAGUACAAUUUGGUGAUUCGAUUUAGCCAGAGAUCGAGACAGCGCAUGCAUGUAAUAUCGGAUGCGGGAAUUGAACUUUCAACGUUUUAUUAUCCAAAGAAUCGAUCAUAUAGAAAAUGUGUCAGACAUAGUUUUUUUUUUUUUUUUUUUUGGUUACUGAACAGAAGAAUAUAAGUGGAUUAUACCAAAAACCAAGCAUUUGUUCUGCGGAAACAGAGGAAGUAUAUGUAAUGAAAUGAUUCUUACCAGAACAAGCUUGCUGAGGGUUCCUUAAGAAAGGAUAAUGAGGAAUGAGAAAUAGGCUUUGAUGUGAUCUCCAAAAGGAUGUACUCCACCCAGCCCAGAUCACCAUUUCCCCCGAUUUUCUUACUCCCGUAGCCGAAAGGCCCUGGGGAAGAAGCAGAGAGCUCCUUCUCGACCUGUGGCAAUGAGAAGAACCUCAAUGCUUCGUCCUCCAACUUAGCCAUGAGCUCCAUUGGGAUCCCAUGGUUGGUCACCUUGAAGAACCCGAGCUCCUCGCACGCGCCGAUGAGCCGCGCUUUCGACUCGGGAUCGGAGAGGUCGAUGACCGGGACAUCGGAGAAGAAGUUGGUGGGUUUGUGCACCACUGGGAGAGAGAUUUGCUCUAGCUCUCCGUGCGCCAGCACCACCAUGGUUGUUGUUGAGGUAAAAGAAGGAAACAGGGGGAAAACAGGGGAAAAACAGAGGAAGGGGCUUGAUAUUGGUGGUGAAUGAGAGCAAAAGCGGUGCAUUGGAUGUGUAUUUAUAAAGAGAGAACCGCCUCGUAUGGAAAAAAGAGAGAAAAUAAAAUGAAGUGGGACAGAGAAAAACAGAGUGGUCUCUGAGCAGGGGUUUCAUACAAAAUGGAAAAAUUGAUGGUCCACUUCUUGUAGAGUAAAAAUCCACCUGUUUACAAGUGAGUGGUGGGGGUGUAUUUGUAAUAAAUGGAUUGUAAUCCAAGUAUCGUUCAAUUUUUUUAGGGUAUCUAUCUCAAUAUAGCUGUUGCGCCGUUCGUACAACACACACUCAUUAGCCUUUAAUUCUAUCUCAUAUUUGAUUCACAUUUUCGGCGCAAGUGGCAAAAUAACUUGAUGGUUGGUAUUCGAGACCCAAGUUCGAAUCCUAGUUGAUUCACAUUUCUAGCUAAAUUUAUUUUUUAAUAAAAUAAAUGAAGCAGGUAGCGUGCUAUCUAUCUCUAAAAAAAAAAAAAAAUUCUAUCUCAUAUUUGAAUCUAUAUAUAAAACUAAUGCGGCUUUCUUUUUCGUAUUUAAAAUUUUGGACUUGCUUAUUGAAAAUAUAAAUUGGGUGAAAAAUAAACAAAUUUAUGGUGUACUAUUUGACGCAAGCAAUAAUUUCCUCACAAAUUGUAUGCCUAAAAGGAAACACUUAUUAAAUAUUUCUUAAUGUUUGGAAUAGGUCAAGCGAAAAUCUAAAAUAAAAUACUAUUAAAAAUUUAGAAUAAGAAUACUAAUAUCUAAUGUAUCUGAUGGUUAUAGGGUUUGGAUUGCUUCGACCUGGAUCCGACCCAUUACAAUAAUCCGAACUAAUAAAUGCAAGAUUUAUUUCUUGUUUUGCAUUUUUUUAAAAUUGAACAAUACUAGGAUUACAAUCCAUUUAUUACUAGACCAUCCAAAGACCAAAUUUCAUUCACUAUUCAUAUUAACUUCUUUUAUUAUUAUUAUUUAUUAUAUUAAAAUUUUAAAAAUAAGGUUAUCUUUCCAACUACUUUUCGGUUGUAGCUAGCAUUUUUCUGAAAAAAUCUAAGAUAACAAAUCUCCGGCAACAAAGUUUGAGAACUCAAAGAUAACUUGAUCCAUAUAUGAAUGUGUAUUUAAUUAUAUCUGAUUAGACAUAUUGAUUUCGGCGAGUUCCUUCACUCGAACUCCUACUUCCAUUGUAUUAAAAAUUUUUAUCUUAUUGAAUCUUAUAGGUACAACUCUUGUCGGUACUAGUGCCAUUCUUCCGUCUUCUAUGCAAACAACUUUUGCCACCCCAAUGCCUCUACAAUCGCACAACGUCGAGCUCCCCCAUGGUCUUCUCAAGCUUUCAAGUCUUUCGUCGGGAUUACUGGCCUCGACUACUUUCUGCUUUACUGACUUUACCACCGACUCUUGUCAUGCCUCUUGACGCACUAUAGUAUUUUUUUUUUUUUUUUCUGUUACUUAUAUUAAUGAAAGUGAUAAGCAUUCGCAAUCUAUGAAUGUUGGGCUAAUAAAUGCACGCAACCAUCACUUUAGUAAUUCGCACCGUCAUUUCCUGAGAUUGAGAGGGAUUUUCUUCAUGUAGUGGAGGCACAAAGACUAAAUUGAGGGCUGCUGCUUCUUCUCAUCUAUAAGGGGAUGGGGACAUCUUGGCCCUGAGAGAAAUUAUUUCCUGCACCCGAUGCACCACGUCAGCUGUACAUAGGAUGCAUUAAUCUAUCUCUUUUUCUUUACUUUCAGGAUCGAUCUGUCCGACAUUCGAGGCUGCCUAAUAUUAUUAAGUCAAAAAGAGCCAGAAAAAAAGUUGAAAAUUAUGUUCGAAUUAAACAUGUGGGAAUCUGCAGAACAUGCCGUUGAGUCUGAUAAUUUUUACUUCUCAAGCAAGAAACACGAUGCGGUGCAUCGAGCCUAGGCAAUAGUUUCUCAUCCCUGGAUAUUUUUGCCUCCCCAUAUUCAAUUGGACGGCUAGUGGGCCUCAAGGAGUUGUUAGAUACACUAUUUAUUUAUAGUAAUGAUGAUAAGUAAUGCUAAUGCUUUUAGAUAAAUUUUAAUAUUUAUUUGUAACUUUAAUUUGCAUACGCCGCCGUAUUUACGAAUAGAUCAGUAUUAUCACCUGCUAAGUAAAACAUUUAACUAUUCAAUAUUAAGGCCGUAAAAAUGGACGUGAUUUAGAAAGUUAAUUAAGUAAAACUGUUUCAUAAGAGAAGUACGUACUUUUCAUGUUGACACUAGGGAUAAUUCACUAACUAUUGAUAAUCCACCACAAGAUACUUCAACUUGUCACCAAUCAUAAGUAAAAGGAGAAAUGAAGCAUUUGUAGAUUUUUUUUUUUAUUUUUCCUCCAAAUCAUGCUUGUAAUGGGGAAACAAUGGCUUAGGACAAGUAUUCCUCCAACACUUGUUAAGAUAUAUUAUAUUAAAUAUAAAAAGUUAGAUGGAUUCAAAAAAUUUAUUAUUUUCACACCGCGUAGCCUGCAUUAUCAAUCCUAAUUUUGUGAAUCUUAACAAGUGCGUAAAGCACCCGAGAAAGAACACAUAAAGAAACAUCGGUCGCAAUGUUCUUUUUCUUGUUUUCCUUUUUUCUGCGUACUUUUGGGAUCACCAAUAUGUGCGACACAGAUGUCGUACGAAAGAGCACAUCGAGUGCGCGAAAUAGCAGCAACCCUAGCCGCCGAUUAUAUUUAGGUGUGACACGCGAAGUCCAACUUGAUUACGAGCUUUAACUAACUCUACCGAAGAUAAUGUAGUCAAUGAUGAACAACAACAUCUUAAGCAUCCACCGAAAAUGGCAUUAAAAAUCGUGGCAUCCUAGCACUAUCGUGCCGAAAGAAGUACAAAUUGGCGUGUCGAAUUAGAAAUGCCCGCGUUCUAAGGAGUCGUGCUAAAUGCAUGCAUCUAAAUAUAUAAGUAGCAUUUCUAGAAGAAAAGUGACGCGCAUAUUUCUUUAAUGUUCGUAUUCGAACUCGUAAAGCAUUACCCUAUUAUUUUUCUAUUUUAGUUCGGCGGUGGCAUAUAUGUCUAUGUGCUCUGCAUUUAUUUGACUAAUUACGUGUGUAAAUAUAACUUUGAAUUGAACGACGAGAGAUAUCAAGGAGUGUUUUGGAUACAUUAACUUUGCUGGGUUUGGAAUUUACUAUAAACCAAACUUUGAUGAGCGCCAAUGAAACUAUCAUAUAUAUAGAGAGAUAGUUCACCUAAUAUAUACUGUAGAUAAUAAAUUAAUAUUAUUUACUAGCACCGACUAUAUAUAUUCCUAACGUGAGUGACAAAGGGUUUGAUGAUUGAUAUCCGAAGUCCCAAGUUUGAAUCCUAAUUAAUUCGCAUUUCUAAAUAAAAUAAACAAAGAUGAUAGCAUGCUGUCUAUCUCUCUCUCAAAAUAAAAAUAUUUACUAUCAACUUUUUUAUCCUUAGAUUAUUAUUAUUCCAGCAACUCUCACUAAAUUCGAAGCAUCUAAUAGUAAAAAAGUUGAUAAUAAAUAUUAUUUUCUAUACUAUCAAUAAUAUUUUGCCUCCGCCAUAUAUCUUUAUGUAUAGGUCGAUAUCUGAAGCACAUUAAUUUGUGGAUUUCGUACGUGCUUGGGACUAAUGAGACAUUUGGUUGGUGGGAGUGAGGUAAGGUUACAAUUAAGAAUCCCAGAUAUAACUCCUUUCAAGUUGAAGCAUCAUCACUCAUCACUUGUGAUAAUCUAUGUAAGAUAAUAUAAUCAAAGAAGGUAAAGUGUUCGGUAAUCUUUAUUAUGCAAAUUAUAUAUAAGUUACCUAUUCAUCAAGAACACGUGGAUGGUUCAUGAAAUAUAAAUUACAUGAAAAGUAUGAAAUCGGUUGGCACAAUUCUGAAUCGCUUCUUCGCUUUAGAAGUAAAUAAAAAGAUUGAACUUUACUAAUUUUAUGUUAUCUGCAUCUAAAAUUUUAUAGAAAAAAAAAAAUAAAAAAGAAAAACUAAUUAGACUAAUUAAAAGUCCCAUUCGGGCGUAAUGGCCCACCUUGACUUCGAGUCACAUUGAUGGAAUCUUUGAAUUUUUUUUCUAAUAAUUUUUUAAAUGAUUAUUCUUUUUUUCCCCAAAAAAUAUUAUAAAUUCCUGUCUCAAUUGCAGAUUCCUAUAAAAAUCACCCAGUAGUAAUGCAUGGAAAGGGCCCACGAUUGCAACAAGCACCGCAUGGAGGGUUAUUAAUUUUACCUGUAAAUAGUGCACCACGUAAGCCAUAGACUCUAUAAGAGAUCCCCACAUUCUUUUCUUGGUUAAAAGUUAUUUAAAAAUAAAAAAUAAAAAAUGGUUGUAUACUUAGACCGGUAUAAGAGUUUUAGUAGACUCUACAAAAAACGAUAAUCGUAAAAUAUUUUGACAUCAAUUUUGAAGGUUCAUUUGCUCUAAUAAAAAUCACAUAAUAAUCUCUAACUAUGAAUUGUAAUUCAAAUUAAAUUAAUCUUCAAUUCAACUUACAUAAAAAGUUAAUCAAAAUGAUUAAUAUGAAAAAAUGAUUGAGAAAAAUAAUAAAGAUUGAAGGGCCUUUUUCAAAUAUAGCAUGUACUUGAGUAGCUUGAUAUUUUUAACUAUUAAUUUUUGUAAACUAGUAAUUAUGAAAAGAAUAACAUCUGUGCUUUAGUCUAGAUUUUUUUAAAAAAAUAAGUUUAGAUCUUUAUUAUCAGAACCUUCAUUAGCUAGUCACUUAUAUUAAUUUUUAAUAAAAUAAAAACUAAAUUAUUUAAUUUUUGAACGCGCACGUGGGAAUCGAACUCUUAAUCAUUUGAUUAAUUGUGUAGAUGGUCAUGAUAUGUGAUUCAAUGUGAUCAUAAUUUUAUAAAUUUUACUGGUCUCUAUAAUUCCAAGCUAAAUUUAUACAAUAGAUAAAAUAAAUGAUUGUUAUUCUUACAACGUAAAAACGAAAAAGUAGAAAUUUCAUAAAAAAAAAAAAAGUAAGGUACCAUCUAAAACGGUGGUCCAUAGCUGACGUGGCUGUAAAGGCAAAGGUAAAGGUACACGCGGUCCACAAUAAUUGACGUCGGCAACCUAUCCCAACAGAGAUCGUGCCUUGGAAAAAUUCUAGAAUGCAAUUCGGGUAUAUUGAUGACGUGGCAUAAUAAAUCAAUCAAAUAUUUUUUUUAGAGAUAUAUGUUUCGUUAUGAUUAUAAAAAAAUAUUUUUAUGAUACUUUUGUUUGAAAAGAAGAAAUAUAAUUGGUUUGUUACUAAUGACGUGGUGCAAGCGUGACAUUGUAGAAUUUCUCGUCCGUUGGGCCCUUUUAACUGACGUGAUGUUAUCAAAGGGACUCACCGGGAAAAAUAAUUAGGAGCUGUUUAGUUGCAGUAAUUACAUAAUCAAAUUCAUUGUUUGGUCUAGCGUAGUUAAGUCUAAUUAUUACAGAUAAAAAUAUACAUCGAGAUUCAAAUACUAUAGCUGGAACUAUAUUCAAAUUAACUAUAGUUACAACUGCAGCAAUCAACGAGAAUUCGAUAAAAAUAUAUAUAAUAUAUAUAUAUAUAAUAUAUAUAUUAUAUAUAUAUAUAUAUAUAUAUAUAUAUAUAAUUAUAUAUAAUAUAAUUAGAUUACUAUAUCUAUUAAGUACCUGACUUUGAUACAUAGUCUUGUUUUCGAUUUAGGGUAUCAAAAUUAACGAUCACACCGGUAAAAUGACUGAUUUUAGGGUAUAUGAAGUUUCAGGAAUAAAAUUUUAGUUUUUUUUCGAAAUUCUUUACUUAGUAAAUAAAUUAAUGCAAAUGAGGUGGAAAUUGAAAUAAUCUUUAAAAUUUGAGUAUAGUAGACUUUUAAAUUCAAAAUCAAAGAAUUGUUAAACGCUUAACUGAUCGUUUACAAAAUAUUUUCUAUCAAAAAUUUGAAGAAAUUUUAGAAUUCUUCUACACCGUUAAAUCAAACAUCGCUCCAUAGUUAGCCUUGAAAAUUGACAAUUUUGAUAAAUGGUUUGAUCAUAAAGUAACAGUCGAAAAAAAUAUAAAAUUUUAUUUCUAAAAACUUUAAAUACCCUAAAUCAGUUUUAACGGUGUGGAUCGUUGAUUUGAACACCCUAGGAUUGAAAAUGAGACUAUAGUACCGUAGCCCCGGUACUAUAGAUAGUAUAGGAGACUAGCUCUCUCUCUCUCUCUCUCUCUCUCUCUCUAUAUAUAUAUAUAUAUUCUCUCUCUCUCUAUAUAUAUAUAUAUAGUAGGGCUACUAUACUCUUAUGAGUAUAGAGCCUUUCGUGCUCAUAAGUUGUUUUCGAUGUUGGGGCUCCCAAAUCGACGAUCCACAUUGUUAAACAUUAUCUAGAAUAUUUAAAACUUCUAGAAAAUAAAUUUCGUAAUUUUUCGAAAUCAUUAUAAAGUCCAUCAAGCGGAUAUAAAAUGAAUGGCAAAAUCGAACGAUGUCCAAAAAAUGGAUGAUCGGAUCCUUCAAUUUAAGAUUAGGGUUAUUAAUCUUUAUCUAAGUAAUGAAUAUAAUUUUCUAUCAAAAAUUCAAACUAUUCUGAUUCUUUUACACCGUUAAACUAGCAAGUAUCACAUACCGGUCGUUAAAAAUUAUCAAUUUUGUGAGUUUUUGAUCAUAAGGUAAAUGAUAUCGAAAAAUUAUAAAAUUUGAUUUCUAAAAGUUUUAAAUGCUCUAGAUAAUGUUUAACAGUCUGAAUCGUCGAUUCAGAAGCUCUAUUAUUGAAAACAAUUUAUGAGUGCGAAUGCGAUCGUACUCAUAACAAUAUAGUAGCCGGACUAUAUAUANGAGAGAGAGAGAGAUAUAGAGAGAGAGAGAGAGAGAGAGAGAGAGAGAGAGAGAGAGUGUUGAGUUGGAAUACUAUCGGUAGUAAACGGGCUCCAUUGCCACCAAUUUAUUUUCGAUGAUGGAGCCUCCAAAUCGACGAUCGGUACCGUUGAAAAUAAUUUAUACCACUUUAAGUAUCUAGAAAUCAAAUUUCAUGCUUUUCUAAUAUUGUUUUCUCGUUCAUCAAGUGAGCGCAAAAAUGAAUAUUCUCUAAAAAGUAAUGAUAGGAUUUUGUAAUCAAGAUCGAGAGUAUAGAUUUUGUUCUAAAUAGUUUAAAGAAUUUUCUAACCAAAAUUCAAUUGAUUAGGAUAGCUUUACACAGUUAAACGAGAAAACGCCUCAUAUCAACCAUUAAAAUUAUAAAUUUUAAAACCCUUUAAUCAUUAGGUCAAUGAUAUCGAAAAGAUUUGAAAUCUAGAUAUUUCAAGUGAUAUAUAUCAUGUUCAACGGUGCCGAUCGUCCAUUUGAAGGCUCUAUCAUCGAAAAUAAAUGAGUGGUACCGGAGCCCAUUUACUAUCGAUAGUAUUCUAGCAAAACUAUUAUAUAUUUAGAGAAGAGAGAGAGAGUGACUUAGAAUACUUUAAAGUCAGAUGGAUGGUGCUUGUGAGUUUUUAACCUUUGAUAGAAAAUUAGGGUGGAUGAGUGUAAGCUGGGUGGUUGGGUGGUAAGCGGAAUGGUGUUUCAUCCAAGGGGCUAAUUAUAAUUGUCAGGAGUAAUCCAAGGGCUAAAAACCUAAUAGCACCAAAGAGUGAUACUGUGUUAAAAUAUUCUAGCCUCAAUUUAUAUAUAAUAUAAUAUAUUAUAUUAUAUAUAUAUAUAUAUAUAUAUGAUUACCAUUCUCAACCAGAAAAACUAAGGCCCCAUGUGGCCCCAAAACCGACCAUAUGUCCAGAGCUUCAAGGUUUCUAUUUAAACGUGACAGUUGCCGAUCACACAAUGGCCACUCAGUAAAAUAUGCCUACCACAUAACAGAAUAGAGCCAGCUUUAUCCAGAAAAUAGCGGUGAGAGAGAUCUAAGUACAGAGAUGAGUAUAGAGAUAGGAGCAGAGAGAAGAGGAGAGAGGAAUCAAAUCACACUAUGAAAAGAGUACCUAGUCAAGGACACGAAUUUAUGAGCAUGUUUCUUUAUAUUUUAUAUUUUUCUUUUUAAAACAAAUCUAUUGAUGAUGAGCGACACUCAGGCUACUGAGAACCAAGCAAGCAAGCUCUAUCAAAUCAAUUGCCAUUAUCAUCCUUGUUCGAAUAAAUGCAUGCCGCCUCCAUAUAACUAUUUAGUGUUUAAAGUCGUUGUUAUUAUCUAGUGUUUAUUUCUGAACAAUUUAUUUUUGGUGUAGUUUUAUCAGGGAGCUCAAAAAAAAAACCCGUAUCUUCUUGAUUUUAAUAAAUUAGAAAAACAAAGAGUUCUUGACUGAAAUAGAAGUCUCUGAAAACUCACAAAAAAAACGGUUUUGCUUGUUUGAUCUAUUGUACUUUUGAAGUAUUUUUUAUACUGAAAUAACAAAUCAAGUACUUACCAAAUAAAGUUUACACUUUCUUUGUAACCCGAAAUGCAGAAUAAAAUAAAUUUGAAAUUUUGCUUCAACUAUCCUUCAAUAUUAUAAAAGUGAUAAUAUUAAAAAAAAUUAAUAUUAUCAUAGCGCAAACGGCAAAGGACUUCAGUGGUCGUUCCUAAAUUGUUACAAAAAGGUUGAACCUAACUAUAUUGUUCUUCAUUUUACUUUUUCUCAAAACAAAAUAAUAUUAAUUUUAGAAUAAUUCUACUAAGGAGCAUUAUUAUCUAAUUUAGUUGAACUCAAAACAAUAAUCAGUUAAAAGUUUUAGGCUUAUUCAUACAAGUCUGGGAAGAAUCAUCCUUUCUUAUAGGAAGCCGCACAUGUAAGCCCAAAGAGGUAAACUUAAGAAUAUAAAGAAGUUUUUUUUUGCUUUUUCUUAAGAAUUGUAGAUAUAUCUUUAAUGACUAAUGUAAUAAUAAGUAACGAUAUUAGCCGACGCUCCUAGCCAAGUCGCAAGGGCUUGUAGUUGCGCCCGCAGUUCCAAGUUCGAAUCUAGUUGAUUCACCAUUUCCAGUCAUGUUUAUUAUUAAUAAAAUAAACGACGGGGUAGCAUAUUAUCAUCUCUUAAAAAAAAGUAACGUGAUAUUCGGUUAAGUAUAAUAUAACUAUUCCUACCAUUUUUUCUAUUAUUUUCUUUUUCACUUCCUCAAGCAUGUAUGCACCUUCCCAUAAUUCCAAAAAGAACUAGUUGAUUAUAAAAUAAAUGGUAUGAAGACCCCCUAAACAUAUUCAAUUCUUAAAAUAAACCAAUGCUUAUCGUGUUAAAGUUAUCUGCGUUCAAAUUAACAUAACCAAUAAUUUACGUUACCACACCAUCAAAGAUUCAUGUCAUAUGAAAUAUUUAAUGCUAUCACAAAAAGAGACUACAAAGAGUAUAUCCAAGAUCUAAAACGCAUUCCAUAUUCCCCUCAGAAUCAUAAUUGUCAAUACUUCCAAAUUAAAGUAAAUUCCUCGCUAUCAAUCACGAAAGAAAACUUUGUAAUAAUUGUUCGACAAGUAUUCGUGUCCACAUCUAAGUAGGUACCAAGUAAAAAUGCUUUAAUUAGGCUCAUUUGUAAAAUUAUAUUAUUGACCUUCUAGCAUAGGUUUAUACGGUUUGAUGUGACAAUGACAAUAUGAAUUUCUUUAAUUCUGUCAUUGGGCUGAUUUAAAUGUAUCUACAAAAUCAAAAUAUCUAGUUUCCCAUGCUGACAAGAUUCAGUACCACGCCAAAAAUUCUACUUUACUAUAGCGUACAUUCGGUCCCUUAUCAACUUUUUUAUAAAUAUAUUACUAAUGUGAGAGAGGAUGGUAGCAUUGUACCACUUCGUUUAUUUCAUUCAAAAACAAACUAUACGCUAGAAAAUUAAAUCAACAAGAUUCGAACUUGAAUCUCGAUAACCAAACCAUCAAACCCUUUGCCAUUAUGCUAAUAAACUAAAUUUUUUGAAACACUUAUGAACAUUAAAACGAGAAAUGUAAGCUUAAUUUUUACAUGAACAUAGUUUUCUUUCUUUGAGAAAGGUAGCCCUCUACCGGCUCAUUCAUUAAAAAGUGAACUAAGCCUACUGAGUGAGACAUCGCAAGACUCAAGACGAAAAAAAAAAGUCUAAUUUAUAAAAUUAACCAGAACAUGUCUUCCCGCUAAUGGAAUGAAGCUUGCUCCACUGACUUGUAGUUGAUUAACUUUAAUUCAUUCGAGGAUUUGCUGUGGUCAUGCUAAGACGCACCGUUUUUGCUUCCCAAAAAACCACAACAGGUCAAUUAGCUCCGAUUUAGCCCGAGGGCUUGGAAAUUCUAUCUGAAACCCUUCUGUUUUCAUAUGGUCCGAUGACCAAUAGCACUUCCUCGCCAUAGUCUCUUAUGCUCACAUCUUCCAAGUCGUUACCACUAGAAAUCCUGAGACACCACUGGGUGAACAAGUGAUCAAUGACUCUUCUUCUGUCCUGCAUACACACAUAUGGUGUUGCCCGACCCAUCCCUCUUUUAGAGAUUCCCACAGUAGGGUUCUUUCUCUAGGAUACGAGCCAGCAGAACAUCUUCACUUUGAGGAGGGAUACGAAGUUUAAAUCUUUUUGCUCAGUCGAAGUCCUUUUACCCCGUCACCACAACAAGGAGUAGGUUAUUAUUGGAAAAAUCCAGUCAGGACGUCAACGCCAGUGCACACUGUCAGCGGCCCUUCCUAGUUUUGAAAUUUGACACCCGCGCCAUAAGUAAUGAAAUCUACAUUUAAUCCUAAUCAAUAUUGGCCGCGCAUCCCCAAUACUUACUGCGCAGUUCCAUCCGUUGUCCCCAGCACUCAUGAUUGUCAGAUUAUUACUGGUCAUAGCUGAAACCUCUGAAAAUGACAUUUGUAACGUAGUGUCUCCACCAACGGUAAUAAGUAUUUUCAUCCAACAAAUAGGGAUGGGUCUUACAAUGCUUAGACCACUGUGAGACCUGAUCAAUCUUUUUGUGCCUCCACACAAAACCCAGAUACAUAGGAACCCGUUCCAAGUCCCCUCUCAUUCAGCGUACCUCAGUAGACAGAGAGAAGAGAGAGAGAACGAGAGGUAGCCACCUGCUUUAGGAAAUCAUGUGCUCCAACUGAACACCUGGAGUGGCCCGAACAUGUGCCAGCAAUAUCUUAGUCCCUGGCGGCCCUUCCGCAGUCUCUCCUUUCGCUCUCUCCUUCAUUAAGUUAGCUGCCUGCACCCUGCACCCAUUCCCGUAGAUGCCGCACAUCUCACCUAGCUCAUUUUAUCUCUUAUUAUCACUUCUAUACAUUUAAAAUUUAUUAGACAUUCACAUCAAUUAUCUAAAUAAUUAUUUUAGAUCCUUUGAUCACAUGAUAAAUGAUAACAAAAAAAAUUAUUAAAAUUUUUUAAUUUCUAAAUAGUUCUAAUAACAUAUAUAUUCGUAUGAAAGCGAUCGCCGAAUCUGAUUAUUCUAUAUUAAAAAAUAAUAUUACAAUAUGCAGGUCUUGUUACUUUCGAAGCGUUAGAGGCACUCUCUCUCUCUCUCCCUCUCUCUCUUUAUAUAUAUAUAUAUAGUAGAGCCAAUACUAUAUACUUCAAAUAUUGUAAUUAAUAAUUUUCUGAGACUUUUACGACCGUCCUUAAGCAAGUCCGCAAAGGCUUGGUGUGUUGGUAACCUGAGACCCAAGUCUUGAAUCCUAGUUGAUUCACUUCCAGCUAAGUUUAUUUCAAAAUGAAUAAACGAACGGGUAGCGUGCUACCUAUUUCUCAAAAAAAGAAAAAUAAAGUUUCUGCUUUUUUGACAUUAAUUAAAAAUGUAUGAUUGGAUAAUAUAUUCCACUAGGGUUGGGGCAAUCUUCUAGAAGUUACAGCUCCCUCUAGCAUAAUAGUUUAAUCCCAAGGACUUAAAAUGAUCAAAGAGUUUAUCAAGCAUUAAAACUGGAAGCAUCACAGAAGGUGCUGCUUCCAAAAAGCAAUAUAGUCGGACUCUCUCUCUAUAUAUAUUCUCUCUUUCUUCCUUACACAUAUAUACAAAAGGGCAAUUGCUAUAUAUCCUAAAAGCUUACCGACUUUUAUUUUACCCUUCUAAGAAGGUAAUAUUAAAAUCACCUUUUACGUUCAACCUAUUUUAAAAUACCCCUAGAGUUAAAUCUGUUAUAAAAUCUGUAUCUAUAUAAAAUUAUUAGUUUUUUGCCAUUUCAAAUAUAUCAUUCACAAUCCACCGACUUUUCUUAUUUGUCCGCAAGUCAGAUGACCAAAAAAUAUUUGACUUUUGUCUUUUCAAAUAUACCCUCUACGUUACCAAAUUAUUUAUUUGCCUUAAGAAGGGACAAAAUUGGCAUUUAAUUUUUUAACUUGAUAAUAUUUUAAUCACAUUAACCAAGUAACUUAACAGGGAUAACAUAUAGAGUAUUUUCAAUAAGGUGGAGGAUAUUUUAUAAGAAGAAAACAAAAAGGGGUAAACAUCGAGAUAUUCUCAAGGACGUUAGAUCGUAUAUAUGGGCAAUUAUUCCCUAUUAACAACUAAUCAUUAUACUAUUAUGAAUACGAAUCAUUUAUAUUCAAAAUUUUUUUUUUAAUAGAAUUUUGAAUUACGAUGCAUACUGUUAUAAAUGAUUAUAUUUAGAGAUUUAAUUAAAAUAAUUUUUUAUAUUUUUUGAUUUAUUAUCUGGUCUAAAAAUAAUUUUGUAAAAGAAGUAGCAAGCUACCAUUUUAUUUUUUAGAAAUUGAAUUAAUAAGGAGUGUAAAACAAUUAUGCUAUCUAACUGUUGGCACCUCGGUGGUAUUGCACCAAAACUCUGCCAGUUCGCUAAGCAGUUUUACCAUGAAUUGACAAUUUAACAGCUAAUAGGAAUGCCGCUAGUUUAAGCGAUUGGUAAGAAAUAAGAAUCAGUUGAUUUUAUGUAAAUCAUAUAAUUCACAUAUCUUGAUCUGAUCAAUCACUAUAACUUAUCUUAGAGCUUGUACAUUUUUUAAUUUCACUUAUAUCGUGCUGUAUGAAUUUUAUUAUAAUUUAAAUUUAUAAAAUUUAUUUAUAGCACUCAAAUGCAUAUUUCGAUGUUUAGCAGUAUGAUGAUCGAAUCAGUAAUUCUAUUAUUGAAAAUAACUUAUAAGUAUAAAGUCGCUUUUAUUAUAAGACAUUAUAUAAAAUUUCUGACUAGUUUAAAUGUCUCGUAGAAUAACGUUAACUCUGUGAUCGUCGAUCCGGAAGCCUUAUAUCGAAAUACAACCUAAAAAAAAAAUAACUUAGAUUAUGAGUGACCAUCGUACUGAUAGAGUAUAGUAGCCCGACUCUCUCUUUUUUUCCCGCUCUCACCAAUGAUGAUAUUUUAAAGCAUAAGAGCUUAUUCUUAUAUUAUAUAUUAUAUUAUAUUGAUAUAUAUAUUAAUUAUAAUAUAUAUAAUAUAAAUAUAAUAAAGAGAAAGAAAGUUUGGUGCCAAAUAUUGAAUAGAUAAAUUGUUGACUUUCCACCCUUUAAAUGCUAGUAGCGUUGUCGCUGAACAAAGGGAAUAACCGUUUCUCUUUAUUCCAAAAGUUAUUUUGGUGUUUGAGAGUAAAUAGUUUUUAGAUUUCGAAAUAGAUAAUAACCUGUAUAAACUGGAACUACUUCCACCUUUUCCUCGACUAAGUUUGUUCCUAAUCGUGAGAACAAAGUUAAUUAAAAUUUAAUUUAAUUUUAAUUAUGUAUGAAAUCGAUUAAAUUAUCUAAUUAAAAUAUUUAAACCAUUAUCCAUUGCCUAGAAUUAAUAUAUAUAAUUAAUAAUUAAUUCAUAUUUAUUCUAUUUAAUUAUUAAUAAUUUAAUGUAUCAUUUAUAAACUAAUAUUAUAUAUUGACAAUCAAUAUAUGUUUAGUAAUCUAAUUAAUUUCUCUCUCUCUCUCUCUCUCUCUCUCUCUCUAUAUAUAUAUAUAUAUAUAUAUAUAAAAAGAGAGAGAGAGAGAGAGAGUGAGAGAGAGUUGAUAAGUUCAAUGUGAGAUAAUAUAAUAACUAUCCAUCAACAUAAUACUUUAAAAAAAAUAUUUAUAAGUUUUUUACUCUUCAGAGGUAUUUAAUUGAAUAUCAUGUAAAUUUCAUAUAUUGAUUAAUUCUGCAACAGAAGAGUGUUUUUAAUUUUAUAUUUUUAAGAUAUGUGGAGAUAUUUAUUUAGUGCAAUACUACUUGCACAUCUAUUUAUAGAAUGUAAUUUUUAGACCACACUUACCUAAAGGAUAUUAUUUUAUAAUUAGUCCUACCUAAUUUUUUGAUGCUAAAAACUUAAACUGGGUUUAUCAACUUUAGCAUAAAUAACAUAUAAAAUUUAUAUGUAAUAACAAGUGUAUAGAUAGCUUUAUUUAUUUGGUAAGAAAAUUGGUAUUGCCCAAACGAUUCUUGAUAUUGUCAACUCAGAAAAAUCUAAAUUAUCAAGACGUACAAUAUAUCUGUUCUCGCUAUAUCAAAACUAUCUAUCUAUCUAUCUAUUACAAUAUUAAUUCCCGAUUAAAUAUUAUAAAUCUUGUUUUAGAUUGCAAUAUUAAAUAUUAUAUAUAUCUGUUCCUCGGAAGGAGUGGGGCCCUCAAGGAAUAAAACUAUUAUUGGAGAUCAGCUCCUGUCAGUUAUACCAUAUAUUAAUUUUUAUUUCCAUUCAAUAAUUCAUUGAAUAUUUUUGAAAAAAAUUUCAAAUAUCACUUCUAUGAUUUUGAAGUGUACCGAUUUACUAUCCGUGGUUUUAUUUUUUCCUUUUUAUUAUUUCUUUCACUAUUUUUUUUUAGUUAAAUCAGUAAUAAAAUUAAAAUUAAAAUAUAUUAAAGUGAAUAUUCAAUAAACCAAGUUGGUGCAUCUGAAUUUUUUUGCAUAUAAUUUAAUAAAUAUUAACGAAAAAACUGAAAAAAAAAGAAAAAUAAAACUAAAGAAUAUUAAAUUGAUACCCUUUAAUUAUAGGGUACUAAAGUGACCACAAACGAAGCUCUCCCUACUGGAAUUUUAAUUUUUUUUUUUUUCUCCCACCGCAGGCUUACAUAGCGAGCGCUAGGGAUGCAAACGGGGCGGAUCCGGGGACAGGAGAGUUUCCCCACCUCCCGCUUCAUUUUUUAUCUGGACGGGACGGAUUCGGGGCGAGUUACUUUUCAUUUUAUUUUUGGCUCCCACUUACCGCUCCAUUCGGGGCGGAUCGGGGCGGAAGCGGGGCGGGAGCGGAUUUUUAAAGGAUCGGGAUAGAUUGAAGGAAGAAAAGAGUCUCCCGCCUCCCGCUCCAUUUACUUGGCGGAUCGAAGCAGAUUCGGGACGGGUUAUAUUUUUCUAUAUUUUUUAUUCCCACUUAUCACUCUAUUCGGAACAGAUUGGGACGAAGCUCUACCAACCCGGAUCCAUUUGCAUCCCUAGCGAGCGCAGGUGGGUGGGGUCCCAGGAUGUUCCCGCGCGAGGGAGCCGAUACGUGGCUGGGCCAGUUGCGCCAAAGCGAUCGUGAGGUCGGCAUGGAGAUGGGGCGGUGACGUGGCCGCGUCCGGCGCCUCCCGUCUUUGUCUGGCUUAUUUUAUUAUUGGGCCAACAGAUGACGUGCGCCGAUUCGAUGGAGGCAGAUAUUCGAGGAGGUUGCCACCGUUUCGUUGGACGUAGUGCACCACGUCAGCCCUGAACCGCAGUAUUUCGUUCGACACCUCUUAUUUGAAAUUUGAAAAUUUUUUAUUAUUUUUUAUUAGAAUUGUUUUUUGAAUAGUUUAUUUUGAGACGGUUCGUUUUAUAGUCAAAUAAUGUCGAAAAAGUAUAUAAAAUUUUAUUUCUAAAUACUUCAAAUAGCGUUGAUUAUAUCUAACAAAUCUGAUUGUUCAUUUGAAUUAAUGUUUUAUCAUCAAGAAUAAAUUAUUAAUAUCAAGAGUUUCGUACUGUUAGUUCAACCAGACUAUUAUUAAUAGUAUGCAAAUUAUUAUACUUUUUCACCAUUGGAAUAUCACUAUUCCAUCAACUUCCACUACACACUAAGACUACGUCUUAUUCAGAUAUAAAUAAGAAUUACUUAUUCCAGAGAUAUGUAUAAGUUCACGUACAAGCAGGAACUUGACCAAAUUUGCAUUUGCAUGAAAAUUGGAUUGUUUCUGAAGAUAAGAUAAAUAGUGUUUGGAUGGUUAGAUUGAAACAAGAGGAAUAAGAGUUAUAAUUUUAAAUUAAAAAUACUUUAUCUAAUUAAUUAACCUCAAAAUAUUAAGUAAAAAUAAUUUAACAAAUUGAGAAAUUUUUUACUUAUGAAUAUUGUAUGAGACAAUGAAUAUAUAUUAACCAAUUAAUUAAAUAUAAAGUAUAAUUUAAAUUUUUAAUUAGUUAGUAAAUUAUUUUAGUUAGAUAACUAGUAAACAAAAUUAAUUAGAUUACUAAACAUAUUAUUGAUUGAUCAAUAUAAAUAUUAGUUUAUAAAUAAAUACAUUAAAUUAUUAAUAAUUAAUUAUAAAUAAUAUAUUAAUUAAUUAAUUAAUUAUCUAAGCAAUGGAUAAUGAUUUAAAUAUUUUAAUUAGAUAAUUUAAAUAUUUAAUACCAUAAUUAAAAUUAAAAUUAAAUUUUAAUUAAUCUUGUUCUCACUUAGGAACAAACUUGUUCGAGGAAAAAAGGUGGAACAGUAGUUCCAGUCUUAUACCAGGUUAUAUUAUCUUAUUUCAGAAAUCUAAAAACUAUUACUCUCAAACACCAAAUAUAACUUUUGGAAAUAAAA